UUCUAAUCUGGCGCGCUAUUGAGAACUGGGUCAAAACCUACGUGGCCCACUACUACCCAAGCCCAAGCGUCGUCAUAUCCGACCGGGAGCUUCAAGCCUGGUACUCCGAGGCCGUCAACGUUGGCCAUGCUGAUCUCCGCCACGCCGCCUGGUGGCCCUCCCUCUCCACCCCAGACGACCUCGCUUCAAUCCUUACCACCCUCAUCUGGCUCGCCUCCGCCCAACACGCUGCCCUAAACUUCGGCCAAUAUCCCUACGGCGGCUACGUCCCCAACCGCCCUCCGCUCAUGCGCCGCCUCAUCCCGGAACCAACGGACCCCGAAUACACCAACUUCCUCAACGACCCACAACGCUACUACCUCUCCGCGCUGCCCGGCGUCCUCCAAUCCACCAGCUUCAUGGCGGUGGUCGACACUCUUUCCACCCACUCGCCUGAUGAAGAGUACAUCGGCGAGCGGAACCACCCCUCGACGUGGUCCGGCGACGCCGAGAUCAUCGAGGCGUCUUAUGAGUUCUCGGCGGAAAUAAGGAGGAUAGAGAAGGAGAUCGAGAAGAGAAACGCCGAAUUUAGCCGAAGAAACAGGUGCGGUGCAGGAGUUUUGCCAUAUGAACUACUGGCGCCGAGCUCGGGGCCGGGAGUAACGUGUAGAGGGAUUCCAAACAGUGUGUCGAUAUGAGGCCCAAGAUGGAGGUGGGCCUGGACCAAUUGGGCACAACACAAGCCCAGUUACAUGAAAGACCAUUAGAGUAAUCAUGGAUUAUGAACAUAAUUGGAUAUUUGUACGUAAAUUUUGGUGUAAAAGCACUUAAUUUAAGUGCUGAGUUUAACUUUUAGGGUUGUAUAUGAACAUAGAGCUCAUAAUGAAGCAUAGGGCUGUACCAUAUCAUAAGCCAUUUAAAUUAUUUUAUAUUGCAAAAUUUUUAUUAUUUCCACAAAUGGGUCAUGUUUGAAAAGCACUUUUUUCAUUUUGCUUUUGUUUUUGUUUCUUUUUUCUAAUUUAAUGUGGGCAUUAGGGACAAGAAAUACAAGAUGAAUAAUUAAUAAUUAUGAAUUAUUUAAAUUACUUUUUAAAACAUAAAAUUCAUCGUAUAAUUACGUUUUCUUUUAUAUUUGAAAAAAAAAAAACUUUAAAACACCAAAGUGAAAGGUAUCAAAUUUUUCAUUAUAAAAAAACAAGAUAAAAUUUAAGUUGUAGUAUGAUGAUGAAAAAAUUAGACAAAAUAUAAAAUAAUAAGACUAGACUUGAUAUAAAGUAAUAAGACUUAAAUAUAUUCCUAAUGUGAUAUGAUUGAUCACAUUGUUUAGUGAUUUUGAUUUAAGGGCUCGUAUAAUGUUCCUGUUAUGGUGUAAGAACUAGUAAUUCAAAGCCUAACUUGGAAAAAAGAAUCCUUUCAGGCUUUUACAAAUUUUGAGUUGAUUUAGGAGUGAAUUUUAGAAGAUUAAGCAGGAGUUUAGUAAACUAACUUAAUAAUUUAAAGUGACUAAUAACUUAAUUUAAAUAAUUAAUUAAAUUAAUUAUGUUUAGUAAAAUAACUUAAUGGUGUAACUUAUAAUAAAAAAUAAUUUUAAGUAAUAAAAAAAAAUUAACUUAUUCUUAAAUUCAUAAUUUCAUUUGACCUUUUUACUCUUAUUUGUUUUAGUUACUUCCACGAUUUCCUUUGCUACUCCACAACUUCCACUAUUACUCAAUUUCCUUUACCUUAGUUAUAAUUUAUGAUGACAAAUAUAUCAAUUUGAUGAUUUAAAAUAUAUUUUAAGUUAAUUUUAUCAAACAAUCUUAAUACUUAAAGUAAGAAUUAAAUAAUAAAUUUUAAAUUAACAAUUUAAGUAUAAUUUAACUUAAGAUCGACUUUUGUCAUUAAGUAAUAAGUAUUAAGUGUAGACCCCCAAAUUGGGAUAUAUCUAAAGCAUUUUUUGCAAUUAGUUUUUGGCCAGGUGUCGCGCUCUUAGGCAGCCACGUGUCACUCCCGGAUUGGCUGUUGAAGAUUCAGAUGGGCUUUUGAGGAACCAAUAGAAGCUGGACAGAGAAAGAAAGAAAAAGGGAUGAAAGGACCGUGUGAAGAAAAACGGCUGGGGGGGCUCUGAAGCUGUAGGGGAGGCAGAGCUCUCGGGCGGCUAGAUGAGACGGGUAGCAGCAGGCAGAGUGGCUUGAUGAGGAAGACACAAAACAGGGGAAAAAGGAGGAUCUGUGGAGAAGAUGGGGGAUAGCUGAGAGGGGGAGGAAGGAGAGGGCAUCGUCGGCUUCCCAACAAGGCACGGUAUGUCUUCAUUUCCCUCAACAUAUUGCUUCAUUUUCUAUUGAACUAUGAAUAUGGUUGCAUCAUUUGCUGUGGAUGUCAAGGGCCAUAGAGUUGCUUUCAGUUGAGCGUUCUCACUUGCUUAAAGUGUUUCUUUUUUUUUCAUGGUCUUUCAUAUCCUACACACAUGUAGUGCACGCAUGCAUGGCUGCAUGAAGCACCUCUCCUCCUGCCCUCUCGGGUAUCCAUGCACCCAUGUACUCCAGACCUAGCCUUGCACUCACUCCCUCACCAUUUCUCUCAUUCAUCCAGAUCAUCUAACCCUUUGUGCUCUUCAAUGCAACCCCCAUUUCAAUCUCCAAGCCCAUUCCUUUCCCCAUACCACCCACCAUGCCCACGCCUUGCUCAUCUCCAUAAGAGCCCUAAAGCCACCCGCCGGCAUGCAUGGGAACCUCGCGUGCAAACUCCUUUCCUGGUCGUCAUUCAUCGACACCAUCGACAGCCCCUGUUUCCCAACCAGUCUGACCACCACUACCUCGACCAUCUCCAGCUAGCCGUUCUCCGUUCAAGGGCCUUGAACGAAGACCUUGUUGACGCCGACGACGACGACGACAUCUCCUUCGUCAGCAAUGCCACCUCCGACGCCGUGGUCACCCAGUACUCAGGCCCAGCUUGGCCUCGCCAGACCCGUUCACGGUGUUGGCGGCAUGGCGUCAGGCGUGACGCAGUCCUGGACCUCGUGCUCGCUCGCGCCUCAGCCACCUGCACCGACCACGACUCACCCAGCCGCGCCAGGAGCUCAGCCAUUGACGUCGCCCUCUCAUAUGACGAGAGGUUCGUCGCUCCGUCGUCCCCAUCGUCUCCAUCUGCAGCGUUCGUGUUCGGGACCCCUCGAGCCCCCUAGCUUCCCGUCGCCUCCGCGUCGUAUCUCGUCUUGUCGGCGACAGUGAUCAGCUCUGGGGAGUGUUGCCCCGACAGAGGAGUAGGUGUUGGGGGGGUGUUCGUGUUGGGCCUGCCCAUGAGGACCUUGGGCUUGGAUUUGAGUCGGGGCACUAGGCCCAAGUUUGGAAGGGGAAAUGGUGUUUGUAUUGGGCUUGCCCAUGAAGACUUUGGGCUCAGAUUUGAGUUGCAGCCCAGGCCCAGUUCGUGUGGAUGAAGGGCCUUAUGCCAAGCCUUCAUAAAUCCCUCAUUUUAAUUUAAUUCUUCAAAAUAUUUGUUUAAAUCAUAUUUUCGUUAGCCGAAUCUAUAUCCCGUAUUUAUUAGUUAUUCAAAGUUCUAAUCCAUCAAAAAAGUCACAUGCUAUAAUUUAAUUCUUCAAAUACUUUUUUUUUUAAAUCUCAUAUUUAUCAACUAGAAUUAUUAUUCUAUAUAUUCAUUUAUUUAUCUAUACCAAUCCUCCAAAAAUCCCAUGCUGUAAUUUAAUUCUUUAAAUACUUGUUUAAAUCAUAUUUUCAUAAAUCGAAUUAUUAUCCCAUGUUUAUUUAGCUAUUUAAAAUCUAAUCCUUCAAAAAUCCUCUGUCUUAAUUUAGUUUCUCAAUAAGUCGUUUAAAUCUUAUUUUCAUCAAUUAGGAUUAUUAUCUCGUAUUCGUCUAUUUAUUUUAAACCUAGUUCUUCAAAAAUCUCUUGUCUUAACUCAAUUUUUCAAUCCUAAAAAUUCUACAGUUUGUCUAAAUUUUAUCCUCAUCAAUUAGAAUCAUUAUUUCCAUAUCUAUUCAAAGUCCAAUCUUCCGAAAGCCCCAUGCCUUAAUUAAAACUUCAAUCCCAAAAAUUCUACUAUCCAUCUUUAUUCGCCUAAAUAUUAUUCUCGUUAAUUAGUAUUAUAAUCUCAUACCUACCCAUUUAUUCAAAGUCAUAUCCUUUAAAAAUCCAACGUCCUAAUUCAAAUUUUCAAUUAGAAAAAUUCCACUAUUUUAUUCGUUUAAACAUUAUUUUUGUUAAUAAGUACCGUUAUUCCAUAUUCGUUCAUUUAUUUAUUUCAAUCAUUAAAAUUCAACUCUUCAAAAUCGAAUUUCCAAAUUUAACCUUUAGACUCAAAAAUUCCACCAUUCACUUUUCGCCAUUCAAAUAUCAUCUUUGUUAUCAUUGUUAUAAAUUCCAUGUUUACUUAUUUAUUUCUUCCAAAAAUUCCAAUAAUUAGAGUCCAAUUAUUCAAAGAUCCAACUUUCAAACUUAAUUUUCAAAAAUCCCACUAUUCACUUUCAUCAAUAACACUUUCAUCAAAAUCCGAUUUUCCAAUUUAAUUUUUAAUCUCACAAAUCUCACUAUUCACUAUUCAUCCGUCCAAAUAUCGUUUUGAUUAACUUAUAACGUUAUUCCAUAUUUACCCAUUUAUUUCUCUUAAAAAUCUCAAUCAUUAAAGUCUAAUUCUUCAAAAUUCCGAUUUCUAAAUUUAGCUAUCUAAAAUUCCAAGUGUCCUAUCUUCGAACCUAAUUUCCAGUUUCCCAUGCUCCAAUUCCCGUACUUAUCCCACUACUUAUUAUUAUCAUUAUCAUUACCAUUUUAUUUGUUCGUUUCUAAAAAGUCCGCCUUCAAAUGAUUUUCGAGAUUUCCAAUUUUCAUAAAUCAACUUUCAUAAUUUCUAUUUUUCAAAUAACUUACGAUUCUGAUCUCUUUCAAAAUUCAACUCCUAAAGUCUCAAUUUUCGCAACUUAAUUUUUCUUUAAAAUCCCGAACCCUUAAAUCGUUUUCAAAAUUUCAACCUCUUUCAAAUUCAGUUUCUAAAAAUUCUCAUUCUCACAAUCAAUCUCCAAAAGUCUAACCUCCAAAUAAACUUUGAAACUCCAAUUUUCUAAUGAUCUUCGAGAUUCCAAUUUUUCAAUUAAAUUUCAAAAAUCUAAUUUUCUUCCGAAUAGUUUUAAUUCCGCUUUGGCUUUCAAACAAUCUUCUGCUCCUCUGGACUUUAAUAAGUAAGAACAAAUUUUCCGUAAUUCCGAAUAAUGGAAUUUAUGGGAUUAAUUCAUGCAAUAUAAAUCGGGCUUUGGUAGGGGCCCCACAUACACGUUUUUAUGAUUGAUUGAUUAAUUAGUUGAUUUGAUAGUCGUACAUGAUUGAGUUAUUCUGCUCUAUGACAUGCAUGAUAUUAUUUCUUAAUUGUGUACUAAUCCCGUUUCUUGAUAGCGCAUUGUGGCUCGUGGCUCAAGUACGCAUACACUUUCAUUUUGAUCAUUCUCUAUGCAUGUUCCGAUUUUCAUAUGUGCAUGAUUUGACUUAGGCAUCCAUUGACUUUCUUAUUGAUUGCCACGUCGGCUUCAUUUUAUUAGUAGAGACCCGACUUUAGGGGCUUAGAGGGGUGCUACGGUCUUUACCGUACCUUCUCGAUGAGUAACCUGACCCCCGAACCCGAUCCGGUUUUUUCACAGACCACCUUUUCUAAAAUAAGGAGUCACAUUUACGGUUUUUCUUUCUUAUUUUGUUUACCCUUUAAAAAUAAAACAAAAAUAAGUGGCGACUCCAAGUCAUUUUCUUAAACAAUAAAAAAAAUCAAAUUUUCAAAUAAAAAUCGAGCCAUCGAGUGGGAAACGCAUUGAGCCGAAAUGCGGGGUCCACAAUUAAGUAUUACUUCUUAAUACUUGGAAGCACUUUCAUUAUAAAAAUUAGAUGUUUGAGAAAAUUUUAAAAAUCAUUUGAUGUGUUUUUUCAACUAAUAUUUGGUAUGCAUUUAUUUCAAAUUUUUUUAUUAUUAUUUUUUAAAAUUGUGAAUUCCAUUGCCAAAAUUUUUUUAAAAAUAAUUCUUUGACUUAUGGCCUAAUAUUAAAACGAAAAAUUCAUGGAAGAAAAAUUGUGGAUUGAAGAUAACCAAUGACCAAACAAUAAAUGUAGAGAAAAUGGGUGCACAAAAUUGAAAAACAGGGGCCCUUGGCUUGGUCUCAAGUCUCCUCUAGCUAGGCCCAAAGAGUAUUUGGGCCGAGCUUGGGCAAGAUUGGCCCAAGGUCAAAUGAAUUUGGUAAAUUUAAUUAUUUUACUUAUAAACAUGUGAUGCAGUUAGCUUUCAUGGCAUUGGCCCACAAUAAAAUAAAAAUUAUAUUUAAAUUUUAUAUAUUUUGAAUUACUUAUUUUUCAAACUAUUCAAUUAACAUAGACAAUAAAUUAAUAAAAGCAUGUAACAAAUUUUUUAUAUUUUAUUUUAUACUUUUUUCUUUUACCUUUUAUUAUUAUUAUUUUUCUUUAUAGUACUUUUCCUCAAAUUUAAUAAGUUGGUCUGCAAAAUAAUUUCUCAAAAUUUAAUUUAUGAUAUAAAAAACUAAUAAAAAUAAAUAAAGAAAUAGAAUGGUUUGAUAUGUAUAGUUAACUCAUUUCUUAAAAAUUUAAACAUUUAAGACAAUAAGGACUUAUUUGACAACUAUUUUCAAAAACAGUUUUGUGUUUUCUAGAAUAAAAAAUAUAUAUAUAUUUGAUAAUUAGAAACAAUUUUUGUUUUGUGUUCUUAAGAACAAAAAUAGGGUAUUUUCAAAAGCAUCUUUUAGUUGUUUUAUGUUGUUUUCACUUGUUUUAUAAAGAUUGUUUUAAAAAAUAAUUAUACAAAUAUUUAAAAAUGAUUAAAAAUAAAACACUUGAUAUAAAAAUUAUUUUUAGAAAACAUUUAAAAAUAUUAAAAUCGGGUUAAAAACAUUUCAAGUUUCAAACAAAUUUUUGUUUUAUAAAACAUCAUAAAACAGUUUUCACAAACUAUUUUUUAAAACAAUUAUCAAAUAUGACUUAAUCUUUCGUCUAUAACUAAUUUUACAAUCAUGUUUUUUUUUCCUUUUUAAUUCAAGUAAAAUUGCAUAAAUAACUCAAUCUAAAUCGAUAUUAUUGAUCAAUUUGAAUGAAAUAUAUACUUAGACUUUUUGUACCAAUAUUUUUUCUUUAAACACGAAAUUGCUAUACAUGGUUAUUUUUAGAAGAUUAAGAAAUUUACAAAGGAGUAGAUGCCAUCAAUAAUAAUGAACUAUACUACAUGAAAACAAAUGGGACCAGCUACAAUAUUUUCUUCAAAAAAAAGUAUUGUAACAUCAAUUAUUGGGCCCUAGGCUCCUACCCUCUUUGAUUGAAGUGUUGACAAAUACUUCAAAUUUGUUUCAAUCGCUCAAAUAGUCAAAUGUCCCGUCUCAAUGUGUCCCACGUUCAUACGUGUUAUGUGUGGCUUCUAAUUUUUACUUAUAGAAAAGGAAGUCAUAUAGGAAUAUAUAGUGCAACUUGACAAUAUGCAACUUCAAACCAAUAUGUUUUUUUUUUUUUGAAUUGUAUUAAGGGUUUAUGUUAACUCAAACUCGAACUAUAUUUAGUAUGAAAUUAAAGUUUUAUUUUUUCUACAAGUUAUGCGUAAAGUUGAAUGCAAUCCACAACUUUAAAAUUUGUCGUGUAAAAAGAUGAUUUUUUUUUCGUUGUUUGAUUAUAUUUUGUUUUUUGCAUUUUCUUUCAAAUUUUCUAAAAAUUGUUAAGCAUUGAGUCUUGCCUCUUGUCUCAUAUGUUCCACGAGCUUUCAAUUUUACUCUAACGACAUUGAAUUGAGUGUAGUCAAAUUGCUUUGAAAAUGUUAAAUUGUUAAGUAUUGCCGAUAUCAUGAAAUUGAAAUUACAUCUCAUGGUUCAUCUUACAUGUUUCAUGAGAUUCCAAUUUUCAAAUCAUUUAUGGUACCACUAUAUUGGUGAUGCUUUUUAGUAGGUUUUGAAUCGAUGAUGCAGUCAUCAUAUAGAGAUGAGUGAUUUGAUAAAUUACUUUUCUUAGGUAUUCUAUGAGUUUCUAAUCUUACUAUAAAUAUAUUAUAUUGUACUAUUAUUGUAUAUCAUGGUAAAAUUAUCAUUUAGUCAAUUCAUUCCUUUCUUUGUACAUUGGAUACUUUAUUGAUUUUAUAACUACUGAAAAGCAUAAAAAAAUCCAAUGGUAUUACGUGUAUAAUUCAUGUCUCAUUAUUUUGUACUUUAAUCUUAAAUAUAUUUAUACUUUUAUUGAUCUCUUUAGGUUUUACUAGAUACUUUGAACAACCUAGAUUUUAAUUUUAGUGCAUACCGAUUCGGUACAUUAGAUUGCUUUGCAUUUGAUAUUGUGAAAAACAAUUAAUUAGAUUAGGUAAGGAGGGGGGGGGGUGGGUGUUGGGGGGAUUGAAUUAGGUAUUAAAAUCUUUUCGAAAAUAAUCAAUAAAAAACAAAAGAUAAGAGAUAAAAGAUAGGGAGAAAAAAUGUGCAAAUUGUUUUAUAGUGGUUACAAUUCGUAUACAUGUACUAUCCUCAACCUCUUAACCCAAUAAGGGUUGUACUAUAUCAAUGCUAUUAACAAAAGCCUUCGAACUUUAUAAUUGGUUUCACGACUCUAAUGGACAUUUACAAUUCCUUUUAAGUAUUCCACCUACUUUAAGUUUCUUCACUCGAGAUGAGUAGAUAAUAAAGAAUUUAAUGCUUCCAAUCAUUGAUACAAGUGUGUCUCAUGAGAAGGAAACUAUGAUGAAUUUGACAAGUACAUUAAGAAAUUUGCAAGUUAGAAAUCAAUGCACUUGUAAGAAGAGUUUUGAAUGUGAAAAAAUAAAAGUUUUUCAAUUAAAUGCUAUUAUUCUCUUAUCAAUAAAUACGGUCAAACUUUUCAAUCUAUAAGUGUUUAACUCAGGAACCCAAAAAACCACAAAAACACCUUGAUUGGUUGAGUUCCAAUUUGACUAGUUAAAUGUUUUUGAGUAUUAAAUGCAUCAGUGAUAGUUGAAAUUUAUAAAUUUAAGUUAAAGAUUCAACCAACCUUUGAUCAGUCGAGGUAAAACUAAUUACAUACCUGCUACUAGAAGAGAAAAAAUAUUUUGAAACCUUAAUCAAUCCUCAAUCAAUCGAGCCUAACUGGUUGAAUCGGUUUUCCAAUUGAUUUAAACAGUUCAAGUUACCAUCAAUUAGUUGCACUUUAAAGUGCCUAAAAACACCCUAUUUGAGGUUUGAACUUUCCAAUAACUUGCGUAACCCUUUUUAAAACCUUUUUGAGUAAAAUCAUAAAGAAUUUGAUUUAAAGUUUUGAAUUAAAAUAACGAUUCAUCCAUUUUUCUUGAUAUAAACAUAGUUUUUAAGCUUAAAUGAGGAUGAAAACCAACUUUUGAGUGCAUGAAAAAAGUUUUAGACCUAUGUGCACUAAUAAAUACCAACUUACAAAUUUUCCUAACCACUUAAGAAAUCCAAGUCUUCAUGAUAUUUACUUCUUUCUACAGUUGUUCAAGCCCUCUUUUAAUUUUUUUUUUUCAUUUAAACAUAAAAACUUCACUCAAUUUUAAAUAUUAGUUAAUUUAACUUUAUUUUAUAAUCAUUAAAACUUAAUUAAAAAAAAUUCUUGGGCUAACACAUUUGUAGUCUCAGCACUUUAUAUAUUGAUCUCAUUUAUUUAUAUUUUAAUGUUACACUUUACUCCAAAUAAUCCUCCUUUGAGCUUAAAUGGAGAGCAGGAAGAUUUUGUUUUGUUUUGUCUUGUCUUAUCUAAGUGUUGCAUGAGAGUUUAAAAAAAACUUAAAUAUGUGACAUUAAUUUCACAUAUUUGCAUCCUAAUUCAUUGAUCUAAAUUUAAAUUUCGGUACAUACCGGUCUAGUAUGUUACGUUUUUUUUUCUCUCUUUAUAUAAUAUUAUUUCUCAAUAAAAAAAAUCACUAAAAAUAAAAAAUUCACUCAAAAAAAUACUUCAACCAAAUGCAAUUUAUAUAUAUAUAGUUGCAACACAAGUAAACACGUUGUUCACCGGUCAAAGUAAACAUAUUUGGAAAUCAUAUAUUUUAAACUUAAAAGUAUUUUAUAUUAUCGAUGAUGCAUGCUUUAAUUUAUUAAUGAAAAAUUCUUUCUAAAGAAUAAUUUCUUGAAUCAUGUGAAACCAAUAAAAAUCUCUCAAUGGGAAAUGGCGAGAUGUUGGUGAUACCAAUAAAAAUAUCUUAAUGGGAAAAGGCGAUAUGUUGGUGAUACCAAUAAAAAUCUCUUAAUGGGAAAAGGCUUGAUGUUGUCACCUAUGUGACCUAAUCACAUGUGAUGUGACACAAAGGUAUGAUUUUUAUUAUAAAGUGGUGGUAGGUAUGAAUUAUAUAUAUAAACAAAAUCAAUCACAAUUUCCCUUUUUUUCUUCCAUAAUUUCUAUUAGAAAAAUGACAAUUAUAAAAAAUUAUAUAUAUAUAUAUAAAAAAUUAAUUUAUAUAUUUUUCUCUUCUAUCAAAAGUGAAAAUUUUAAAAAUAUAAGUUUUAUCAUAGUCUAAUACUCUAAUAAAUUUGUUUAAAUUUUCUUCUAAAAUUGUUUUUAAUUGUCAAUUUUUUUUCAUAAAUAGGAAAAUAGUAUUUCAAGUUUUCUAAUAAUAAUAAUCUAAUUUUUAAUAUUUUUAAAAUUGAUUUAUGACUACAUCACUAAAUAGGUACAAUUUAAUAUUUUUAGCAACUAAAAUGAUGAUUAUGUUUUAUUUUUUAAGACAAAUAUAGAAGGAAAACAAGGGUAUUUUUGGAAGUAUCAUUCUUUAUUUGAGAUGAAAUUAAGAAAAUUACUUCCCUUGUUCUAGGAAUGCAAAUGUCUCAAUAUAUAAUUAAAAUUUAUUUAAAAUAAUUAUUUUUUUAUUUUUUAAAAAUUAUAUUUGUCAUUAUUGUCAGCCAUGGCCCUGCAACAUGGAUCCAAAAAGUCCACAUGGUUCAAGACUCAUUGUGGGUCCUGGAAAACUAGUAAUUAACGGUGAACCUUUAGAACAUUUUCCAAGAAAAAGAUCACCAACUCCUCUCAUUUUUUAUUUUUUAUUUUUAAUAUUUUAAAGAAUUUUUGUAUUGUUUUCAUGCAACUAAAAUUUUUUAUUUUGGGAAAUUUUGUAUGAACUUACAAGUUACAAGUGGAGUCUACCCUAUCCUUUACCCAUCUUCCUAAGUUACCCAUAUAAUAAUAUCAAGACUCAAGACCAACUCAUAGUCCACUUUCCCACCCACCACCACAAAAUAAUAAAUAUAUAAUUUAUUUAUUUAUUUAUUAGGAUGAUUAAAUAAUCUAUAUCAAAGAAAGACAACUUAAUUAAUAUUAUUUUUUAUUUUAAAAAAAAAAUGAUGUGUUGUAGAAAAAAAUAUAUAGAUUUUAUUGUAUGUUUUUAAAAUUUGACCUAAUAAUUUUUUUUUCAUAUUCGAUUUAUUUUAAAACUAUUAAUUUUUCAAUAUAAGUUUAUAAUAGUGAUUAUAGCCCAAAAAUCAAUAAUGAGUCGAGUAAAAACGUAAUCAUAAGGGAUAAUAAAAAACGGAGUGAGAGAAAAAUAAUUAAAAAAAAAAGUGUAUUAGUUAUAUAAUAGAGGGUUUAUAGUUUUAUAUAAAAAUUAUUAUUAAUUAUUAUUUUUAAAACAUAAAAAAAAAAAAAAAAGUACGACAAAAUUUGACUUGAAAGUAGAAAGAUGUGAAUAUUAUUUAUGAAAUUUAAAUAGGAGAUUAACCUUUUUAUGGAUUUCAAACUUCUAUUUGAUGUAAAUUUACGAUGAAAACUAUAAGUUUCCCCAAUUUUUAAUUAAAUUUUAGUAUCAUAAGUGGUUUGGGUCAAAUGAUUCAUGACCCAAUUCUAUUUUUUAAAUAAUUGCAUAAUUAGGUCUCAUAAUCAGGUGUGGUGCACCUCAUGUUUAGAAGUGUUAGGUACGGCAAUAUCCCAAAAUUUAAAACCCAUAAAUACCCUUAGUCUGAGGACGUGGCAUUCUAUGAUUGUUUGAAUGGAAGACACACAAAGUAUGGGUCUUUUUGUAUUGAAAAGUAGCCACCGGCUGCUUUGACCCAAGUCAAUUAAAAUCCAUUAUGUAAUGACUUUCCCGAGUCAUUAUGGAAAAUUUUCCGGGAAAGUGGUGGAAAAUUGGAAAUGGAAACGGGAAAGUGGUGGAAAUGGAAAUGAAAUUUCCACACAGGUUCGGUCAACAGUCAAGCAAUUCCCACCUCUGUGGCCCAUCCUUUCCACCAACCAACAAUUUGGACUUUCCAAUUGUUUUUACAAAUUUAACCCCCCCUUUUUUGGUCAUUAAAUCUGAACAUUUUUUUUUCUUUUAAUUUGGAAGCGGAAACCUUAUUAUUCUUUGAGUUUAAAAUUUUAGUCACAAAAAUAAUGAUUAAAAAAAAAAAAUCAUGGUAGCAUAAAAUUUUACUAUUUCAAAUUUUAAUUUUUUUUAAAAAUAAUUUUUAAAUAUAUAAACUCUACAUAUAAUUUAACUUAUAUCUUUAAAAAUCACUUUAAAAAAUUUAAAAACUCAAGAUGAUAAAAAAAUUUUGAUACUUUAUUUUUUUUUUUCUAAAUAGUUUUAAAAAUUAUUAUUUUUUCAUUGUAUCUUUAUUAAUUAAAAAAAAAACAGUCUCAAAUUUUUUUUCUAUAUUUUUUUUUAAAAAUAAAAUUAAAAAACAAAAGGUGUGUUAAAAGAUUGUUGUUCAAAUAUAAGAGUUGAAAUGUUUUAUAGAAGUAUUUUUUUCAUCAAUUUUUUUUUAAUAUUAAGAUUUCGUUUAAUAAUGAUUUUAAGAAACUCUUAUAACUUUUUUAACAUUUGAAAUUUUUUAUCUUUUAAGUAUUAGAAGAGUUAGAAAUGUUACAUAAAAUUAUUAUCAAACGAGUUGUAAAUAGUUUCAUUCUACAUCUUUGUUUUUUCUCAACUACAAUGAUAAUGACUCAUAAAAAAAUCCACUUGAUCAACAUGCACUUCUACCAAGACCCUAAGUGGGAGGGUAUGAUUAGUACUCAAUUGCUAGGAAUUUUUUAACAUGUAAAUUUUAACACAUAUAACAAAUAUAAAUCAAGAUUAUAGGAAAUAAAAUUAGUGGAGAUAAAAAAAAUAAAAAUAAAAAAAGAUUGAUUUGGAUUGGUGAUUCAAAUCAGAAUAUAAUGUCCUAAAAUCACUAUCAUUUUUCUCUAUCCUAAAAUUUCUAUCACCUCCUUAUAUACAAGUAUUGAUAAUUGAUGACAGUUUUAAAAUAUAAUUCUCAUUUAGAUUAUAACAAUCCGUUUUUUUUUAUGGAUGUAUCUGAGGAUUACGAAGAACCCAUUCAUAAUUAAAUUGUUUAGAAAAAUAUGAAGAUUUAGGACGAAGAAUAUAAAACACUACGAGAUGUUAAAGAAGAAGAGGACGAGGUAGAAAUAUUUUAGUAUAAUUUUAAAGGUAAAGGAGUAAGAGAUGAUUGUUGUGGACAUAAUGUGUAAUUAUAUUAAGGGUUAUAAAUGGUUGAAAAUAAAUAAACAACACGAGGAAAAGCAAUCAUUUCUUAACUUAGAUCAAUGCUUCAAUCAUAGAGGCAACUAGAAGGAUAUUUUGGACAAUUCAUGUGAAACCACAGAGUAACUUUAAACCUUUAAACAAAUGAAUUAAAGAAAUGGAUAUAAAUGUUAAAUAAACAAAUUUCUAAAAAUAAAUAAAUAAAUAAUUCCGAUGCCCAGGCUUCAAACCACCUAUAAAUACCCCUCCAGAGCUCUCACUUCCACCACCACCAUCACUGCCCACUUCCACCGCUCCCCCCAGACUACCACCGGAAUCCUACCACCUCACCAACGCCGGAAAUGGAGUCCGGAACUUGGGCUUCCUACGUUGCAGCAUGGCUAGCAACUGUGGCUCUUAUCCUCCUCUCGACCCACCUCCGGCGUCGCCGCAAACUCAACCUCCCGCCAGGCCCAAAGCCCUGGCCGAUCAUCGGAAACCUGAACCUCAUCGGCGCACUCCCCCAUCGCUCCAUCCACGAGCUAUCCCAAAAGUACGGCCCCAUCAUGCAGCUCCGCUUCGGCUCCUUCCCCGUCGUCGUCGGCUCCUCCGUCGCCAUGGCCAAGCUCUUCCUCAAAACCCACGACGUCACCUUCGCCUCCCGCCCCAAAACCGCCGCCGGAAAAUACACCACCUACAACUACUCCGACAUCACCUGGUCCCCCUACGGCCCUUACUGGCGCCAAGCCCGCAAGAUGUGCCUGAUGGAGCUCUUCAGCGCCAGACGCCUCGAAUCCUACGAAUACAUUCGGGUCGAAGAAACCAAAUCUCUCCUCAGUUCCCUCUACAAGCAAUCCAAUUCGCCGGUGGAUCUCAAAGAUCAUCUCUCCACGGUUAGUCUCAACGUGAUCAGUCGAAUGGUUCUAGGAAAAAAGUAUCUCGACGAGAACGUGGAGGGCUCGAUCGUGACCCCGGAGGAAUUCAAGAAGAUGCUCGACGAAUUGUUUCUGCUGAGCGGGGUUUUGAACAUCGGAGACUCCAUUCCUUGGAUCGAUUUCUUGGAUUUGCAGGGGUAUGUGAAGAGGAUGAAGGUUCUGAGCAAGAAAUUUGAUCGGUUUUUGGAGCAUGUUCUAGAUGAGCACAACGCGAGGAGGAAAGGUGUCGAGAACUACGUGGCUAAGGACAUGGUUGAUGUGCUGUUGCAGUUCGCCGACGACCCCACUUUAGAGGUUAAGCUCGAAAGACACGGCGUUAAGGCCUUCACCCAGGUAUGAACUUAGAAUUUUCAGUACUGCAUCUUUCACAUGUACGGUAGAUUCAAAUGACAUUUAGAUCCCCAUAUAUGGCAGUCAUCGUAGGAACCCCCCCCUUUUUUUUUUUUUGACUUAAAAAAGUAUUUUUGAAAACAAAAUUAAGGGUAUUUACAAAAUUUGAAAAAUAUUUUUAAGAAUUUGAAAAAUUACACCUGAGAAACAUUUUAUAAAUAAUUAUCUUAAAAAUAUUUUUAUUAAAAACAUUUCAAAUAAAAAUACUACUAAAUACAUUUUUAAAAUAUGUUAAAAAAUAAUUUAAAAAUACAUUUUUAACCUAAAAAAUAUAUUUAAUGAAUCUUAAAAAUUUUAAAAAAUUACUUGGAAUAUUAAAAAAUUAUUAUAAAUAUUUUUUAAAUAAUUUUUUAAAAAACACUUUCAUACACAUAUUUUCAAUAAAAACACUAUCAUAUCUAUUCUUUUAAUCAUACCAUUAAAACACUAUCCAAAGUGCAUGAUGAUAAGUAGGGCUGAUAGGAGAAAGCAAUUUUAUAUAUAUUAGUAGUAUAAAAGUAUUGGUCAUUACUUUAUGAUUCAAACAGAGCCAAGGACCACUGGGAACAUUGAUCUAAGAUGGAUAAUGUAUCUCUGGGAUCUCACCUUGAAAAUGACACAUCACAAUUAUCUUUCCAUUUGUUUUUUAUGAAAAUUUUGUUUUAUGUGGUUUGUUUUUAGUUUGUACUGUAACUAUUGUUAGCUUCUCUUUCACUGUGCUGAAUGUGGGGAAAGGCUGGCACACAGUGAGCGUCAGUGUAGGGCCACACUGUACUUUGUCAGUUUGUAUUAAUGGUCAGGUAUGUCCUACGCCCAUCUCGUAGGGCGUAGGACAUAGCUUUUGAAAAAUAGUUGUUGGGAACUAGUUUUUAAUCAUUUACAGAAGACUGUUUUCAAACAUAACUUCUUUUGAAUACAAAAAUUUAUAACUUUUUUUGUGGUGCUCAGGACCUGAUAGCCGGUGGCACGGAGAGCUCGGCGGUGACAGUGGAGUGGGCGAUCUCGGAGCUCCUGAGAAAGCCGGAGCUCUUCGACAAGGCAACCGAAGAGCUCGACAGGGUAAUUGGAAAGGAGAGGUGGGUGGAGGAGAAAGACAUCCCAAAUCUACCAUACCUAGACACAAUCGUCAAAGAGACCAUGCGUAUGCACCCGGUGGCACCAAUGCUGGUGCCCAGGUUCUCCAGAGAGGAUAUAAAAAUCGCCGACUACGAUAUUCCCAAAGACACCAGAGUCCUCGUAAACGUAUGGACCAUCGGGAGAGACCCCGAGAUAUGGGACCAACCCAAUGAGUUCAUCCCGGAGAGAUUCAUCGGGAAAAACAUCGACGUGAAAGGCCAAGAUUUCGAGCUUCUGCCGUUCGGUACAGGUCGGAGAAUGUGCCCAGGGUACAGUCUCGGCCUCAAGGUGAUUCAGUCGAGCUUGGCCAACCUUCUUCAUGGAUUCAAGUGGAAGCUGCCGGGCGAUAUGAAGCCCGGGGACUUGAGCAUGGAGGAAAUUUUCGGCCUCUCGACGCCUAAGAAGAUCCCGCUCGUGGCGAUGGCGGAGCCUCGCCUGCCGGCCCACCUUUACGACAUGUGAGUGUGGCUUGCUCGCUGUUUGUCACUAAUAAUUAGGGAAAUGUAAGGUUGUAAUAUGUUUUGUGAUCGGAUAAGGUGCUAUGUGUGUUGUACUCAUCAAAAUCCUUUUUUUAAUAAAAAGAUGUACUACUUUUCUAAUCAGUCAUGAGAUGUACAAAUUAGAGCCAUUGGAUCUUAGCUAAUCAUGAUUCAGUGAUCAAACCGAUGAUCAAAUCAUGAUUAAACAAUGAUAUUAACAUAUAUUAUAAAUAUAUAAUUUAUAUAUUAUUAAAAUUAAAAAUAAUUAUAACAAGUUAUAUAAAACAUUCACAAGUAUGAUAAGUUGGUUUUAUAUUAAUUUUUAUCAAAUUUUUAUUUAAUUAAUUUAAUGUUAAUACUAAAAUAUAAAAUUUCAAAGCUGUUAUUUAAUAUAACAUGAAGAUCAAUAAUAUUUCUAUUAACAUUUGGGCUAUUAAAAAAUAUCUAUGAAGAGUAAAGCCAAAUUAAAUAGCUUUAUACUAUUAUUUUAAUGACUAUACAAAACAAAGAUUAUCUCAAUGAAAGAGAGUCGGUGAAGUGUGAGAAAACACUUUGAAGUUCGUAAAAGUUCAUUGGAAUCUAUGUUGUUAUAUUUUGGCAUAUGGUCGAACACUUUUAACCUUUGUGUAGGAUCAAAGUGAUAAAUUUGGCCAAAAAAUUUGACACACCCAAAAGAAACGAGGAAAAAUUUAAUGCCUUCAAUUAUAAGAUAAUCUGUUGGUUCUAAGAUAAUAGAUAGUUUCUAAUAAUUGAAGCAACAUAUAAUAAAUUAAUUAAAUUGAAAAGGGUCUGUUUAACGGUCUAACUAGUUGAACUUCUUGUUCAGUUUGAUUCUUCAAAUGUUGGUAGAAACUUUUAAGGAUUGAUCUUAAAAAUAUAAUAAUAAUAAAAAUGAGCAUUUCAUGCACCAUGGUCCAAUCACCUGCUAUGAUCAUGUCUACUUCAUGAAUUUAAACCAUUCAAACACUUCAUAGUUUCCACCUUUCAAGAUAUAUAUGAGAAACUAUACUUAUUGUGGACAACAAAAAUAUGCAUCUUGUAUCAUACUUGGAUGAGAUAACAAUUGACUUCACUUUUAACUAAAAUUUCUUUUAUAAUCAUUUUAUGUGCUCUAUUCUUUUAUGCUUUGUCUUGUUGAAGAAAAAUAAAGAAAACAAGACUAUAGCAGAAAACAGAGUAUAAACAAGAGAAAAAUGGAGUAUUAGAAAUUCUGGAAUUGAAAAACAUGUUCUUGCAUUCCACACACUAUCUGAUUGAUUUACAUAUGUUUUUAUAUUAAAACUUCUAGACUUUAACUCUAGUUACCAAUUAACUAUAAUUACUAACUAACCAUACGGGUUAGCUAACUUCCUAGCUGAAAUUGGUUAGCUUAACACCCCCCCUCAAGCACAACCUGAAGAGACAACAAAGUUGAACUUGGUUAGCAUAUAAUGAAACCUUGGAAUAGACAAAGGCUUAGUGAACAAGUCAGCCACUUGUUCUACAGAAGGAACAUAAGAUACCACUAGUUUUUAAUCUAGCACCUGCUCACGAACAUAAUGACCAUCCACUUCAAUAUGCUUCGUUCGGGAAUGAAAUACCGGAUUAGUAGCCAAGGCACCAGCACCUUGAUUAUCACACCAUAUGACAGGUGUGUUGACAAGAGAAAUUCCAAGUUCUGAAAAAAGAUAACGUAGCCAUGCUACUUCUGUUGAUGCAUGAGCGAGGGCACGAUACUCUACUUCGAUUGAGGAUCUUGCUACCACAGACUGUUUACGGGAACUCCAUGUGAGAAGAUUAGUGCUAAGAAACACACAGUAGCAGGUUGUAGAGUGACGAUCAUCAAUUGAACUUGCCCAAUCUGUGUCGGUGUAUACUUGAAGAUGCAGAGAUGAAGCCGGAGUGAAGUGUAGCUCAUGAUGAACUGUACCCUUGAGAUAUCGUAAUACUCUUUUACAUGCUGUCCAAUGGAGCUCAAUAGGUUGCUGCAAGUAUUGACUGAGUUUGUUUACAACAAACGCUAUGUCCGGUCUUAUGUAAGUUAAAUAUUGGAGAGCACCAAUGGUGCUUCUAUAAAGUGUGGGAUAAGAAAAUGCAGGACCGGAGGCUACAUGAAGUUUGAGUGCUGCACUCAUGGGAAUAUGAACUGGUUUAGCUGAAUGCAUUUUGGUCCUAGUGAGGAGAUCAACCGUGUAUUUUGACUGUGUAAGAUGAAGACCAGUUGUUGUGCGAAGAGCUUCAAAUCCAAGAAAGUCUUUCACAAGACCCAGGUCUUUUAGCGCAAACCUAUUCUGAAGAUCCUGAAUAAGAGUUUGAAUAAAUGGAGCAUUGUUGCCUAUAAUAAGUAGAUCAUCAACAUAGACCAGCAACAAAAGAAAAUUGCCAUUGUGCUUGUAGAUGAAUAGGGACGUAUCUGAUGUGGAGGAGAUGAAACCCCAGGUAUGGAGAGCUUCCUUGAGCUUGUGGAACCAGGCACGUGGUGCCUGUUUAAGACCAUAUAACGUUUUUUGUAGCUUACAAACAUGUUGGGGAUGAGAUGUGCUAACAAAUCCAACUGAUUGGGAGAGAUAAACAGUUUCUACAAUUUCUUCAUUGAGGAAGGCAUUAUUGAAAUCAAUUUGUCGAAUCUCCCAAUUAUAUGUUACAGCCAAUGUAAAUACAACUCGAACAGUAGAGGCUUUGAUCAUUGGACUGAAAGCAUCAGUAAAUUCCACACCUGCAUAUUGCUGAAAUCCUUUGGCUACUAGUCUGGCCUUGUAGCGUUGGAUGGUACCAUCAAAAUUAUAUUUGACACGAAAAAUCAAUUUGCUAUCUAUGACAUUCAUGGAUGGAUGAAAGGGAACCAAGGUCCAAGUAUUGUUCUGGACUAAGGCUUGAUAUUCUUCAACCAUAGUUGUGUGCCAGUUGAGAUUUUUCAAUGUUUGACUAACAGUGGUAGGAAGUUGGUCUGAGGGUGAAAUGGAAGUAGACAGGUAUAUAAUAUGGUCUGGGAGUAGUUUGGGUUUAAAUGUACCCACCUUUGAAUGAGUAGUCAUGGGAUGAAGGGAAUGAGCUGAAAUAAGAGGUGAGGGUAUAGAAGGGGACAUUGGUCUUGAUGCAGCUGGACACAUGGAAAGAUGAGAAGAGGUCUGUGACAUGGUUUGUAAAAGGGGUAUAGAGAAAGAUGUGGAGGAAGUGUGUGGAGUAGGACUGGAAUCAUUCAUUGGUAUAGAUGAAUAGGGAAAUGUUUUUUCAUAAAAAAUAACACUUCUUGAAAUGUAAACUUUCUCUGAAGAAUGCAAACAUAGGUAUCCUUUAUGGGAGAGACUAUAUCCAAUAAAUGUGCAUUGAGUUGACUGAUAUUCUAGUUUAUGGUUUUUAUAAGGUCGGAGAUACGGAUAGCAAGCACAGCCAAAAGUCUUUAAGAAUAAAAAAAAUCAGGUGAGGAUUUAAACAAGAGUUCAUAGGGAGUCUUACAAUGGAGAACUGGAGUUGGUAGUCUAUUGAGAAGGUAAGUUGCUGUAGAGAAGGCAUGCCACCAGAAAGUAAAUGACAAUUGAGACUUAGCCAACAAAGUCAAUCCAAUUUCUACAAUGCUUCUAUGUUUUCGUUCCACCUUCCCAUUCUGUUGAUGAACAUGAGGACAAGGAUGACGGAAGAUGAUGUAUUUCUUCUGCAGAAGAGAUUGAAGGAGACAAAACUCCCCACCCCAGUUUGUUUGUAGACACUUAAGUUUGGUGGGAAAUUGUCGAUCUACCAAUGCUAUGAACUGCAAGACAAUUGAUGUUGCUUGGGACUUUUGUUGCAUGUGAUAAAUCCAAGUAUAGUUUGUAAAAGCAUCUACAAAUGCAAUAUAUUAUUUGUACCCAUCACAUGAAGUUGUAUGUGCAGGACCCCACACAUCCGAAGAAACUAGUUCAAAUGGAAAUUGUGUUUUAUUAAUAGUGGUAGGGAGUGGAAGCUGUUUUAUCUUGCUUAAAAGAUAAAUAGUACAAAAACUGAGUUCAUUUCGGAGCUUGGACUUAAUACCUAAUCUGUCAAGUACUAGAGACACAUUUUUGUUGCAUGGAUGACCCAGUCUUUGAUGCCACAAGUGUCCAACACUCGUGUUGCUGUCUUCUACACAUCUUGUAGACUCAAUUUUAUUUACUUGCAGGCUAUAUCCAACAGAUGGAGUAGCUGGUUGUUUGUUGAUAGUAGAUGGAGUAGUAGCUAGAUGAGGUAGGAACACAUUUGUAUCUUUAGAGAAACCUGUAAACUGCCAGUUAGAUGAGACCUUGGAGAUAUCCAACUGAUAUAGGUCUUCCUUAAGGUUGCCUUGGAGUAAUAUCUCUCUGGACUUCUUGUCUUUAACAAAACAGCAAUGAGAGUCAAACUCAAGGAUAACAUCAUUAUCUUGAGUGAAUUUAGCUACACUGAUAAGAUUUUUAGUGAUCUAAGGUACAUGAAGUACAUUGGUAAGAUGCAAUGACUUGGAAGAUUUACGUGAAGGAAAAGAAGUAUGACCAACACUAGAUAUAUCUAGUGUUUGUCCAUUGCCCACCACAACAUUACCUAUGCCAGAGUAGUGAUCAGAGACAUCAAAAGUAUUGGAAUCAGUGGUCAUGUGGUGAGUAGCACCACUGUCAACAAACCAUGAAGUGUUUGAAUCAAGAUCCGGAGUAACAAUAUAGGCAUGAGGAGAAGUGUUUGUUGAAUCAUGUUGUUGGUGUGAAUUCUGAAUUGGACGUGAUGGUACCAAUGACCCUGUGGAAUAUGAAGCUAACUUUGAGGCUGCAUUUGUGGUUGCAGUGGAAGUGGCUGAAGUUGAGGUUGUUGCGGUUGAUGAAGAGAUGAAAACUGUUGAUUUUGUGCACGUGGUGGAGAUUGGAAGUACACAUCAAAACGGUGGAAGCACUUCAUAGCAGUGUGUCCCAUUUUUCCACACAAUUGAAAAACAAUUCUUGAAGUUUGUAGAUUACGUACAUUUCUAGGACGAAAAUUCAUGCUGCUUGAACCUCUGAACUGUCCAUUAUUAGUGUUAGAAUUUUGAACACCUCCAACUGUAAUAUGUGCUGCUGGUGGAACGUCAAUAACAGAGGCUGCUGAAAGUUGCUCAAGACGAAUUUCAUGACUUUGUAGUAGAUAAUGGACUUCUUCUAGAGAGAUUGCCUCAGAUCUAGAUGUAAUAUUCACAACAAUUGUUUCAAAUUCUGGUCCUAAUCCACCUAAAAUGUAAAGAAUUAAAUCUUCAUUUGGUACAGGUUUUCCAGAGGCAGAGAGCAUAUCUGCUAUGUUUCUCAUCUUUAGCACAUAAUCAUUUAUGCUUAGAGCACCUUUCUUUAAUGAUUGUAGCAUGAAAUGUAGUUGAAGAGUUCUUGCCUUUGAAUUCGAGACAAAAAGUUUUUCAAGAACACUCCAUACUUCGGCUGAUGUUUGACAAUUAACCACAUGACCAUACAUGGCUUCAGAUAUGGAAGCAAGAAUCCAACUCAACAAGAAUUGAUCUAAAAUCACCCACUGAUCAUAUUCUGGAUUGGAUGCAGGUUGAAAUGAAUUAACUGAUGUUGAUUGAGAGAAUCUUGGAGGUUUUGGUAGAUUACCAAUGAGAAUUUGAUCCAGUUGAUGUGCUCUAGUUGCUAGUAAUGCCUGAGAUCACCAUAUUGUGUAAUUGUUCCUCUCUAGUUUCACCGAGGUCAAAUGAAGUGUAAAAGAAAUUUGUCCCAUAAGAAUUGAGGAAACUUUCGACGAGUUUCUUACCGGAGAUUGGAGUCCUUGUGAGGACAUCUCUGGUGCAAAGAAAUCAAUGUGAUCAGUCACCAUCUUGGACGUGUGUCAAUGGAGCUCGAUACCAUGUCUUGUUGAAGAAAAAUAAAGAAAACAUGACUAUAGCAUAAAACAGAGUAUAAAGAAGAGAACAACAGAGUAUUAGAAAUUCUGGAACUGAAAAACGUGUUCUUGCAUUCCAUACACCAUCUGAUUGAUUUACAUAUGUUUUUAUAUUAAAACUUCUAGACUUUAACUCUGGUUACCAAUUAAUUGUAGUUACUAACUAACCAUACGGGUUAGCUAACUUCUUAACUGAAUUUGGUUAGCUUAACAUACUCUUUCAGAAAUCUUUAAUUUAACUUCUCAUACUACUUAUUGUGACAAUGAAAAUUUCAAUGUAAAUAUAUAUAUAUAUAUAUAUAUAUAUAUAUAUAUAUAUAUAUAUAUAUAUAUAUAUAUAAAGAUAUAAAAAUACAAGAGAUUUUAAUAGAAUUUUGACAAUCAUACUUAUAUUCAUUCGCGAGAGAGAUUAUUUCAUUAUCCUAUGAAAGAUAUUAUAGUGAAUAAAAAAAAUCAAAUACAAUAAUUAAACUCUAAAGUAUUCUAUAUUUCCUCGUUUUUUAUAACACACCUAAACUACAGACUUGUGUUUUCCAUUUUUCCUUAUAUUUAUAUCCACUAUAUAUAAUAUUCACAAACUCUUCUUCAUAUUUUCAUUUCAUAAUUUAAAAUAUUUAUAAUGAUUUUUCGAAAAUUUAAUACUAUAAUAAUAUAUAAUUAUAGAAAAUAUUUUAUGUAAUAUUUUUUAUGAAUAAGAAGAUAUAUGAAUUAGGAAUUCUUUCAAAAUGAUAAGUUAAGAUAAUUUAUUUUUUUUCCCACCACCAUUCCUCACGUUCACUUUGACUUGGAAGGUGGAGUGGCUUGGUCCCCCGCCCACCACGUUCUACAGCUCAUGCUUUUGCCCAUUUUUCUCUUGAAUUUUCGUACCCAUAGCAUGGAGGUUUUUCCUCUUAUCUUCUUCAUGACUUUUUGAGUCAUGUCAUAUUCAAUCAAUUUUCUAGUCUUGUAUUGAAUUUCCAGAAGGGGAAAGAAUCAUUUCUUUAUAAUCUUAUAAAGAUCUUGUUGGUUGAUUUUCCUCACUAUUUUAUAAAUGCAAAUAAAAUAAAAAAUAAUUUUUUAUUUUAUUUUAUUUCUAAUAAAUAAUAUAAAUAUUGUGAUAAAUAAAAAAUAGAGCAAUUUUUCAUUCUCACUUAUCAAAUACACCCUUUGUUGUAUAUAAUUUGAAAUUUUAAUGAAAAUGCUUCAAAUAGAGUGGAGGAUGACAUGGCACGUAGGUGGUGUCAUGCUAGUGGAUUAAAUAAAAGGGAGACAAAGUGGCAGACCAAACAAAAAAAUGUUAGGGCUCACCAACUUUUUAUCAUAAAGUUCUUUCUUUAAAGUAAGCUUGGAGGAAAUUGCUUUGAAAAUUUCAACAUUUGAAUAAAUUUAUGGUGAUAGUGGAAAUUUGAUGUAGACCAACCUAUAAAAUUUAAAUAAAUUUAAUGUAACAAAUUAAGACGGGUACUUGGAAAGUAUUAGGAAAAGAAAAUUGUUUUUUUUUUUAUAUUUAAUCUUAUUAAAAAAAUUGUAUAUAUUUAAAUUAUUUAAUUUUUAUAUAAAAUAAUAAAAUAAAUACAUUUUUUCCAAAUAGUAUAUAAAAAUGAUUUAUUAAUUUUAUUUUAUUUUUUUACUUUUUCUUUUCUUUUUAUUUUCAUUUUCUCGCAUUUUUCUUCAACUUUUCGAUAUCGUCAAUUAAGGGUUUAGUUUAUAUGGGGGAAGACUUGAUCAUUGAGAAAAAAAAUAUUGAUUUAGUACAAAUUGAUUAAAGCUGGAGAUUACUAUAAAAGAAUCUUGCAUAAAGAGUAAAAAAGAUUAUUUUAUUUAUAAAAUAAAGAAAAUAAUCAAGAAUACCAUAUAAGGAAAAAAAUAGUUAUGAAAUAGAGAAGAUUGUGAAAAGUCCAUAUCAAAUAAUUAGAGAUACGACAAAGAGUUUGAAAUACCUCAUAAAAUAAGGACUUGCAAUCCAAGGUGUUGAAAAGUUAUAAUCAUAUUAAAGUUAUGUUUGGUUCCUAAACAAUGGAAAGAAAAAUACAUCCAAAAGAAAAACUUGAAAAAGUGAGGAAAAGUAAAAGAUAAAAAAAUUAAAUUAAUUAAUUAUUUUUGUAUGUUUUUAAAACCCAUUUCAAAUAUUUUUCUCAAUUAUAUAAAGAUUAUAUAAUUUUAAAAUUCAUAAAUUUUUUACUUAAUUUUAAUUAUAUUUCAUUUUUUCUAUACUUUCUAUGUACAACUAAAUUAUUUUUUAAUACUUUUUUUUUAAAAAAAAAACCAAACAUAAUCCUAUGUUUUGGAAUGAUUAUCUUUUAUUCAUAAAUAUGGAUAUCAAAGCUUUCGUUGGUAUAAUAAUUUUUUUAUAAAACUUUUUUAUGUUAGUCAUUUUCCAAAAAAUAAAAUAAAAUAAUUAAAAAAUUACAUCUUUGUUUAGAAAAUGUAAUAUUAUUUAUUUAUAAACCUUGAAUAUUUCAAUUAUUAAUAUUAAUAAUAAAAACUAACAUUACCUAUAAAAAAUCAAUUAUGAAAAAAUUCUUCAAAUAAUAUUAAAUAUAAUAGAGAUUUCAAUUUUUUUUAAAUAUCCAACAAUGGAAAAUAACAUAUUUUUAUUUAAAAUUUAACUUAAUAUUAAAAUAAAAUGUAUUUUUUCAAAAAAAAAAAAAAACUAUAUAGUAUAACGUAGUAUACAAUAUUUCGAAACAUCAUUAUUAAUUAGAUAUUAUAUUAUUCAAACAAUGUUUCUCAUCACAUCUUCCGCUCAUGGUUUGACAAAGUGCUAAGAAAAAAAAAAACUAGAAAUAUGAUUUUUUUUUUUUAAUAUAUGAUUUUACUAUAAAAAGUACGAAAUAAAGUAAAAUUAUAAUUAAAAUUAUUUAAUUAAUAAAUAAUUUUUAUACUUUUAAAAUGUUUAAUCUUUAUAUAAAAGAGUUAAAUAAAUUAAAUAAAUGUGAAAUAAAUAUAAAAAUAAUUUAUUGAUUUUAAACUCAUUUUUCAUUUUUUUCUCUAUUUUUCCUUUUAAUUUUUCUUCUCUUACAUUUUCCACCAACUUUUCAAAAAAUCAAAUAUAACCAUAAUAAAUUUUAAAAAAUCAUUUUUUUUUAGAAUUUUAGCAAAAUAUUGGAUUUUAAUAAAUAAUUUAAAUACCUUAAUAAAUGGCAAAUUUUCUUGUAGUGGGGCGGGGAUAUCGAGGCCCAAUGAGCUUGAUUAUAAUUACCAUUAGGCCCACAGUAUCAUGAAGGCCCAUGGGCCGUCGUCAUAGAUUGCCGAAAUACCCGAUAUCUCCGGCUCUCGUCUCCGCCUCCUCGCCACCGCCGCCAUGAUACGGAGUCUGAUCAGAAAUCCGUUGCAGUUAACCGCAGUCCUGUCUCUUUCCGCCGCUGCGUCUAACGUCCGAUUAUCUCGCUGUUAUUUUCCGUUAAUCCCUACAUCUAGCUUCGUUUCUUCUCGUUCAGCUUUUGGAUACUUCUCCAGUGAUUCGGAGACUCAGUCCUCCGAGCUGACCCGGCUUCCGACUAUUCUCGAUGGGUGCGACUACGAGCACUGGCUCGUGGUUAUGGAAGCUCCUCAGAGAUACCCACUUCGAGAUGAGAUCGUUCGUGGGUAUAUCAGAACCCUGGCAAUGGUUUUAAGAAGGUAAAGCCACUCUCAAGUGUGGAGUCGAUGAUUUUCAACUGAGUAGACUGGGUGACUUGGGCAAGUGACUCGCUACCAGUUUUUCUUUGAUGGGUUUUGAACUGUCACUUGUUUUCCAGUAUUUAUUUGUUUGAUUUUUUAUUGAAUUCCUGUUUGGUAGCUGAGAAAAUGUGGUAGAACAAGAGAAAAUUUGGGAACUGAGAAAAUUAAAACUUCUAACUUUAUCUUAAUAUAGCUAAUUGCCGUAGCUGGAUUGAAUUUUUUUUCAAUUUUUUGGGAAUCAGAGCGACACUGAAACAUAUUCUUUUUCUCUGUUUUCUUCCCAACCUAAGGUAGGGUUAGUGUUUGGUUUCAUUUGCAGUGAUUGUAUAAUUUACUUGGUUAUUUCUAUUUGGGAUUCCAAACUGUGGUUUUUGCAGUGAAGAAGAAGCAAAAAAAUCGAUUUACUCAGUUUCUACUAAGUACUACUAUGCAUUUGGUUGCAAAAUUGCAGAAAAUUUGGCCCACCAAAUCAAAUGUAAGUAACCUUCUUGAAAUCCCCUAUCAUGUUUCUUGUUCCAUUUCUUCUUCAACAUUUUUUCUUUAAUGCAUACUUGUUUGGUUGCAGCCCUGCCCAAUGUGAAAUGGGUUCUGCCAGAUUCUUAUCUCUGUCAUGGUGGAAAUGGCUAUGGAGGUACUCUUUUUUAGCUUUAUUUGUAUCUGCAUCAUCAAUUCGAGCAUUCUGUGGGAAUCGCCAUUUCAUGGAUGAGAUGAAAUAAUCUAAGAAUUGCUGUGUAUAGAACAAUUCUCCAGCUAAAAAAUUCUCUCACAGUGAUAGAAGUAGAAAUGGUAUAGGAGAAAUAGUUACUGGAUUUUUUUUUUAUUGAAUCCAUAUUAUGAGUUGUUACAAAGAAAUGGUAUUAGAUCCUAAACAGCCUCUAGGCAUGAUACAUUCAUCCUUAUCAGAAUGCAUCACACCUAACUUUCCCAUAUUUUAGUAACGUGGGAUGGGAUCCUGCUUGCGCACAAGUCCGGUUAGUCAGUUUGCUUUUGCAUUUGCUGCUUUCCUCUAAGUUGGUGUCUUUCCGCCAAGUAUUUAGGUGAUCCAUUAAGUUAGUCAUAAUCUAGAGUGGUGAUCAUUACCAUCACAAUUCUCAAAGCUAAGCAUGUGGGCAUUUAAACUUCUAUGAAAAUGAAAAAAUUGUUUCAUUUUGUUUUCCAUGGUAAUUGCAGGGACUAAUGCCUUCCCUUCUUUAGAAAAGACUCAAUGUUCCAUUGUGAAAUGUUGAGGUCAUUGCCAAAAAUGACAAUAGAAAUAUAAAUUAUCAUUAUUAUUUGGAAAAAUUGAUCAUAUACAUUAUAUUACAGUAGAUUUAUGUCAAAUAAUAUGGAAAAAUAAGAUGGAUUCAUUACGCACAAGAAUAUGAUUCAUAUCAAUGGGAUACCAAAAAUGUCUUUAUGUGAUAUCUUUUUGUUUAUUCAUGUUGAUAGGUGGGACUAGUAAGAAAGUCAAUGGGGAUCUUGUUUUUUCUGUUUCAGGGAUGGGUGGAUUUUAAAGACAAGCAAGAUGAUAUUUUCUUAGAAGAGGCCUUAUGGAGGAGAUUGAUUGAUUAUCAAAUAUAGUCAAAAUGUGUGUGUUUUCCUUGUGUUAAUAGUUAAUACCAUGUUUUUAAAUGCUUUAUGCUGGAUUUGAUUAUUGAUAUGAUAAAUCUACCAAUUCUAUACCAAGGUCAAUUCAAAUCCCUGGUUUUUCUUUUCUGUUUGCUUGACCCUUUUUUUUUUUUUUUUUUUCAUCAGAGAAAAAUCAAUACUUUCUUCCAGUAUUUCGCUCAAGAAAAAUGGAUAUUUAAAUGAGACAGCAUAUGUACCUUUGGGCUACCCUAUGAUUAAACUGUGAAUUGUCAGUUUCUAUACUCCAAUGAAUUUGUAUUUAUAUUAUUUUUGUUCAUUCUUUGGGAGCUAGUAGUAUACUAGUAUGGUGUAGGUAUAAUUCAAGAUCAGAUGCAGACAAGGAGUUGUCUUCUAUCUUCCUCUCCUAUGAGGCAAACGAACAUUACUGUAACUUUUGGCCAGUACCAUGCAUAAAUUGGUUCAUUUUUCUAUUCAAUGUUCUUGUUACCCCUUAAUUUCAUUGUAUGACUUCUGCUAAAAUUGCUUUGUAUUUUCUCACAGGAGAACCAUUUGUGAAUGGGGAGGUUGUUCCAUAUGAUGAAAAGUACCAUGCAGACUGGUUGCGGGAUAAAAGUGAUGAUAAGUGUAGAAACAAGACCAGCUCCAAGAAAGCUAGAAGAAAAAGAAAGAACAGAUUUUCCAAAGAUCAGGAUGUUUAAGUUUACCUCUCAGAGACAUAAGAUGUGUCGAUAGGAAAUCUUAGACCGGAUAUCAGAAUUAAAAGAAACCCUUUGUCUACCUCAAAGGCACACAGCACACAUAUUAUGCAACCGAGAAUACCAUUUGGUUCAUUUGAUUGUGGGUGCCUUCUUGGUCUGGAUAAGUCCCACUUUGGAUAUAUAAGUGGAAGGAAAGGCAGCUUUCAUUCCACUGAAUUCAGGUGAUUGAACCAGAAAAGCUUAUGGAGUGGUCUCAUAUCUGAACAAGUAUCAGACUGCUUGAUGGAAGCAGCACAUGUGAGGUGGAGGGUGCUUCUAUCAGAGAAGAAAUGUACCAUUAGUGGGUGGAGCACAAGAACUACAGGGAGCCAGAGGUUUCAAGCGUUCAACACAAUAAUCUGCAAGAGCCAGUAACAUGGUGCUUGGGAAUCCAAAUCACAUUUGUUUUUCAAGUCCACGUAUCUACAUACAUUCUUCCCACCAACAUGAUUGUGUUUCGUCAUGGUUCAUUCCUUAUUAACAGCAAAUAUUGACAGUGCCUUUUGAACUGUAUCUUAACUCCAUUCAUUACUUAUGCGUUUAUUCUAUUGAUCAAGCUUACCUCCAUUAUAGCAUUUUUUGCCCACUCUAAUGCGGACAUCUAUGAAUGGGAAGUUUUGACACUGAAGCCUUGUUGUUGGUCAUUUUGCUGUAAGAUGGUUGUGUUGAAUACUUAGAACUGUGUUUUGUUACAUAUUGUCCAAUCUUCUCAUAUUUCAGAUCAGUUUGCUUCAGCUAAAACUUGUGCCUAUACCUGGGUUUGCUUCGGUAUCCUACCCCGCUAAAUGGCAAGACUAUCUCCUCUUCUGGGUUUUGUCAUCUAACAGAUUUGAUAGAAACAGCUACUAAGGUAAUUUUGGAUAUAUGUAAAUGGUGUAGAUUUAACAUCCUUAGGAGGUGUCACCAUUCACUAUUUGGUGAAUGCUCAUUUUUGGUACGACAGGAAAGGGACAUGUAGUGUAAAUUAUUUAGGGCUUAGGGUUUAUGUGGUGUAGACUUUGCCUUAUCAGAACAAACAAAAACAGUCUUGGUCAACAUAAAUCUUCUAGGAAGCACCAUUUUGUCCAUCCAAAACACCACCUAGAAAAUAGAAUUAGAAGUUCAUUUGGUUGUUUUUAACUAUCUGUAGUCUCCAUUCUAAAUACUUGUCUAAGUUUUCCCUUUCAUGUACUGGUUGGAGGGUAUUCAUCAAACCUCCAGCUUGCAGAUCAGUAAUACAAUUUUUUAUACAUGUUGCAGAACUUGAACAGCAAGUUUCUUUUUAUAAAAAACUACCAAGUGUAUACGACUUGGGUUUUAAUCACAUCAAUGUAGCUUUCUUGCCCUUAUUGUUUACAAUUGUGUAAACAUCAUUCAAGUUACCUCUGAAUGUUUAGGGACGGUUCUACAGAUUUUACCAAUAGACUGUCAUGGAAGAUUGAGAAAACUGCCUUAGUAUAAGGAUGGAAAUUUAGGAAAUUUUUAACUCUGAUGGUAAAGUCAAUAAUUUAGGCUGGUGGGGACUCAUUUCCUGGAAAAUUUUCUAAAUUUUCUGGUUAACAAAAGAAAUUGUAAGUUACAGGUCUAACCAGUAUGCCAACGGCCUGAACUACUAGAACCCACUAGAAAUUCUCCAAAAGAAAAGCUUAUCUGCAAAAUGAUUCUGUGUUCUGAUAAUUUAUUAUUUCCUAAAUAGAAAUAUAUUUUCAUUCUAUGGAUCAACCAAUUAUUUUGGGUUGAAAAAGUGGUCAAAUUAUUAAAAUGAUGAUGAACUUUCAAACUUCAGAGAGUUGAUUUUGUCUGCAUAUGAUUUGUUACCUGCAUGGUGUAUAAGACAAGGCAAUGACUCAAGAAAAUGAGAGGAAAUGGUUCGGUUAUCUUGAUUGAAUGGGAACUGAGUACAUAUCCAGGAUUAAGAAACUGAUAUCGAAAAAACUAGACUAAGCUUUCUUAUUCCUGAUCUGUAUAUAUUUUUAACUUGCAGUAGAGUUAAUCGUAUGUUCAUGAACUCAUUUUUACAUUUGCUCUACUGAUUUGUGCAGUUCAUGCCAGUUUGAAGAGUGAUACAAAAUUUAUUAUCAGAGUAUACAGGACCUGACCUGAAUUGACUCAAUCUAUGCGUAUGUCUAAGGCCUUUAGGACAUUUGAGCAGCCCAAUCUCUUUAUUUUCGUCUUUUUUUCCAGCUUCUUUUCCAUUGUUGUGAUUAGCUUCUGCUUCUGCUUCUGCUUCAUCUUUCCCACACACCCUUAAGGUAAUUUGUGCUUCACCUUUCUUUUGGCCUUCUGCUGGGACAAUGUAGACAAAAGGCAUAAAUCCAGUGUCUGCCAAGUCCAUGAGAGAUUCUAAAGUCUUGACCACAGAGCUCAUUCUGGGUCUGCACUUGGCCUUUUGGCUCAAGCAUUGGUUGGCCAGCAUGGCUACCCUCUUGGCUCCUUCUGUUGAGUACAUCCCUUCGAGCUUGGGGUCGAUUAUUCGCUUGAGCUUCUGGGGAUCCUUCAAAAAUGGCAAUGCCCACCCCACCAGGUUCUGCUCUCUACUGGGCCGGCUCUUGUCCGUGGACCGUCUCCCUGUUAGCAGCUCUAAAAGCACUACACCAAAGCUGUAUACGUCGCUCAUUGUUGUCAAAUGACCUGAAAAGACCAUAAAACUUGAGAACUAUAGCUCCUCAAUGGUGCCAAAAUUCAAUGAAAUUGCAAACUCAAGCUGCUUAUUAUUACCAGUCAUGAUAUAUUCCGGAGCAGCAUAGCCUUCUGUCCCCAUAACCCGAGUCGUGACAUGCGUUUCAUCACCUUCUGGACCAUCCUUUGCUAGGCCAAAAUCAGAGAGCUUAACAGUAUAGUCCUACAAAUAAAGAAGAGAAAGCAACAUCAAUGAUAUUGCUCAUGGUGCCCUAUACUUAAAGACCACAAAGGAAUGGCCAUGGCCAUUACCGAGUCCAAUAAGAUGUUUGAAGCCUUGAAAUCUCGGAAUAUCACUGGAUUCUCCUCUUCAUGGAGGAAAGCAAGGCCCUUUGCAGCCUCUAGAGCAAUCUUGACUCUUGUUGUCCAUGGCAAAGAAGCUGAAUAUCCUGCAGUAAUGACAGAUAUAUAUAUUGUGUGAAUUCUCAUUGCUUCAGAGGUAGAAUUGAAUUAUCAGUAAAAGAAAUGGCCUGCAUAUAUACUUCUGAAGAGCUGGUUCUCCAAGUUUCCCUUAGCCAUGUAUUCAUAUAUCAGCACCCUUUGCUCCUUCUCACUGCAAUAUCCAAUCAAUUUCACCAGAUGGGGAUGCCUCAAUUGCCCAAGAAAGAUUACUUCAGCCUACAAAACAUAAAAUAAAUAAAUAAAUAAAUAAUAAAUAAAAUAAAAUAAAAAAGCUUAACCCACACCACCCCACAACAUUUCAAAACACAGAAAUCCAUAUAAGAACUUGAAAAAGAAAAAGAAAAUUAAACCCACCAGCCACUCCCUAUGGCCUUGCUGACCAUCCAAAUCCAGCACCUUAACAGCCACCUGCUGAGCCUUAAAUCCAGGCCUAACCUUCUCAUCAAUGACCCCCUUGUACACUGGUCCGAACCCACCUUCACCCAGAAAACUACUCGAAGAGAAGUUAUGAGUAAUCGCCCUCACCUCCGCCAGAGUAAACACAUCAAGGUCUGUCGCAAUGCGAGAACUACACAGCCUCUUCAGCGACCUUCGUUUCAAAGCAACAUUCCUGGAGCCGGUAUGCCUGAAACAGCUGGGAAACGCAUAUUUCCACGUACCCUUCUUCAAACCCAUGAUCAGAUUAUGAGAUGUGUGUCUGCUAUGCAAAUGGGGUUGGCUUCACAGGCCUAUAAAAACGAGUCUCAAGGCCAAAGAAUUAAAGAACAAAGUCAUUCAGAAUCAGCUUCCUUGCUGGGUAAUCUUUGUUAUUGAGUUCUUCGGCUUGAGCUCUCCAGAUGGGUGUGGUAUUUAUACUGAAUCUGGCUGUGGAUCAUUGGUCUGAGUAUCGGUCGGAAGGUAAAAGGAACCCAUAUUCGACCUUGGCCCUACCAUAUGAAUGACUUGGAAAUCAGGCUGAGAGAUGAAGUAUUCCACCUUGAUGUGAUUAUUAAAGGAGUCAUGUUAUCUUUAUCUGUACAGUUAUUAUCACAUGCUUGACGAUAAGGGAAUUUCUUUGUAGUUUCAUGUACUCGUCUUUGUGGGAACUCGCCGAAAAGGUUUUAUCAACUCCUUUCCUGUUCAAAAAAGUGCUCAUAUCCCAUACUCGGUCUUCAUUUUCAUUUCUUCCAAGAAGGGGAAGGAAAGCCAUCUUUUAGUAUUGGGCAAAAAAGAAUGACUUGAAUUUUUAAGACUCUGUUUGAUUGGUUGUGAGAAAUUUAAGUUUAUGUUUAGUUUUUAGAAAGUAUCAAGAAAAGAAAUUGAUUAUAUUUUAAAAAGUAAAAAAAAUAAAAUUAAUUAAAAUUACUUAUUUGUAUAUAAAAGUUAAAAUAAAUAAAUUUAUAUACUUUAAAUCUAUUUUUAUUUUAUUUUUUUUCAUAUUUAUUGUUCAAAAUUAAAUAUGAUCGAAAUUUAAAAAUCUAACCCUUUAUUUUUUUUUCUUUAUUUUUUUUAUCUCUUUUUUUAUUAAAAAUGGUUUAACUUUUUUUUUGUAAAAAUAAUAUUUUAUUUUAAAAUUUACAUGAUGAAUAAUAUUUAUAUAUAUAAAACCUUAAUACAAUAAAAAAUAUAAUAUCAUUUCUUGUAAAAAAAAAAUCUUUUCAUAGCUCUAAGGUUUUAAUUAGAAUUUUUAUUAUUGCAAAACCAUUUUUCAAGAUUAUAACUUUGAUUUAUGCAAAACAAAAACUUCAAUUUUUUUAAUUAACUCUUUUUAAAAAAAAAUUUUAAAAAAAAACUCUUUAAACCUCACUAAUCCAUUUAGCUUAAAAAAAUAAAAUGGAAAGAAAAAAUCCAAAAUUUUCCAUUUGUUGUCUACCAAAAUAUGAAAUAAAAAGGUUAUUGAAAAUAUAAUUAAAUUUGAGUAAUAAAUCAUCAAUUUAUUUCUUGAUUAAUUCACAUAAAUUAUUUUUAAUUACAUUUUCAAAUUAAUGCAUUUUUAUAGCUUGAAAACAAAUGAAAAUGUGGACGAGGUAGCCACAAGGCCCGCAACAAAAAAUUAAAGGAAGCAUCGUUGCUUUACUAAAAGACGUCUUUGGGGGUGUCAAAUAGAUAGCGGCGUCAAUGCUUUUAGAUUGCCCUUUUGAGCCGCCUCCCAAAUAUUGUAGGUUUUGGUUAUGGUACCGAAAUAUCAUGUAUACUUUCUAUACCAUACCGAAAAGAUACCUCAAUUCCAUGGUACUAGAGAAAGAUCUCAUUAAUUUGUACUCGGGUCUUAUUAUUUUCUAGUUUAGUUAUAAUCUUUUUAAUCGACGCCUUCGUCGUAUUUAUAGCUUGAUUUCAUUUAUUUGUAUUUUGAUAUCGUAUGUUUGGACUAUUAUUUUGCUAAAAUUUUGUCAUAUAUUUUUCGUAGCUCAUAUCAAUAAUUUGAUAUGAUACUAAAUUGAUACUAUAAUUUUUGUGUUAAUUGUAUUAUUUAGUAUUUAAUAAUUUUUUUCUUGUUUUAAUCAAAUUAUUUGUAUCCAUCUUGUUUUGAUCACUAUUUUUUUUUUUUUUUUGUAUUUUGAUUACAUUUUUUGGUUCUUAUUUUACAUAUGGUGUAUUGAAAAUCAAAAUAACAGGUAGCUCAGUUGAUCAAGGCAAAUAUUGGGAACUGUGAUCCUAAUAAGUAACACAUAGUUUUGGGUUUGAAUUUUAUCAUUGAUGAUACUUUGAAUUUACUUGAUAUUAAUUGUUAUAGGGUGGUUAGCACCGUGAGGUUUAGAUUCCCAUGAAAAGUCAUAAGGAUUGGUCAUGAAAAAAGUAUGAGAAAAGUUAUUACAAAAAACAAUUUUAUCAAGAAAAGAAAUUGAUUUUAUUUUAAAAAGUAAAAACAAUAUAAUUAGUUAAAAUUACUUAUUUGUAUAUAAAAGUUAAAAUAAAUGAAUUUAUAAUCUUGUAAAAAUAAAAUUUCUUUUCAUAGUUCUAAGGUUUUAAUUAGAAUUUUUAUUAUUGCAAAACCAUUUUUCAAGAUUAUAACUUUGAUUUAUGCAAAACAAAAUACUUCAAUCUUUUUAAUUAACUCUUUUAAAAAUAAAAAUAAAAUCUUUAAACCUCACUAAUCCUUUUAGCUUAAAAAAAUAAUAUGGAAAGAAAAAAUCCAAAAUUUUCCAUUUGUUCUAUAGUAAAAUAUGAAAUAAAAAGGUUGUUGAAAAUAUAAUUAAAUUCGAGUAAUAAAUCAUCAAUUUAUUUCUUGAUUAAUUCACAUAAAUUAUUUUUAAUUACAUUUUCAAAUUAAUGCAUUUCUAUGGCUUGAAAACAAAUGAAAAUGUGGACAUGAUAAGCAUGACAUGUAAUGAAAAUCCAUUUUCUUUUCCUUAGCCACAAGGCCACAAUUAAAGGAAGCAUGUUGCUUUACUAGAAGAUGUCUUUCAAUGCUUUUAGAUUGCUCUUUGGUUAGAGCAAAUGUUGGGAAGUAUGGUUCUAAUAAAUGACACAUGGUUUUGGAUUUGAAUUUUAUCAUUGAUAAUACUUUGAAUUUACACAGUGUUAAUUAUUGGAAAACAAUUAGCACCUUGAGGUAUAGGUCCCAAGAAGAGUCCAAAAAAAUUGAUCAUGAAAAAAGUAGGAGAAAAGAUAUUACAAAAAGCAAUUUUAUCUAAUUGAGUGGUCCAUCUACAUCCAAGCCCUUUAAUCCCACCAAAGCUUUGAGCACUUUAACCCUUCCAAAAGCUUUGAGGCAUUCAAUUCCAACUCCAAGGGUCUUUUCAAUUAAGACUUUCCUUAUUCUUUUUACAUUUGAAUUUCUUAAAUUCUAAUGGAAUUUUAUAACCCUUCCAAAAGCUUUGAGGCAUUCAAUUCCAACUCCAAGGGUAUUUUCAAUUAAGACUUUCCUUGUUCUUUUUACAUUUGAAUUUCUUAAAUUCUAAUGGAAUUUUAUGAUCUUAAAGUGCUCUUCUAUGCUUUGCCAACUCCCUUUUUUAAAAUUUUUAAAAAAAAUUCUCAAGAAUACGGUCUCUAACUUUAAAUGGGAUAAAAGAUAAAUUAUAACUAAGUCCAAGGUAUACUAAGAGGAUUUUGCAAGUUCGGAAGUAAAUAUACUUAAUAAUGAGUUAUAAACUCGUUUUUAAAUGACAAAUAUAUUUGCAAUACUUAUAAAUGAAUUUUAAUUGUCUAAAAUCGGUAGUUCAAGCCGAAACUAGUUGUUAGACGUACAUAACUUACAAAUUAAUAUUCGAUCAUAUGUUAAAUCAAUAACUUUUCAAAAACAGAAAUCUUGAUUGACUGAAGUUUGAUAGAUUUUGAUUUAAACUCAAUAACCUUGGUAGUCAUUGUCAAUUUGUUACUCAAAACGAAUAACAAAAUUUGGUGUUUUGAUGGUAGUCCAUACAAUUUUUGAGGAGAAACUCGAUCGAGUUUCUAUGAUUAAUUAUCAAAUUUUGCAAUUUUUUUUAGAUAGGUGCAUAUAUUAUUAUUUCUUUUUUAUUGAUUUUGUCUUUUUAAAAGAUAAUUUUUUUUAUUUGAUUUUUUUGGUAAGUUUAGUAAAAAAAAAGAUCAAUAGCCAUAUUUUUAAAAAAUUUGUACUUUUUAAAUCUUUUAAGAAUACCAUGGGACGGAGGAAACCAAAAUUCUUAACAAAUUCAAAUUUGCUUUCCAUUAUCGCAAUUUUUUAUUUCCAUUCUUAUUUCUAAAAACCAAUUCAAACCUAACAAAUGUCAUCCUCCUUUCCUAUUUUCAUGUGACAAACUAACACAUCCCAAUAAAAUCAUGGACAAAAAUAGAAAAAUGUAGUGACAAUAAACAAAAUAGUGGUUCACCCAUUAAUACAAACAAUCUAGCUUGAAGGAAAAAUUUCUUCUUUCCUAUAUUUACAAAGUGAAAGAAGACAUUUCUUUGUGAAUGCUUCCUCACUUAUGUCAAUUUUUUCAGAAAUUAAUAGAAAAAGUAACUUCAAUUUACUAUUUUCUACCCAUCAAAGAGAUUCCUAGCCCCAACUUUUGAAAAGGAAAAUUUACAAACUACCACAUGCAAUAAAUGGGCCCCAUAUGGGGGACUUCAUCAUUAAAUAUGGAUAAGAAUAUAAAAAUAUUUAUGAAAAAAGAAAUAAUAUUUUAAUUCAAGAGUGAAAUGACAAAAUAUUUUUAUAAUAAGCCAGCCACUUCUGCAACAGAAGUCAAAGUUGUCUCUGAUUACUUUCUCUUCUUGGUGGACCAACAGUUUUCCUUUCUAUUUUUUUAUUACUUUUUUUAGGGUUCUUUAGAAUCUGUAGUUACUUUCUUUUCUUGGCAGAGCAACUUUUUUUCUUUUUUAUUUUAUUUUAAAAAUAUUUUUCUAGAGUCCUUAAGAGUCUUCAUGCCUAUGAUCAAACCCCCCCUUUUUGCCAUUGUGAAGACCCUUAAGAGACCUUGGUUUUCUUCAGGCAGCUGGGUGGAACCUUCAAGACUUUGAAUGGGGGGGAUAAGCUAAAAUCCUUUUCUCAUUCUUAAAGAUUUAUCUUGAAUUGGAAAAGUGUUUGGUUGUUGGGAAACUUGAUUUUGUUCAAACCUUUCUUAGCAUGGGAUUACUGAUUGACCCAUUAUUUGACACAAUUCUUGGUAGCUUUAUCUAUUAAAAAAUACUUUGACACCUUCCUAUCAACCAUUUAAUGAUUCGUUGAAUUUGAUGAAAAUUAGUGAGAACACAUUGGGUGAAAGUAAUAAAAUCUUUAAGCUUUACAUUGAAAGUGUUUUCAAGAUUAAUUUUGAAAAAUUAUUGUAUGAUGUGUUGUAAAACAAAAAUCUAUACGAGAACUUGAAAUAUACUCAAUAUAUUUUCUAUAUUUUUAAAUAUAUGUUAGAAGUAAUUUGUAUAUAAAAUACUUUAUUUUUUAAAUCGAUCAUUAAAAAAUAAAAGCAAUCAAACACAACUAAAAGAUAAAAUAUAAAAACACUUAAACUAUGUUUGGAAGUGAUUCUAAAAAGCAUUUCUAGCAUUUUUAAUAUUUGAAUGAUGAAAAUUUUCAAAUAUUAAAAAUAUUAAAAAUGUUUCUUAAAAUCACCAUCAAACUGGCUUUAAGACCUCAUGUUGUAACUGUUUUCCACAAUAAUUUUUUAUUUUUCAAAAUAAAAAAAUAAAAAAAUAUGUUUGGCAACGAAAAAACCAUUUUUUGUUCUUAAAAACAAAAAACAUAAUAUUUUUAUAUAAAAUUAUUAGUUGUUUUAACUUAUUUUCUAAAAAUUAUUUAAAAAAUGAUUUUAUAUAUAUAUAUAUAUAUGCAAAAUGAUUAAAAAUACAACAUAUAUAAAAAUUAUUUUUAAAACAUAUUUAUAAACAUUAAAAACAUAUUUUUUUUUUCUGAAAAAAUUUUAUCAUAAUAAAAUAAUUUUUAAAAACUAUUCUCAAAAAAAAAAAUUCAAAAUUAAUUUUGAAAGUAGCUACCAAACAAGUUCCAAGUUUUCUGUUUUCAAGAAGACCGCCAAAGUUGUUUUUUUCAAUAAAACAAAAAAAAAUUAUCUUAUAAAACAAUUAUCAAACAAGAUCUUAAACAUUCUUUUGCAAAAAUGUUUUCAUUUUAUUUCAACUCAAAAGGAAUUUUUGCAAAUUAAUCUUAUUAAAAGAGUUCAUAAUUUAAAACCACGACUAAAACGAAAAUCAAAAUCACAAUUUUCAAAGGAUAUUAUUAAUAUUAUAAAAAUUCCAUUAAACAUGAGAAAAAAAUCCUUAGAUAAGUCAAAUUAGAGUUUUUGAAAAACCGAAAAUUAAACACUUUUUUUAAGUCAUGGACUCUUUGAAGGCCAAACAAACAAUCCAUGAGUUAUGACCUUCACAAUAUCAAUAUUGCUUUCGUCUGCUUUUAGCUAUAAACCUAUAAACAAAAGAAGCUACACCCAAUAUAGAAAUUUGAGUGAAACCUAUAAAAUGGCCGUUGUAACUCAAAAUUCUCCCUAUUUAACAACUCAUUUCAGGCCUUAUAGUUGGCAAAUGAAUAUUGAAAUAAACUAUUGGGUGAAGUCAUUCACUAAUAUACUUUCAUGAAACCCUCAACAAAGAAACUAAGUCAUAAAGCAAGAAACACUCCAGAGAAUAUUUGUAAACCACUACUAGUCAAUAACCAAUCACUCAUUUCCAUCUAUUACACUUUCAAACCUUAGUGGGCAAGGAAAGUUACAAAGUUCUCAUCAUGCUUUAUGGACUUAGAACAUAGGACUUAAGACUUAGGACUUAGAACAAAGGACUUAGGACUUCAUCCCCAGAUCAAAAAACAAUGAAAAAGAAAAUCUCUGCUCAGCUAUUUUAUUCUAUAAUGCAGUAUGAAAGAGACCCAACAACUCAAUUUGGUGUUUAAUUUUGUGUCUGUGAAGGAAAAUAUAACAUGGGUCGUCAUUGAAUUCUAAGGAAAUCCAAUGAAGGGGAGGGUGUAUCAACUAUAAUGGAGAAUAUUUUCAAGGAAUCUGAGAUGCUUAGGGCUAAAAGUUACUUCUUCCAUAGCAAUAUUUUGAAAGCGUAAGUCGGUAUGAUAAUCAGGUGUAACUUGACCUAAACCAAAGAAGAAACUGGGGAGAAAAGGAGGCAUGCUUGAAAGAAUUACAUGUGAUAUGGAUCAUUGAUAUGAAAAAACUGAAAUCUUCACUUUGAAUGCCAUGUAAAAGGAGAACUCAUUUCUAUGGGAAAAUCCAUGCCCAAACUUUUUCUUACAGGUGAUUUGGCAAACAGUGGCUCAUUGAUUUCCCCUUUUUUGGCAUAAUAAAAAAGAAUAAACCGUACCCCCGCCUCUCCACGUACAGACCACAUGAACAAUAAUCCACCACUCGUUUAGAAGGCUAGAAAAUUGUUUGAAUUUAGAGAGAUGAAACAAAAUGAUAAGACAAGAAGCACAAAACUUUGGGGGGCAAUAAGGUUAUAUAGACAACCACUCGUACUGGAAACUUGAACUAAAUCUCAGCACCUCGAAACCAAUGGAUAUCGCCAACUUUUUUAUAUUCAAAGAAACUGAUUCCGGAAAUUUACACCUGUUGAACCAAAGUCACAAAAUGAAUCAGUCCAUGAAUGGGACUUGAGCUAUUCAGGAGGUAGGAAUCUAUCAAGUGAAGACCUAGUUAAUUGGAAUUUGUUCAUACCUCACUAUUCAGGGGGUAGCCACACAAAUGUUAUAUACAGAAAGAAAAGAACCCUGCAAUAUUCACAAACAUUACUACAGGACAAGAAAUACUCUCUGGAGAUAUAAAAGCUUGAUUAUGAAGCGCACAAAAAAUAAGCUAUUAGGUGCCCACCUUUGACAACAAAAAUGAAGUCCAACAACCGAGGACAAUAGGAUAGAACAAGAAGCAUUUAGCAGCAUAAUCAGAUUAGCAUAUCAGGAAAAUGCUAUCUGAAAACAAGGCUUCCAUUCUGUUGGUGUCUCAAACUUUCAAUGAGUGACUGGUAGAAAGAUUUCAAAGCCUUUAUAUCACUACCCUGCAGACAGACAAAUAGGGACACAGCAACGAUCAGCAGUCAGCACCAAAAAGCUUGGGGAAAAAAUAAUUUGCUUAGAAGUUGUUGUUUCGAUUCAAAUGUUUUCUUAUCAUUAAAAGUUCAUAAAUUUGUGGGUAGGACCAUUUUAUCAUAGAGAAACAUAUCCAGAGGAGAGGAGAGGGGAAAGGGAGGGGAAGGAAUUAGACUCAGAUCUCCACACAACCUUUAUUGCAUGGAGAGGAAUCAUUAACGAGAAAGGAAAUACACAGGACUCCAAUUAGAAACUUCAAAUUUCAUCCAAAACCGGGCAGAAUUGGAAUAGAAACAAAAUUUAAAAUUAUAAGGACUUCUGCAUUUGCACAUUUUAUUUUCUAAAAUUGAGGCAAAAUAUGUCAGCAGACAAUUCCCUUCUUUGAUUUUCUUUCAAUUCCCUAGUUUGUAUUCCUUUCCUUUGAAUUGCAUGUUCUGAACAGUUCCAAUGACAACAGUUUGCAUGUUCCACACGUUGCUUGUUCAUAUCCAUUUCCCUUGUUCGUAUAACAUUUAAGUGUCUGAAGGAAAAUAGACUGUUUCUGUACUGGAACAACAUUUAAUCUUUGUUCUAUAUUAAAAGGCCAGAACUAUUUCAGAUACCUGCAAUUUUUGACAAUAUUCCUCAGCCAAAUCUUGAGGGCAAUGUGCAGCAGGGAAACCUUUUGAAACAAAAUGAAUGAGAAACUCGUUACCAAAUUUCUCAUACAUAAUCUUCUGAGCCAGUACUAUUUCUCCAAACAAAACAAGCUGCAACAGAGGAACAACCAUUAAUAAGCUACAUAGCUAGCAGUAACACAAUCGGAGGUGAGUUCUUCAACUAAAAUCAAUGAAGCGCACAAUCUGCAGGCCAACCAUUACUUAUUUAAUCAAUGAUAUAACAAGCAAAUCACAAUAGUCAAUUAAUUACAUCACCUCACUCCCUAGUAGGGUUAUCUAGGGGAUAGAAAUAUAUCAUGUUGUCUAGAAUAAAUACAUGGCUAGAAAUAAAAUUGUUAGCACCACUACUAAUUAUAAAAUUGGUUCAAUUCCACUAAAAUAUAUAAACUUACAGUAUUAGCAUCACGAAACUCGAAGGAUCUGUCAAGCACACUGUACAAACAACAGUUUGUUGCAAAGACCUCAAUUAUGAAACUCUGGAAACCAGGUACCUAAAAACACUCUUCAUAUGUUAGUAUGAUGAACAGGAAAAAGUUAAGCAAGGGAUUUGGGAUUCUAGAGGAUAGAUUACCAUUUCUUCACCAUAAGAUCUAGUGCACCAAUCUUUAAUUAGCCUAAUAAAGAUCUGUACGCAGGCCUGGGUAACAUAAACAGAAGAUAUGUUAAAUUCGGUUGAUGACCAUUCCAACAUUCUUAGAAGGCAAUUUAUUGGUCACCCUCAUAAGAAAACAUAAACUAACAAAUGUCAUACAGACCUUUCUUACAAGAGUAUCCUUGUGACCACAAGCGGUGCGCAAUAGCAACUGCAUCAUUGGAUCCAAGUAGCCCCUGCUUCUUGGGGAAAGGAAAACUGAAGACAGAUCAUGUGUCGCUAUCACAUGGAGAAAUGUGUACAAUGUCCGCUGAAGUUCUUGCAACUCACGGAUUUCCUACAAGAUAAAGUAGGUUGCCUUAACAAAUAGAAACCCACAAUCUUAGCUCUAGAUUCAAAAAAAACAUUUAAAAUUGAAACUUGGCACAUAGAGCAUACAAUUUAAAGUGGAAUCCAUUAUAUCGUUGUCAUGCUCAGUGUUUAAUAAGCAGGUUUAGGGUAAAGAAUUCUAGAAUACAUAAGUAACUAGUUACCUUACCACCAUUCUGCUAACCAUAGCCAACCAUACAAGUGAUAGCAUAAAUAUAAAUAUAGGAGAAUAAAGUCAGGAGCACCAAUGAGCAACCACCAUUCUACCCAAAGGUUUAUUAGCUCCAAGAAAAAUUGACAAUAAAAGUCCCUUGUUUGCAUAAGGAGGAAAAAGGGAAAACACAAAAUAUGUCAAUUAACAUUUAUCCACAUAUGACUCAUAUGAGCACAUAUAUUGAACAAUACUGCAAUUAAAUUUAUGUGAUCACAGGAGAACAUAUUGUGGAACAUUCAAGCUUCAUCUUUGAUUAUCAUGCAAUAAAAACAUGUUAAUGUGUAACAAGAAAUGACAAGUGGCAUCCAAUUUCUAUAUUCAUUUACCUAGGAAGAAAGAUAAAAGGCCAGGAGCUUGCACAGAAUUAGCAUCCCAAGUACAUGAGAGAUGAAGAUUAAGACCAGUUGUAUUAUGAAAUUAACAAGUCUUGUUACCUCAGUACUGCUCCCAGGUCCUGAUGGAAAUGGAUCCCUUGGGAGAAUAUUAAAUAUCCUACCAGCAACAGCAGGAUAUAUUUCCUCCAAUAUGUCACGGACCAAGGUGUUGAAUUUGCAUAUGAGCUGAUUGAUUAAUACAAGGAAACCCACCAACUCUCUUGGCUGGAACAAGAACAUGAUAUAAAAUCAGAACAUGGGGUCACAAAUGAAAUCAACAAGUGAACAAGUACCAUAAAAUAUAUGUUGAACUUAGAAACAGAAAUAAUACAACUCUGUAAAAAUUCAUGAAAAUAAUCCUUUAAAUAUUUAACUAUUAAAGAAACAUCCCACACAGAGCCUUUCUUGUUUGACAAAAAUGCUUUUGUGAGAGAUUAGAGGGAGAAAUGGUAAUAGCAUAUUUUUAUGAAACAGGUUUGAGAAUCAACUUGGACAAAAGCGAAAUUUUGCUGGUUGGUAGAGUGGAGAAUUUGGAGACUUUGGCUCUCGAGGCUGGCUGUAAAGUGGGCAGACUGUCUUCUUCUUAUUUGGGGAUUCCUUUGGGGGCAAACCACAAGUCUAUGGCCGUUUGGGAUGGGGUGGAAGAAAGAUUUCGAAAACGGCUGGCCUUGUGGAAGAGGCAAUUUAUUUCCAAAGGAGGGAGAAUCACUCUAAUUCGUAGUACAUUAUCAAGUAUGCCCAUAUACUUGAUGUCUUUACUUCGAAUGCCAAGAGCGGUUAGUCUAAGGUUGGAAAAAUUCAAAGGGAUUUCUUGUGGGGAGGGGGUGCUUUGGAGAAGAAGCCUCACCUAGUUAAUUGGGAUACCGUUUGUUUGGACAAAAGGAAGGGGGGCUUGGGAGUUAGACGUCUUUCUACCCUUAAUAGGGCCUUUCUUUGCAAGUGGAAUUGGCGUUUUGCGAAUGAAAGGGAGAACUUUUGGAGGCAUGUCAUUAGUAGGAAGUUCGGGGAGGAAGAAGGGGGUUGGGUUUCUAGAGAAGUUAGGGAGAGUUAUGGAGUAGGAUUUUGGAAGGAAAUAAGGAAGGAAGGUGCCCUUAUGCAAAAUAAAGUCGUUUUUUCAGUGGGGAAUGGUAGAAGGGUAAAAUUUUGGAAAGAUAAAUGGUGUGGGAACUACGCCUUCUGCAACUCCUUCCCCUCCUUGUAUGCUUUUGCCUCCUCUAAGGAGCUUGGGUAGAGGAGUUUUGGGAUUCUUCGGGAGAGGAAGGGGUUUGGAGUCCUAGAUUCUCUAGGCCCUUCAAUGAUUGGGAGGUGGAGGAGGUGGAGAGGCUUCUUUUGACAAUCCAGGGUGUAAGGCUUAUUCCUCUUGUGGAAGAUAGAAUGUUGUGGAAAGUGACUUCGAAUGGGAUUUUUUCAGUUAAAUCCCUCUAUAAUGAUCUAUCUUCAAGAAGAGCUGGUCUUUUCCCUCAUGGUUUGAUCUGGAGCCCUAGUCUGCCUUCCAAAGUGAGCUUUUUCGCUUGGGAGGCUUCUUGGGGUAAGGUGCUUACUAUGGAUCAGCUUAAAAAGAGGGGGUGGGCUCUCGCUAAUAGAUGUUUCCUGUGCUGUGAGGAAGAGGAGUCUAUUGAUCAUAUUAUUAUACAUUGCUCCAGGGCAAGAGUUUUAUGGGAGUUAUUGUUCGCCCUUUUUGGAGUGUUUUGGGUCCUCCCAUUUUCGGUUAGAGAUACCCUUAUUGAAUGGAGGGGCUUUAUGUUGGGCAAGAAGCGGAGAAAGGUGUGGAAGGCAGCCCCGUUGUGCCUUUUUUGGGCGGUUUGGAUGGAAAGAAAUAGGAUUGCCUUCGAUAAUGAGGAUUUUUCGGUUCAUAGGUUGAAAAAUUCUUUUGUUUGUAAUCUUUGGUUGUGAACAAAGUCAAUUGUAAAUGAAGGUCCUCUUCCUUUACUUAGUUUUUUUUAUUGGCUAGGCGCUAAAUGAGGGAUGGUUUUGUAUCUUCUCUUCUUUUGUUUGUGCCUUAAGGUGCCUUUUGUAUACUCUCUGUAUGCUUUUGGGUUUUCCUCAAGGUGCCCUUUUCUAAUAUAAUUCUGCUUUUGCCUAUCAAAAAAAAAAUGAAACAGGACCCUGUGCAAUGAAAUGCCUUUUGGUGCCUUCUUAUAUGUUGUGUAUGUUUUUGUAUGCCCUUUUGUAGGUGACUUUAAUAAAUUUGAUCUUUUCCUAUUGAUAAAAAAAGGACCCUAUGUAAUGCAAUGUAAAAAAUCCUGAUUUCAUAUUAAAGAAAACCCUUUUUGUUUUUUGUUUUUUUUACAGAAAAAACCCAAAUUGAAACUGUACUAAAUAAAAAAUGACAUGAAAUAUGCUGAAACUUUCCACCAGAAAGAAUAAAGGAGAUGAAUUGUUCAAUAUCUAGACCAUUUGCAGUCAUCUUGAUUUGUUCCACAGAGGUCUAAAUCCUCAAUUUCUAUUCACAGUUGGAAGUUCCUUAACAUGGCUGGAUCUUCCUACCAGUUGAAAGACAAAAGGCUUAAUGCUUUCCAUUAGAAUAACCAAAUAAGCAAUUUGAAAACUCAAAAAUGAUAAAGACUCCAUUUGCUUCGAAGAAGACAAAAAGCAAACAGCACAUAUGAAUCAGCAUACAACCAAAGCCAUUGCAACCAUGGUUCAAAGUAUUGGCCAAGUCUGGUACGACUCAGCCAAAUCAUAUCUGCCUCGACUCCUCUUGCGCUGAGUCCAAUACCCGAUACCAUCUUAGGCAAAGAUUUGACCAGGAAUCGGUUAAACUCAGUUGAUUCAGUCAAGAUACCGAGUUGACUCAGGCGAAUCAUCCGAGUUACCAAAAAAAAUUUGAGUUAAACUCAAAACAAGCAAACUUUCUUCCAAAUCACAGCAAAACAACACCCAAAACUGAGAAAGAAACACCAAAACAACAAUCAUAACUGAGAAAUCUUUGAAAAAUCAAUGACUCUUCAAAAGGAAAAAAAUUUCAUGAGAAUCACGACUUAUGAUUGAAGACUUGAUGAUUGAAGACCCGUGAUGAAGAAGAUAACCCCGAUGAAGUCUUUGAAAAUUUUUUUAGUCCACGUCAUGAUUGUCUUUGAGGUGAAUGAGAGGAGGAGGUUGAGGGCUUUUCUUCGCUAACCUUACCACAAGGUGGACUACAACACCUUCAUGGAUCCCUCCUCCAUUGGCGACGAUCUUAGGUGUUGAUCUCUCAUGUCUCUACUUCAUCUCCAUAGUGUCACCGGCAUCAGCAUUGAUGUCCGCAUGGGUGUGGGUUGCAGAGGAAGGUCUCUGCUUUUUCUAGGGUUCUCCUCUCUAUUCAUGGGCGGGUUGGUGAUGUUUGAGAAUUGGGGAUUUGAAUGCAAGGCUAAUGCAUUAUUUUAUUGUUUUAAAUGCCAAUAUCAACAAUAAAUUUAUUGUUUUAAAUGUCAAUAUCAAUAAUAUAAAUAACAUGAUAUUAUAUGUUAUUUUAUUGUUUCAAUUUUUAAAUGCUAAUGUGGUAAAAAUCAUCACAUUUUAUUUUAUUUUUUAAUUUGAGUUUGGUAAUUAAAGAGUUUUUGUUUUCAAUUUCAAUAUUAAAAAUUUAUUGAAUAAUUAUAAUUUUCAUAAUAUUUUAUUUUAUUAAUUUUUAAGUUUAUUUAAUUAUAUUCAUUUGUUUUUAAUAAUUAUUAUAAUAUUUUAUAAUUUUAUAAUUUUUCAAAUUUUUAUUUAUCUUAUUUUGUGUAUCAUCCGAUACCGAGCCGAGGCCGAUAUGCCUUAGGACCCUCCAAGUCGAUGACUGAGACCGCGACUUUGAACCAUUAUUGCAACCCCUUGGAAAUUAUUCCAGUGGGGGGCACGAAGGACGUGAAAAGAGUCGUUGCUCUAUUUGGAUCUAAAGUAGGGAAACUUCCUAUUUCUCUUCUAGGCUUACCCCUUGGAGCCCCUCAUAAGUCGUGUGGAGUUCGAGACAUAAUAGAAGAGAGAUUCAAGAGGAAAUUGUCCGCUUAGAAGAAACAAUACUUGUCCAAAAGUGGAAGACUUGUCCUUAUUAUGUGCACUCUUUCAAACCUCCCAAUCUACUUUAUGUUGCUUUUUGUGAUUCCAAGGAAACUGAGAAUCAGAUUAGAAAGAAUUCAAAGGGAAUUUUUGUGGGGAGAUAUGGAGGAAAGAAGGAAGAUCCACUUGGUAAGUUGGUCGACUAUUUGUAAGGAUAAGAAACAUGGAGGGCUAGGUUUAAGGCACUUGGAGGGGCUCAAUCAAGAUUUGUUAAGCAAAUGGCUGUUGAGAAUUUCCCUUGAGAGGGAGAGCUUUUGGAGAAAAGUCAUUAGUAGAAAAUUUGGGGAGGUGGAGGGGUUGGACCAUUAGAGAGUUGAGGGAUUCUUUUAGGUUGAGCCUUUGGAAAGAUGUUAGAAAAGGGUGGGAAGAAUUCAUUCUUAGAACUAGUAUCCGUAUUGGAAAUGGUAGACACACAAGUUUUUGGUGGGAAAAUUGGGUCGGGGAUUCUAAGUUGAAGGAUGUUUUUCCUUCUCUAUUCAAGAUUGCAACCCACAAAUAUGCUACAAUGGCAGACCUAUCAGGGAGGGAUGGGGAUGGAGGCAGUUGUUAGGAGCUGCAUUUUAGAAGAUCUUUCCAAAAUUGGGAAUUGGAGGAGGUGACUCGUUUUUUAGAACACAUUUAUGCUCUAAAGGUUCAAGAAGGGGAGGAUUCUCUAGUUUGGAAGAAUGAUGAGAGGGGAAAGUUUAGUUUCAAAUCAUAUUAUAAGUUGUUAAGGGCUGAAAACAAUGUUUUAUUCUCUACCAAAGAGAUCUAGGGUCCAUGUGCUCCUCUUAGAAGUCGUUUUUUUGCUUGGGAAGUGGUUUGGGGAAAAAUCUUAAUAGUAGACACGUUAAUGAAGAGGGGAUGGUCCAUGGCCAUUAAGUGCAGCCUUUGUAAAGAGAAUGAAGAAUCGAUUGACCACAUUUUGAUUCAUUGCGAUAAGACAAGGAAGCUUUGGACUGCACUGUUAAGUUCUUUCGGACUGGUAUGGGUGUUCCGGAUUCAAUGAGAAAUCUUCUUCUAGAAUGGAAAGUUAAGGAGCUAAGGAAGAAGAUAAGAGUAGUGUGGAGAUUGGCUCUGAUUUGUCUUUUUUGGUAUAUUUGGGGAGAACGAAAUCAAAGGACUUUCCAAGAGGAAGAGAUGUUUGACCAAGUCUGAGGAAACUCUUUAUCCAUUCACUAUUAGAGUGGUCUUAGCAGUUUUUGGGGUUAGACAAUGCUUUUUAAAAAUAAAAAAAAAAUUGAGGUGUCUUUAAUGGAGACUAGUCUACACUAUUCUAGGUCUUUUCUCUCUUUUUUGCAGUCUGGUUGGGCUUUUGGUUGUAUACUGCCUCUAUACAUAGGGUGCGCCCCCUGUUUUUAGGCGUUUAUUAAUUCAAUUUGCCUUUGUCUAUCAAAAAAUGAUUGCAACCCAAGUUUCUCAAUCCUGUACCAUACAUUUUACAUCUUUUUUCUCUUUAAUUCUAUUUCUUGAAUUUAUAAAGAUUCUAAUUGACCUUUCUCCAUUUACUGAAAAUCUUGACCUUUUUUUAUAUUUUUUUCUAAACUUUUGUAUCACCUUUUUUAACAUAUAUUAACUUUUUUCAUUAGCUUCCUUUUUUUUGUAGAACUUUAUGGUUCUUUUUUGUUUUCUUUUAUAUAUAUAUAUAUAGUAAACUUUGAAUUGAUACCAUGAUUCUGUAUGUACAUUUUGAAUCUUAAAAAUGAUGUUGGAAUAUGAUGAAACCCCUUAAAAGUCCUAACCAAAUACUUAUUAUAAUCAUCUUGAUCCAAAAUAAGAAAAGGAUUCAAAAAUUAAUUCUAACAGAAUGUUUUGCACCUCACUUUCUGCGAGCAAUUGUUCCAAUGCCUUAGGGAGGUAAGGAAAUACAGAUGCUCCUAAUGUGUCCACCAUUCGGUGAAUAAAUGAUGUAACCUGGAGAUUACAGAAGCUAGCAUUAGUGAAUAGUGUGGUCAAUACAAUAUAAAAAAAGGUAUUCCCAAAUCCAACAUACCUUAGUCCGCAGAGGCUCUAUUUUUGGAAAUACAACAAGAAUUUGGAGAAGGACAUCCAAUGUCUGAAUUAAAAAAGAAAAGAAAAAUGAACACUGGAGAAAAUAUGAAAUAACGAUAUGGUUUCACAAAUUCAAACAUGCAGUUCAAGAAACAUAACCAAAACAGGGCCUUGAUUUACAACCUGCUUAAACAUGAGACCAAUAGCAGGGCGACUAGCAGUUACAAGACGCUCACUGAAGCCCUGGAUUAUAUAUAGACAUUGUGAGGAUAAACAUGAAGAAUAUAUAUUAAAAAAUAAAAUAAAAAUACUCUAGAUAACAAAUUAAAGACAUGAUGUUGAUUGAUAAAAAAAUCUGCUGGGCAUUUUUUUUUUUUUUUUUUUUUAUAGGAAACGACAAAGGAAUAUAUUGAUAAAAAGAAGGUACAAAUAGAAGGAUGAGGAAUCCUCCCAACAAAGAGAAACAAGACUACAAGUUAUCAAAUAUAAGAAAGUACAAAAAGAGAAAAGUAGACACUCUAAUUACACGCUGCUAACCAAUCAAGUUGUAAUAUGUUAAGAGGAAUCCCCUUAAAAACCUUAGAACAAAAAGCCCAAAAAGAAGUAAGAAAACAAAUAGAAUCCCAAAGAUACUCAGAAUUCCUUGCUUUGUCCUAAAAAAUCCUUGCAUUUCUUUCCCGCCACACCACCCACAUUAACGCGAUGCACGCGUUUUUCCAUAAACCAAUCCCUCUCUUGGAAGAUCCAAAACCAUUAAAAUUACUAGAUAACAUGUCAGAGAUGCUCCUUGGGCAUUUUUACAAUAUGACUACGUGGAGAAGAUAAAGCAAAGCAUAAUAAAACAUGAACUAUGCUAAUACAUUAGAAGAGAAAGUUCAAAACAGUUUGGUGCCUGAGAUAUUUAUAACACAAUAGUGAUAAAAUAACAUUUUCUCUUUUUCUGAACUUAGGUAACUCGUAAACUGUUUUUUUAGAAAUUCAGAAGACAAAAAAGCAAUGGGAAAAUAGAAGAACAAACUCCUCAAGGCAGACAGGAAAACUGUACUACCAAGUAGAUUCUCCAAAUGCUAUAUCAUUAGAAGGCCAAAAAAUGGAUACUAACCUUGCUUAAAGCAUUAAUUGCCAUGAUUAUUUGCUGGAUGUUUGCAAUUUUUGCAACAGGGUCCUCUGCAUUCUGUACUUUGGCAUUUAUGAGCAAUACCUCAACCUGAAUGAGAGCAGCAGUUCUUCAGAUUGCAUAGAUUAUAUAUUUCAUUAGUUAUGUAUUCAGGUACCAAACUGAUAUUUACAUAAGCAAAAUAAAAGUGGGCAGGGAUGGGGGACAGGGGAUUCCUAAUGGUAAGUAAACAAGUGCAGAUUCCAUGACAGCCAACUCAACCUUAACCUGUUGACAAAGAGGAGUUAGCAAUGAAGAUAGGUACUCGGAUUGCUUCUCUGGUGGUACAUCUUCCAUUCCAAUUAAUAAGCCAAUAGCCUGUCAAGCAUCAUAGUCAAAAUCGGAAUAAAGCAGAUUAAGCUUCAGCCCAAAGGGCACAACAUUCCUUCUACCUCAGAUGUAUGAAGAACAGUGCACAAGACUGAGUGAUUACCUCAAAAAUGUGACUACCGUCCUCGGAUCCAGAAAGCUCUUUUGACAUGCUGUUCAUUCUCGUAAAUUGAGCAACUGUAUCCUGCAGAUUCUGAAAAAUUCAUAAAAAAAUGCUUCAGACAGUGAGAGAAAAGAAUGAAAAUGAUUGGAAUUCUAUUGCAAAAGGUAUAUACAAACAUACAAUGGGAACAUGAAACAUAUCCCAAUACCUGCAAAAUAUUUUCUAUGAAAGGGACAAGCUUUGCUUUCAGUGAUUUCACAACCCUCAUAAAAAGAUAACUUGCCCUUCGACUCACAUUGAUGUUUGGAUGGUGUAUACCUCUUUCAUCAAGAAAGGCAGCAAGAACCAAAUGUAGAUAUUGGUCGUUCACCUGAACAAACUUCAUAUAUCUUGUUACUGUCUCCAAAUACACAAGUGCAACCAGCCUAUUGGAAUGGCAAGCAAAGGUUGUUGAUAAAAGCAUCAGCACCAAUUGCCCCAGGGGUCCAUUUCCAACUUUCAUCACCUCAUCAUUUAUUGAUUCUCCAAAAGCAUAGAAAAGGGAAAGUGCAGCUUCUACCUCUUCUACAUUUCUAUCAGAUGAAGAUGCAACAGCAUUCCCUAACGAAUUUCUGAUGAACAUCUGUGUGACAUCCGGUGCCACACGACCAACACUACGGAGUAACACAAAGAAAUCCUUCCGAAACUCCACCAUCCUACCUUCCUCUUCUCUCCCAAUUUUAUCAAACACAUCAAGAUUAUUACGAUAAAUAGGAUCAUAGCAAAUCUGUGUGCGUAUUACUUCCAAUAUCUGGCCCACAUGAAGCAGCUGUUUCUCCGUCAGAGGUGAAAGGCUCUUCAUAGUGGCCACAAAACCCAAAAGAAACUGAACGAUACUGAAUGCAUUGUCAACCUCACAGUUCUGUGUUACAAAAAAAACUGAUGGUAAAACUUCAUCCAAAAGCUCCAUUGAGGUCUGCUUAAGAUCCUCAGAAUUCAACUUCUUGGAACAUUCUAGAAGUUCUGUGGCAUACCCAGUGAGUAAUGAGGCUAUUUUUGAAGCCAAUUCAGAAUCACUAUCCUCGGCCACCAACCCAAAAACCCGACUAAUCUUAAGGUUCUGCAAAAGUGAGAGCUUGGCUUGCAGAUCCAUCCGCUUAGAGACUACCGCCAAAACACACCCAGCAGCAGAACCUCGAAGUUGUUCCGGUAAUCCCUUGACCAAAAUCAACUCAAACAAUAAUGGGAUAAAGGCAUCAUUCACAAUUAACCCAAUAUCAAUCCAAGAAAUAUAUCUUCUCAUUGAGUCCAACACACUAGAACAGAGAUCCGGAUCAGAAUUUCUGUACAAAGAUACAAUGUUGUACCAAGCUCUCACUAUCUGAGCCACACAUUGUUGCCUCAUGGCAUCCUUUACCCGCGUUGCAACCACAAGUUCAUCCUGAGUUCGAGUGUAGUCCAAACUAAUCAAUUCAUCGUCUAAGGCAUUCAAAAUCCGACAAAACAUGUCGAUCACUGGGGCGCCUUUACCCAAAUGAGGAAGAUAAUCAACAAAAACCGAAGACCAAAUCAAUGGAUAUUCAAAAUAAAUCAAAGUUACUAAAACUUGAGCAAGCUUAUUCUUUAUGAAUGGCGGACCUUCUAAAACCCUAACAGAGCUCUCAUCAUCCACACCCUCUAAACGCUCGAAACACGCCAUGGAAAACACGGAUUUCCUCACAAAACCCUUCUCGUCCAAACUCAUCGAAGAGUAGCGCACACGAAUCACAUCAUGUAAACACUGCAAGCACCAGAACUGCACCUGAACGAGCUUCGAAAAACACAAGCGCUCAACGCAUAUACUACAUAUCAAAGGCGACUCCUUUAUCUUAUCAAUAAACCCCACUGCUUGCAGUUUCAGCGCCGAUUCAACUCUCCCGGAUUCAUCAAAGCUUAUCAGAAUCGCCUUUUCGAGAUCCUCCAUAGUUCGAAACGAUUUGCCCCUAUUUUCUCACACUUUCUCGCCCAUAGAAUCUCGGAAAAAACAAAAGUUCAAAUCUUUUUCCACGAAUUGAACUGAACGGAGAGAUUAAUUGCGAUUUUCAGAGAGAUCUGCGAGAACUGACCUCCGAAUCACAGAGAAGAAGAACGACGACAGGCUCGAUCGUCAAUGUGAAGUGUGGGAAACUAGGGUUUUGGGAGUGUGUUUUGUGUUGAGAAAACAAACCCUAGAACCGGUUUGUUUUGUUUUUAUAGUUUUUUGUUUUGUGGAAACAAAAGUGGGUGUUUUUCGGCAACAGAUGGUGUGGAAGAGGAAGGAGAGACCUCGGUAAUGGUUAUCUGCACUCGGUUCCAAGAUAGCAAUCUGUGGACCCUACUAAUGGACGGAGGCAAGUGGCGGAGGAUGAGAUUCACCCAAUAAUUACAAGCCACGUGGUGUGCUUGAUCUUGUUUUUUAAAAAUCUUAACACCUGAUCGACAUUGGGAAACCCAAAAUGACUAUAACGCCUCCCACUCAGUUGAAAUUUUAAGAAUUAAGUACAAGGGUGUUUUCGUAAACUGACAAUGAGUUGCCUGGCCCUCAAUCAAUAUAGUAGGAUUGGGGCCGUUACGCCCAUAAUGGAAUUCAGCCCAAAUGAAGUUGAAUCGGGCCGAAUAUUUCGGGAUAUUAACCCAUUAUCCACCUACUAAAAGCGCAUGCAUCAGCGAAUUUGAAACGUAGACUAUUAGUCAGCGCCCAUGACGGUUAACGUAACAUUUUUAAAAUAAUAUUUUAAGUACAUUUUAUUUUUUAGAAAAUUCCUUUUUUUUAAUUUAAAAAUUUUAAACAACAUUUUAUUGUGACCAUUUGCUUUUUAAUUAAUAAAUAAUUAAAUUAUUUAAAAUCAUAUUUUAAUGUAAAAUCUUUCAAAUUUUGAUAAUUUAAUAUCAACGUUGUUAUUAAACUAUGUUUGGUUCCAAAAAAUUUGAUAGAAAGAAAAUAAAGAAAAAAAAUGGUAAAAAAUUAAAUAAAGUUUAUAAAAUUGUUUUAUGUUUUAUUGUGCAUGAAAUAGGUUAAAGGAAAAAACUAUGUUAGUCAAGAAUGUAUUUUUUGCAAAUUUUUUUCAUUUUUAUUUACCUUAAGUUUGGUUUUUGGAAGUUUUGAGGGAAAGAAAAUAUAUAAAAAAUAAAUUUAAACUUAAUAAAUUAUUUUUAAAUGCUUCUUUAAACUCAUUUAACUUAUUUUUAUUGUUUUAUAUAAAAAUUAAAUAAUUUUGAAAAUAUAUUAGUUUUUAAUUAAUUUUAAUUAUAUUUUACUUUCUUUUAAAUUUUUAUGGUAAGUUAAACAUAAGAAAAAUAUUUUUUAAUAUUUUGAAGAAAAAUAUUAAAAAAUAAAUUUUCAUGUUUGGUUUCCUUAUGAAAAAUAUUAAAAAAUUAAAUACAAUUAAAAUUAGUUAGAAAUUUGUAUAUUUUAAAUUAUUUAAUAUUUACAUAAAAAAAAAAAGUGAAAUAGGCUUAAAUAAUAUAAAAAUAUUUUAUUAACUUUAAAAAAAAAUUAUUCGUCUUUUACUUAUAUUUUUCCUUUUUAUUUUAUUUUCCUUCCAUAUUUCUUCAUAUUUUCAAGUAAUUAAAUAUAAUUUAAAGGAAAAGUGUCCAUAAAAGAAAUAAAAAAAAUAGAGAAAAAAAAAAAGAAAAGUAAAAGAUAAAUUUUAUAUACUUCUUUAAAUUCAUUUAACUUUUCUAAAUAUCUUAUUAUAAAUCAAAUAUGAAAAAAAUCAUUUUUUUAAUAUUUUUUUCUUUUUUCUUUAUAUUUCCCAUGAAACCAAAGUUUGGUUAAUCUCGGUUUUGAUGAUAACAAAACAAUAUUUAUAACUAAUGAUUAUAUUUUAAGUAUAAUUAGGCAAGACGAUUUCUAAAGUGACAAUUAUAAAGACAAAUCAAGUCAAUGAGAAAUCAUGAAGAAGAAGAUUACCUCAAAGAGAAGUGUUUUUCAAGGCCCAAACUUCAUAAGAUCUCUUUGUAAGAUUGUUGGUGUACUACGAUUUUCAUGCAUUACAUUAUUUACUUAUGCACCAAAAUCAUCAAAGAGUUAUUUUGUUUUAAAUUUUUUAAAAUUUGAUGAUUUCAUGUUUUCAACUAAAACAUUAUGUCAAAUGUUUUUCAAAUUUACUUAAAAUGUUUUAAGUUAAAAAAAAAAAAAAAAAGUUGAUUGUUCAACCAAAAACGGCUUAACCGGUUGAACCGGAUGAGCAAUCGAUCGACCCUCAACUCAACCGGUCUAGGAGCAGGUCGACCCCUAGUUCAACCAGUCAAUUGUGUGAAUAGUAAUCGAUCGACCCCUAGUUCAACCGAUCGAGGGGUACAAAAAACAUUCUCUCUCUUCCAGAAUGGUUGUUCAAUCGGGUGAAGAACUGAUCGACCCUCACCUCAACCAGUUAAGGUUCGGUCAAGGUCUAACAAUCACCUGUCGAGGAUUGAAUGUUAACGGCUAGUCAGCCGGUCGAACCCCCAAUGACUAGUUUGACUUCUUUUUUUUCUAUAAAAAGGCUUCAAUCUUCAUUGUUUCAUAAACUUAACCUUCCCAAACCUUUCUUGAAUAUAUCUGAGACUUGGAAGAAUGUUUUUUAGUACACCAUUGUUCUAAAACUUGCAUAUCUUUGGUGUACCAUUCAAUCUUAAUUUUUUUGUAUCAUUUGAGCAUAAAGUUUUGUACUAGAAUUUUGUAAAAUUAUUUGUAUAUCUUUGAGAGUAAGAAUAUAAGUGUGAAGUAUCACUUAGGGAUAGGAAUGGCAACGGGCGGGUUUGGGACGGGUCACCCCUAUCCCAUUCCCGUCCCAAAAUAUUUAGUUAUUUCUCAACUCGUCCCAAAGCCAGGGGAGGGCGGGGCGGGGCGGGGCAUUCCCAUCCCCGUUAUAGAGUUAAAAUUAAAAUCCCAUCCCCGGCCCGUCCCGACCCAGGUAUGUGUUGUCGGGGCGGGGCGGGGCGGGGCGGGUCGGGGCUUGGCUGGGCUGGGCUGGGUUGGGUUGGGCUGAACCUUGGAAAGAAAGCACUACUAAUGCUUUGAGUUAGAUUAACCACAGUUGAAUCUUCAUUUACAUUGCUGCUGGAAUGUAUUAAGAAAGUAAAAAUUACAUCAAAGUUGAAGUUUGUUUGCAUAGUCUUCAACACACAAUAAGUGUUGAUGAGUAGAAAGAUAAACAAAUCAUAACAUAUCAAUCAAAGCAAGUAACCCACUUGGACUGAAGUUCGUUGGCUUUUGAUUCACAAAAUGGAGCCCUGACUGCAUACAAGGCACAGGGCCGAUUGUAGCAAUACUUAAUGCCAAGCUUCCUUGUCUUUGAUGACCACCCAACAAAAACCAAAUAUUGAGAGAAGCCUUCAGCCAAUGGAGCCCAUAUAACUUGUCCUAUACUCAAGGAUUUGCUAAUUCCUUCAACAGCAUGCACCUCGCCACUGUAUAUCACAAGGAAGUUAAAAUUAAACAUCUAAUCCAAAACCUAAGCCUCUCUGUCCUAUCAUAGCAUUAUCAUGAGCAGAAACUAGUAUAUUUGGACCUCUCAAUAUUGAUGACAAAAAGUGCAGGCUGCCUUUUCCCAGCAUAAGUUUCCCCCCAAUGCUCCUCUCAUUCUCCUAGACCUUUCCAGCUGCCAGACUCCUUGUCUGCAGAAUCUCCUUUCUUAUAGCCCAAACCACCAAAUGUGGGCUUGGAGGGAGAUGGCUCUUCAGCAACAUAAGCAAUUAGAGUUUCAUCACAGCAUUGGCUUGCAAGAUGUCCAGACUCUUUACAGUUCCAACAAAUGGUUGUUGAAUUACACUCAUCAGCUAUGUGGCUACAAAGGAGAACAUAUUAAAUCAGGUUUUUGCCAGAAAUCAAUUUGGUGGGUGAAUCAGGGUUUAAACUAUCCUGAGGAACCACCAUACAUGAUACAUCAACCAAGUAUUGACAUACUCCUACAAAAGGUAUAUGAACCAAUAAAAAAUUGUCAUUGGACAACUAAUGCUUAUUUUCAAACACUACCAUCACAACUUAAAGAUCAGAAGAUUCACUUAGUCUCCUGCAAGUAUUCUCACCAAUGAAUGAACAAUGCAGGUUUGUGGUCCCCCAUGUACAAAUGAAAAGGUAGGCCCAACAAUGAUUGACCUCAGAAGAACAAUAUGAAGUAUCUCUACUUUAGUAUGUGAGAAAUAGGUGGAUGAAAAACUAUGAAUAUCUAAGAGAGCUUUCAAUGCAAGUUAUACGUACCAGAAGAGCCUUGUUCAGAGGUCCUGCAUAUAAACAAGAGGAAUUCAUUGUUACAACCUUGAACAAUCAUAAUAAACAUGAAGAGAAACAGCAGACUUACAUCAGCAAAAUGCAUAGAUAAUUUGGUAAUAAACUAAUCAGUUUUACAAACCCAAAACUUACAACCUAUGGUAGGAUUACAAAUUCCCCAGUUCAGAAGAACAAUAGUUGGCACACAUCUACACAGAAUUCUUUAUAGUCUCUAAGACUGCAAUCUAAGUGAAGUUACUUGUAAUAGGGUGGUAAUCAGGCAGAUAGGUAGAUCCAACUAAGGAUAAAAAUACAAGCCAACACUGAAAAGUAGGCUUAAUUUAUAUAGCAUAUUGAGAAGGUUCUAUCCAGGUUUUUAGUUUGAUGAACCAAUCAAGUAAAAAAGCAAUCUCAGCGCAACAAAUUCUAUAACCCAACAAGAUACACAAGAAACAUGCAAUUAUAAGAUAUAUAAUAAAGAAUUGGCCUGUCCUUUUUAUCCAUAAACAGUGGGGCUAUGUGCUGAAAUUCUUGACUGAAAUAAAGGGCUACAUGGGAUAAAUCGAAGGUGUGAUGCAAAAGACAACAUUCUAUUCAAACAAAAAGGGAUUCGAUAUACUUUUUGGUCUUAAUAAUCAUGAUGAAAAGAGUGACAGGAGAAGUAACUGGUGACCUAGACAUUUCACCAGUUCAAGCAGGUUAUAGGAUUAUUACUCAGAUAAUUUAUUUUUUGGUUUUGAGAAAAUGAAUAGCCGGAUAAACUCAAAAAAAUGAGCCAGUUCGUGGGUGUUUAUAUAUCACUAAUAUACAUAUUUACACACACAGAUCUUUAGUAAGAUUUUAGCAUUUUGUCUCUAACACAGAAACCCAAUAGCCCACUUUGCAGGAUCAAGGAAAAACAUGGACUCUUGAUUCUUUCCCUGAGAACUGUCUAUUAGUUUAUCCCGGUAUUUUGGCAUAUUUUUAAUAUUAUAAUCAAUAAAUUUUGAAAAAAAAAAUUAUUUAUCAUGUCAUGGCCUGAUAAUGUGAGCUUGCAUUUUUCAGGAGCAUAUAGAUGGUUUUUCUUUUAACUUUUAUAGUAUUGUUGAUUCUAUGAGACAAGUAUCAUAAAUUUAAGAUCCUUUCUCCCAAGACAGAAACCAGAGAUGACAAAGCAAGGUCUUUGAUAAAAAAAUAUAUACAUAAGUCAGAACAGCUUCAUCUCAAACUUGACCAUGGACAGAAGCUGAGAGCAAGAGAGAGCAAGUUGUGUCCUUAUGUGCAGGUGCAAUAUAUUAUUAUCAACAUGGUAACAUGUGAACUUUUCUAUCCUAUCACAUGUUGUAAGGAGUACAUUCAACCCCUUUCAUUCCUCAAAUGCGUAAGUAUUUCUUACUUUUCAUGGUAUAUUCUAACUUUUAGAACUAAGGUAGCAUAUUAAUUUACCAAUGAACAGGCAAAGAAAGAUUUUUCUACUACACCCGAUUGGUAGUUUACAUAUAGAAAUGACAAACCGAUGGACUUUUAAAUCAAAUACCUUUGUCCCAUAGCUGACUGCAUCUUCAAGUUUUCUCUUAUCUAUAGUUGUUUUUUAUGAUUCUAGAAGUUGUCGUCCAUCUGCAAAUGAGCAUGCUGCUUGCUGAAAAGAAAAAGAAAUGCAAUUAAAUCCAUAUUAUUGAAUGGUUUAAUUAUUUGUAAGGCAAGAUAAGAAACAAUGUGUUCUAUUCUUCUAUCAAAUAGCAUAGUUUGUUCAUCACCUUAUGCACUGGUACCAAGCUAAUAACGUCAAGUUUUUGGAAAGGGUAUGGAGAAUCCAUAUCAAAAUCCCUUGGAACUAGCUCAAUUCCCACCUGAAAAAGAAAAAGGCAGAACCCCAAGCAUCAGAUUCAGUGCAGCAGCUAUUUACAUAGCCAAUUUCUCAGGAUUAACAACAGCAGCUAUUACGGCCUACAGAAUGUGCUUAAAAGCCCGCACUAUCAUCUCAUGAAUACAAAGUGACUGCACGUGUGAUAACUUUUCUGAAAGUUUAACCUGGUAAAGAAAAAAUAACAAGCAUUAUUUGAGAUGGGAAAAAAACCCAUGUAUAGUAAUAUUUCAUAAUUUUGAACAAUAUUAUAUGGACGCUUCAAAACAAGUGAAGUACCAUCAGACAUGGGCAGAGGAUGUUUGCUUGACAUGCCUUCUGUUGGGCAAAUACCCCACAGGCAAGUCCAACAAAAGAAAAUGAUGAAAUCCUAGUUCAGUAAAAGUUCCUACUUCAGUAUAUUCCUUUUGUUAAAAUAUUUCAAAAUGGAUGAAAUUACCUCAUAGGACAUAAAAUGUCACAGAAACUCCAUCUUACACCAUGGUAAAGAUACUUUCUUAAAAUACAAUGUUUUAAAUGGAGAAAUGAACCUUAAAAAGCUGAUAAAUUCUGUGUAAUCUCUAUAAUCCUAAUUAUAAAUCUCAAUGAGAUUUCCCAUUUCUCAGAAAGGACACUGAAACAGAUGACUUGUCAAUCUAUGACUCAAAUUUCUGAGUCUCUGACUGUUUACAUAUCCCAUGCAGGAAUUGAUAUUUACUUCUGGGGGUAGAUAAAAAAUUACCCAAACAAACAAAAGUGUUUGUUUGGGUAAUUUUUGCAGGUAACUGGUGAUGAUUGAUUCAAACCUUUUUGAUAAACAAGGUUGGAAAAUAGCUACAUGAGACACACUUAUAGACAGAAGGAUGUCCAACACUAUGACCUCAAAUAACAAAUUAACAAUUGAUGCAGACACAGUUUGCCAAAGUUCAAGAGGUUGCAAUGCAUCAAUAAAUUGAGAUAAAACUUAGGAGUUUCUUUAUGAUGCAGAAAUACUUUACUAAGACAUGUAAAGGAAUCAAAACCUAGGGGAGUACAACACUUACAACAUGUCCCAGAGAACGCAUUCGAAGACCUCUAGUAUGCAUGAAAUCGAUCAGCGUCUGACCAUCCACUGGUGAGAGUUCCAAUGAACCAAAAUCUGCAACCUAAAUUGGACAAUUUUCAUGCAGACACAGAAACAGAAAUCACCACAACCUUAUUUUCAUGCAGACAUAAUCAAGUUCAAUCAGAUAUUAUUCAGUGGUUACCAGUUUCGGAAGUGCAACUUCACUGUAAUAUUUUUGGGACAGAUCAACUAGUUCCUGUAAAGACUGUCAAAGACAUGGGAGGAUAAGUACAGGAAACUGAACAAAGAAGGAGCUUAUACCUCCAAUGGUAUUGACAAAAUAUUACCUUGCGGUGGAGUCCAGUUUCAGAUUGUUUAAGCCGGGUAAAAGCUGCAUCAGACAGCAUCCUCUUCAGUGCAAGUUCAUUUUCAUUUGCAUUAGCUUCAAGCUGAGGUUUUGUUGAGGAUAAUGUAGAAUUUCCAGCUUCCCCAAUAACAGACUCUGCAGGGGUUUUUGAUUUCUCAGACUGCAUUUUCAUAUUGUUGCCAUCUGAAUUUUUCUUAUUGUUCUUAAGAGAUCUAAGAGGAGUACCAAGUCCCUCGACCUUCAUCUCAUUUUUUGUCUUUGUAGUAAAUGGUUUCUUAUCUUUCUCUGUGUUGUUUUGAUCCUGCAAAUGCUGUAUCCAGCACGCUCCAAGUUCCCAUCUCACAAAAAUUUCAAACAAAAGAAAAAGAAAUAUUACAAAUUCUUUUUGGACUAACAUAAUUUUCUCAUUCUCUACAAAAUAAAUAAAUAAACAAAAUAAAACCUUGGCUAGAUCCAUGAAUAAUGAGUUCCUAAGGCGCUAAGCAAUUCUCAAUUGUCAACGCAAUCUAAUAAUCCACCCAAUGGUAAGAUUUCCUCAACUGUAACAGUAUAUUCACAAGUUCAUAAUGAAUAUCUCCACUUCUAGUGUAAAAACAUGAGAACAGCAUAGCUUACACAGGAUACUUCAGUGACAUGUUGUAGGGUUUGACAAAAACCUGUUAACAUUAAGGGCAUUGGCACCACCUUCAAGCUGAUCAAGAAGUUCAAUGCUUUGAAAAUGAGUAUCCAUUUUGCUACUUUCUUUGUCUUCAAGUUUAACCACAGCUAUAUACCCACAAUAUCUGACAUUGACAACACCAAGAGUGGCAAAAUCCUGCACUCAAAAUGCAAAAUUUUCUUCAACCAUUUUAGCAGAAACCACUUCAUAUAUACUAAUUCAAAAAGAAAAUAUUUCGGAUUCAAGGAACAGUCCUAUUGAUUGAUCCUUUUUUUCAGAAAUUAUCUUACAUGUGUAGCAGUAUUUUCAUCAGCAGUGAUCCCUUUCAGUAGGUUUCUUUCUAUAACACAGGAUGUCAAUCUAAAAUAAAAGACCAGGUUCAUUUGAGAAUUUGUACCUUCCUUUUCAACGCAUUGUUGGCUUCAAUUAGCAUAUGUUCCUGCACCCACAUUUCCUUACAAGGACUCUACCUUGCAAGUCUUGAACUUGAUUGUAAAGAAUGUGGUUCUUAGUUACAACCAUGGUAAUUAACAUCAUAGAAGACAUGCCAAAAUAUAAUAUCCAAAAUUAAAAUAUAUCCAUAAGCUUAACAACAUUAAAAAUAAAUAAAAAAAAGACAUUACAAAGAAAUUGUUAGCAAAAAAGAAAGAAAAAAUGUCUCUAACAUCAUCUUAAGUAAAAAAUCUAAAGCAUAAGUAAAUCAUCAUUUUCAUCCAUCAUUGUGAGUUGGGGUUGUGAGUCAUGAAUUGAUGAAUCACCUAGUAAAAAAAAAACACCAAAAAAAAAUAUUAGAAAACUUUACUAAAUAUUAUAAUAAAAAACAAUUCAUAAAAUUGAUAAUUAUGUAAAUCGGUUACCUUCUUUUUCCUUCCAUAACCAACUUUGAGCACACACUAAGGCCUCCAAAAUAUCUGGAUGAAGCCUACUGCGAUGUUUUGAUACCACCCUACCACCCGUGCUAAAGGCUGACUCAGAUGCAACUGUAGAUACCGGAAUAGCAUAGAUAUCACGAACAAUCAUCUGCAAAGUCAGAUACUUUAUACCAUUUGUCUUCCACCAACUUAAAACAUCAAAAUUUGAAUUCCUUGGCAGAAUAGACUCCUCUAAGUAAUAAUCUAACUCCGACUUCGUAUGACUUUCUCCAGUGGUACUAUGAACAAAUAAGUCAAACUUUGAAAGAGAAUCUUGUUCAUCAUAGUUUAACUCCAAAAGAGUUGAACCUGAUGAAGUACCAUAGGAUGAAGUUUUUUGCCCCAAAUUAGACUUUGAUUGAUACUCAGACAGCAACUCAUAACACAUUCCACGGAUUUUUUUCUAUCUCAUUUGAAGCUUCAGACCCAUACAUUAGUGGAAAGUAAAACUCUAAAAUCUUUAUCUUGUAUCUUGGGUCAAAUAUAGCUGCUAUUGCCAUCACAAUAUGACACCCACUCCAAUACUUGUCAAACUUUUGCAACAUACUUGAUGCCAUCGUUUUCACAACAUCAUUUGAGCAUAUCAACCAAUCAUACAAUGCCUCUUUGAUUUCGCACACUUUGAUGAAGAAAGUAUUUGUAGUGGGAUAAUUUCGUCCUGAGAACAACUCUGUUAUGUUGUAAAACAAUUUCAAUCUUCCACAUAUUUCCUUUGUCAUAUUCCAUUCUUCCUCUGAUGGCACAACCAUGUAGUAUUUUUCACGUUGCUUCAAACGUGGGAACACAUCUUUAUAUGUUAUAGCAAUUGAUAACAUCAAGUAUGUGGAAUUCCAUCGUGUCUUACAAUCAAGACUUAACUUCUUAUUGCAUGGAAUACGCAAUUGGCGAGCUGCAUCUUCAAACUUUUCCAUUCUUAAUGGGGUUGCUGACCAAUAUGCAACACUCUCACGAAUUUUUUCAAUUUCUACUUCAAUGACAUCCAAACCUUCCUUAACAAUUAAGUUCAACACAUGUGCCGCACAUCGCAUGUGGAAAAUUUUUCCAUUCAAUAAGAGUGAAUCGCUCAAAGAUAAUUUCUCCACCAAGAUAUUGAUCAUUCCGUCAUUACUUGAGCAAUUAUCCACAGUGACUGUAGAAACUUUUCUAUCCAUAUUCCAAUCCAACAAGAAAUCCAUUAAUACAUCUGAAAGAACUUCUUUUGUGUGUGGAGGAGGCACAUAAACAAACCUAAAUUAAGAAUAAAAAAUAUCAUUAACACAAACAAUAUCAUUAAAGGAUCAAAUAAAAAAACACUUUGGAAGUUAAAAAAAAAAAACAUAACUAACCUUACAAUAUGAUGGUGUAGUAACCAAGACUCAUCAAUGUAAUGUACAGUGAUAGCCAUGUAGCCUUUCUUUUGAUUUGAUGUCCACAUAUCAGUUGUGAUAGCAACUCUACUUUGAAGUUUCUCUAAGUAGCUAAUCAUCUUAUCUUUCUCAACCUCAUAAAUCUUCAUUAUAUCACCCUUAAUCGUAUUGCGGGAAACCAUCUUAAACAAGGGAUGGAGACUAGUAGCAAAUUCUCUAAACCCCACAUGGUCAACGAUUGAAAGUGGGUACUCAUGCAAUAUAAUUGCACGUGCAAGCUUCUCUCUUGAGAUUUCUUGAUCAAAGGUAAAACCACCAAUUUGAACUUUUCCAUGACCUUUUCUCUCUACUGCCAAUAAUUGUUGCAUAAUAUCAACAUUUCUUCGUUUCAUGCACCUAUCUAUGUGUACAUGUAAGUGUUUUGUCCCAUUCUUGCUAUCGGCCUUAAGCUUUCCCUUACAGUGCUUACAAAUAGCAUAAUCUUGUCCAUCUUAUAUGAUUUUAUCAAAAUCAUUCCAAACAACUGAAGUCAACUUUCUUCUUUUAGAUAUCAAGGUUCCAUCAGUAGUUGAAGUACUGCCUGUAAUUGGAGUUGAACCCGCACUUGGCAUGGAAAAGUUUUCCCUUUCUUCUGAUGUCAUUUUUCUUAAUAUAAAAUAAAGUCUAUAAGUAAAACAUUCAAACCUAAAUUAAUAACCUAAAGCUUGGAUAGGGCUUGAAGCAAGGGUUUAAAAGGCAAUAUUGUAUUUAGGUUAACCUCCAAGAAUUGCAAGAUGUCAACAUAGUUUCCAUUAAUAGGAAAAUAAAUGUAAUAGAAAAGCAUCGAGGGUAGUGCAACCAAAAGACACAUGCAGUUUAUAUGGACAACCCACAGCAAGUGAGAAGAAAAUAAAAAGAAAAUUAAAAAAAAAACAGAAAACAAAGCAAACAAAAGCAAACAAAGAAUAUUCUAAAAAGUAAUAACCAGAAAACAAAAAAAAACAUUCCAAGAAUCAUUAUACAAAUUAUCAUAAGGCCAUGCAAAUAAAUUCUAAUUUUUCAGGAUUAUCUCUUCCUUUAGAUCCACCUAAGUUUUUGUGCUAUCAUAAUAUGGAAGCAACAAGAAUGCAUAAUUCCUCAAUGCAUUUCUAGAGUCAAACAAAAUUAAACUUUCAUAUAACCAGUAGAAAAUAAAUAUUUCAAUAAUUAAUGCUGGAUUCCAAUAUGCUUCUCACAUAAUUUUUUAUAUCGACUUCUUCUUUCUAUAUGCAGGGGUUUUCCCAGCAGGAGUCUUGACUUUUUUACUAAGAUCCUCUGUUUUUUGGUUGAUAUAAUUAAAAUCAUCUUUCUACUGUGAGAAAUUUUCUCUGAUCUUUGGGUAAAAGUAUAAAUAAGAAAUCCAGGUCUUUAUUAUUGUGUAGGCCAGAGAGAGUGGAACAGCCAUAGGUUCCGGUCUUGCUAUAUACGAGGUUGUAUGUUACUCGUCUACCAUGCCAUCAUACAUCCUAAGAGCAGCAUUAGAGAGCAUGAUAUAUAUCACAGGCACAUGAUAACAAGAUUUUAAUUUAUAAGAAAUUCUGCAAUUACUUGCAUAUACGGAGACUCAUGAUAACAAGAUCGUUCCUCCUCAAGGUAAUAAUAUGGUUGAUUCUUUUCAACAGAGUAAAACUAUUAGACCCCUUCUCAACCUAAUUUCAAGAUCAGACAUUGUUGUUGUACACCAUUGUGGUUGUAAUAUCAGUGCAUUAUAUAACCUAAGAAAUUUUACUCUAUGAAAUUAAAAGCAUGGGACAUUCUGAUUGCAAUUCUGCAAGAGCCUCAAAACCACCAAGAAAGGGAAGCUCUUUUCAGCAUCUUAGAGAAGUGCACGGAUUGUUCUAAAAACUACCUAUCUACUUAUACAGAAAACAUAAAAAUAGCUGGGGUUUUAUAACGACUGUUUUCCUGGUUAUAUUUCCCAAACAACACCACCUCUGAAUAAUCUACAGAGAAAUCAUGAUUUUCUUCCUAUGCAUAUCAAUCUUCCAAUUAUAAAAAAAAAAAAAGAAAAUAGAACUUUUAACAAAGUAGUUAUGGUGAAGUAGUGAUAACAUUGUGCUAGUUGACAUGACAGAAUGUCAAUAUGUAUGACUGAAUGGGUUUGGUUAUGGACCUUCUCUAAUGUUUUCCUCAGAUAAUUGAUUCUAGCAAAUAUUUUCACAAUUUUAUUUGACCCAACCCAGAUUAGUAGUAAGCAUUUCCAACUUAAGUAUUUCUGAACACAAUUUGAAAGUCAUUCAAUGAAGCAAAAAGUUAAAACCAUGAUUGUGAGAAACAACACUGUAAAUUCAUAAGUUCCAUCCUUACCACAAUGUAUAGUUUAGCAACAUCAGUUGACAAGUGGAUUAAUAUCUUGAUAUCCAUCCACCACCUCAACAACAAAAAGGUUUCAGCUACAUGAGAAUCUGCCUAUUUUAUCUAAGUUCAUGCCCUCAAAUAAAAUUGGAAAACUUAAAAAUUAACUAUAAUAAUAAUAGACUAAUCAGCAAAAUAAAAGUGAAAAUGCUACUAGAAUGCUGCUAGUAUGGGUUUGUGUCAGUUUUUCUGGUUAUCUCUGUCACGAGUAUGAAGCUAAUAGGUUAGUACACUAUAACAUAAAUUGUUCAUUAUAAUUAUAGAACCAUUCAGAAAAUGCUAAAGAGAAAUGGUUGUGCUUUGUUAUUCCAAAGGUGGGUUUGGUUCCAGCAGAGCCAUGGCAACUGCAGCAUGUGUGCUUGAGUUGUUGUGGUAUCAUGACUAAAUAACAGAGACAUGAAUCCUUUAUAAUUCUUUUUGCAGCUAACAUAUUCCUGGAAUCCAACUGACACAAAUUAUGACUCCAGAAUCCUGCACAGUAAGUCAGUAAUAUAUCUAAUGAUUUUGUGAAUCUAAUUCACUCGACAUACAUGAUUUUAUUACAUGCAUUGAAUAUUAUAUAGGUUUUCAGUCGCUCUGACAGAAAAUACUAUCAUAAAACUUUUGCCUGUUUUAGAGACAACACAUGAAAGUUUAUUGAAAAGCCAUUAAUAUAGCAAAAUAUACAAUCAUUUAACAAACUUGGAAAUAGCUAUUAUACAAUCAUAUAUGUUUAUGAAAAGCAGCUGAAAGUUCAUAUGGUCCAGAGAAAACUAUGAACUUAAAUCUAAAUGGACACUCUGCUCUUUCUCUAUGGAGGGUUUUAUCAGUUAGACUGCUAUUGACGAUAAGAUAUUAAGAUCUGCUUAGCUCCUAUUAAGAUUCGCAAGAAACGGAUUCAAAACCCUAAAUAGCAACCCGAAAACUAAUAGAAAAAAAAAUCCUUCAAUAAUCUGAAACUGGAAAUGGAAAAAUCCUAAAUCUCGUAUCUCUUUCCCGAAUUAGAAACGGAAUACAACACCAAAUCAAGGCAUCAUUCAACCAAAAAAUCAACAAAAAAUCUUACCGGUUUGUAGAUACGUGAAGAUAAUAGUUGUGAUUCUUGAUUUCUUGUGAAUAUGGGAUAAACAAGGAUGAAUCGAGAGGAAAUGGAUUUUCGAAUGGAUUAUCUGAUGGAUUUCUCCAUUGAGUGGGAGGAAAAACCCUAGCGUCGACAGGAACGAGAACUGAGAGAAGAAGACUUAAAAUGAGGAGAGGAAGCUAAUAUUUAUAAGUGGGGGGUAAAGUAGUAAUUUCAUAUUUAGGGCGGGGCGGGGUGGGUCAAAUUAUUACUACACCCGACCCCGCCCCGAACUCGAUUCGGGUUUUUAAAAAAAUCUUGAACCCGGCCCAUCCCCGAUUGCCAUGUUCCUAUACCCGUCCCAAUUCGGGCGGGUAACCCGGGAAACCCGCGAAAUUGCCAUUCCUACUUAGGGAUUCUUAAAUACAGGGUAUCACUUGAGAAGUUAUUCAAGAUUGAGGUAUAUCUUGAGGUUUGUAAAGGGUGUUUGGAGCUAAAAGUCUAAGAUUGUGGAUUGAAACCAUAAUUCAAUUGUAUUACUUGAAAGUUUGGUUUGGAAGUCUUUAAUUAAUGGAACCUCAAGCUUGGGAUUGAAGUUAGAGGAGAGUGGAUGUAGGUCGAGUUGCGCCAAACCACUAUAAAAUAUUGUGUUUGCAUUCUCUUUUCCCUACUCAUUAAUUUAUAUACAAUUAUUUUUAUAUUAUUUUAUUAUAUAUUUGCAUAUAAUUGUCUCUUAAAUUCACAUAAUUUAAAUUUACAAAAAAAGAUCAUCACUUUAUUCACCCCCUUACAGGGUGAUUACCAUAUAUUAGAUUAGUCUAAUUUUUCUAACACUUCCCACUAACCAAUUAUUGUCAUAUCAUAUAAGAUUGUUAAGAAGUACAAAUUAAAUAAGAAACUUCCUAUGCUUAAAGUUCAAGCCUUUGAUGAUGCCUAUGCAGAUGUUAUUGGGAAAAUUUGGAGGCUUAACCAUUAUAAAAUGAUGAUAAGAGACAAAAGAAAAAGCAAAGAAACUCAAGGAAAUACUCAAUUAGAAAAGAAGGUGAACAAAGUAUAAAAACAAAGAGGGCAUGAUGGAACCUAAGUGUAGUCCCAUUCAUCGGGUAUUUGGACCAUAGUGAUGUUCUAGAAGUCUAGGCAAAGGAAAAUGAUUUUAUAUUUUGAAAUCAAUCAUGUCUCGUUUAAUAAUUAAGCUAUUUGUUGUGUACACUUUCAUUUUUUAUUUUUAUUUUUAAUAAAUAAAAUGGGUGAUUUUAAAUUUAUCUUUUUUUUUUUUGGGUGUUUGAAAAUUUUCUAAUUAUCCUUGUCAUUUUCAGCCUUCCUAUAAAUUGAAGAUCAAGACGAGAAGAGAGAUUAUUGAGGUGGGGCACUUUCAUUCCAACCUCAUCUCCCAUUAUUUAAAUGUAUUUUCUUUCCAUCUCCAACUUGUAUUAGGGUGGGUUGGAUUGGAUUGGGUUAGGGAAUUUUUGGCACCUUUUAAAAAAAUUAUUAUCUUUUUAGAAGUUCUAACAUAUUAAAAUAAAUUGUAAUUUACAAGUAGAUUAAUUAAUUAAUUAAUUUCUUUUUAUUUUAUAUAUAUGGGAAAUAGCUAUAUUUUUAUUUUAAAUAUAUUAAAAAUUAAAAGGAAAAUAAAUAAAUAAAUAUUUAUUUAAUUUAUUAUUUAUAUGGGAAUAUUGAGUAGUCAAACUUGAAUUAGGUUUUUUCAAAAAAAUUCUCAAAUUUGUUUUUGAUUUAUUUAUAGUACCCUCCCAAAUCAUUUUUAUUAGAAAAAAGGUGGGGUGGGCCAUUGCAUCAUCAUUAAUUAGGGUUGAGGUUAUAGUUUAUAAGGUGUUCCAAAGUCGCCAAAUGGGUUGGACUACCUAGUUUGGCUCAUGGCUCAACACACCAAAAGAUCAGAUUGGAUUGGUCUGAUCUAAUUACUGUAGUGGGUUGUACCAGCUCAACCCGGUCCUUAGGGUCAUGUUGAGCUUAAGGGCACAAUCCACCCUGUUAGCUCAUCAUGUCUUUUUUGAAAGGUUAAGUAAAGUGACUGCCAACUUAGUUGGAAUAUAUUCAAAUUAUAGAUACUUUUUUUUUUCUUCAUUUUUCAUGUAAUUUGUUAAAAUAUUUAAUAAAAGAAUUACAUUUUUUAUACUUCAUUUUCUUUUAUAUUUUAACAUUUUAAAUUUAUUGUUAUUAUGAUCAACAACACAUCCAAAUAUGAUUUUUUUUUAAAUUAAAAUUGAUACAUACAUUACAAUUACAAACUUGAUAAAUAUGAAAAAAAAAAAGUAUAAUUAUUUAAGAUGUUUGAAGUAAAAAAAAGAAAUUCCAUUUAAUAAUAAAAAAAUUAUAGGACAAUACAAUGACUUAAAAAAAUAAUUUAACUAUUAACAAAGUUAGGGUUAUCUAUCGAAACAACCCACUAGGACAAUCCAUUGGCACAACUUACCAACACGACCUAUGACAUGGCCCUCGACUUGACACGACAUGCCACAAUUGGCUCACAAUCUCAUGGGUUGCGCUAGGCGGCCCAUUUGGCUUGUGUGGGUUGACACAACAUAACAUGAUUUUCAAUUGAGUUGUGCCACGACACAUUGACCCAUAAAAGCCUAUUAAACAUUGGGCCGUUCUAACCCAAUAUGACUCAUUUAACACCUCUGUUAUAAGAAAGUGUUAAAAAGAAAAAAAGGAAAAAAAAUGAUAAUUUUAUGAAUUCACAAUCUUCAAUAUUAUUAAGGUUAGAGUAAAAGUCAAACUUUACAACCAUAAGAUAAUCUAAGAUCUUUCCCCGUAUCCACUCCUAAUUUUUGUACAAUUCAAUCAAAUUAAUAUAUUUUAUAUCCAUGUUACGAUUAAAAUUAGUAAUAAAAAUAAACAUGAUUUUAUCCACCAAAAUACUAAUAAGGUCAAAUUUAAUGUCUAAAAACAUACAUUGUGAAAAUCAUUAGAGUGUUUUUAUAUAAAUAAAACACUAAGCUCUCCUAUGGUUAUCAUAUCUUAUUAUUAUAUAAAGAAUGAUCAGUUUCAUUCUUGCAAAGAUAAUAAUAAUAAAGUGCUUCUAGAUUUUGUAGUAUCAUAUUUUAUUAUUAUUAGUGCACUUAUAUAUCUUGGUAGUCGUAGUCUCAUAUAUUAUGCUAUUUAUAUGAGGCAUUUAACAUUAAUUUUUUUAUUCAAAAAAAUCAAAGUUACAAUUACUUGAAUAUGCAGAUACAAGAUAUAUUUUACAUCCGAUAAAUUCAUCAUAAAAAGGUAUGUAUUUACUUAUAAUGAUAUAAUUAUUUCAUGAAGAUUCGCCAAGUGAACAAUAAUGACUGUCAUUAAUUCAUUAAGAAAUAUUCGUAAUAUAUAAAGAAAGUUGUGACUGUACACUAUUUAAAUUUGUGAUUCAACAAAUUCAGGAAUUAUGUAAACUAUCAUUAUUUAAAGACAACUCAAAUAUAAAGAAAUAAGAUCAAUAUAUAAGAUUAAAAUGCAUAAUAAUAUCAAAGACCAAAAUAUAAAAAAUUUAAAUUAAGUACGAAUAAUUGAUUUGUACAAUUGAUCAUCCAAAGUAUAUGAUAAAAUCAAUAUCAUUAAAUGAAAGUGUAAAUAGUAAAACUAAGAUAUAAAAUAAUGAAAUCAAAGUAUUGAUUAAAAGCAACAAUGUUUUUUUUAAAGUAAUUUAGAUUGAAAAACCACUUAUAAUAUUUUCGAGAAAACACUUGAUAUUUAAUUCCCGUAAAUAUGUUUUCAAUAUAAAAAAUGCAGUAAAAAUAAACAUUAUUAAACUCACUCUCGAGAAAACAUGUCGAUAUGUUACAUAUACAUGUCAUCCACGCAAAUUGAUAACCAUUUUAUGAUAAACACCGAAGCAAGAAGCAAUAAAACAAUGAAUACGUGCGUUACGAUAUUGUCUAUCGAAGCCAUUGAUGGGGCUUCAAGAAAACAGUAACGUUUUAAACAAACUAUGUGUAGUUUAGGUGUCAAAUCUAUGUGUAAACAUCAUGAUGGCGACAAAAGAGCAGUGGCGUGGAAGCCAUUCCCACUGUUUAAUCUCCAUGAUGCACAUGACUUGCACGUUUAGGAAAACACAGUAGAUGACAGCCUCUCCACCGUGCAUGCACGUGCAUGUAUGCUCCGUGCCGCAUUCAUCCAUGCAUGCCACGCACCCAUACCCGUGCCAUCCAUGUGUUCACACAUCAUGAACAAAAUUGAAUUUUUAAAAAAUAUUCAAUAUUUCCAAAAUAAAGAAAAAGGGAGAUAUUUGUAUGAAAAGAACAUUUUUUUUUGGAGGUAUUGAACUACUCAUAAUUUUAAAUAUAAAAGACCAGUAUCAUAUAUAUAUAUAUAUCUAUAUAUAUAUAUAUAUAUAUAAUCAGGCACUCUUAUUUAUUUUUUUCUUAGUUUUUCUAAUUUUUAUUAUUAAAAUAUAAAAAAUUAGGGUAUUUUUUAUAACUAAUUUUUAAAAUAGUUUUUAAGAACGGUUUUUGAAAAUUAUUCUCUAAUGUUUUGUAAAAUAAAAGUUCAUUUGAAAAAUUAAAAUAUUUUUAAUUAACUUAUUUUUAAUAUUUUUAAAUAUGUUUAAAAAAUAAAUUUUUUAUGUCAAAUGUUUUAUUUUUAUUUAUUUUAUGUAUUUGUAUAAUAUUUUUUAAAAUAACCCUAAAAAAACAAGUAAAAAUUAUAAAAAAAUUUAUCUCAAAACACUCCGUUUUCUAUUCUAAAAAUAGAAACAAAAAACCUUUUUUUUUUUUUUUUUUGUGUAAUGCGGUUUUUUUUAAUUUUUUUUAUUUUAGAUAACAGAAAAUUGAUUUGCCAAACAAAUUUUUAAUUUUUUAUCUUAUUUUUUAUUUUUUUUAAAUUGUAAAAUAAUUUUUUAUUAUCAAACAUGUCUUAUACUAUAUGAUUCCAAACAAAAUAAUAUCUAAAUCAUUUCUCAAUGAAUUUACUAACAAUUUUAUAUAAUUAUUAAACCAAAAAAUAGGAAAAUCCAACCCAUAUAUUUUCUCAUCAUUUUCUCUUAUGAUUUUUUAUUAUAUUUUUCUUUAAAUUCUUCACAUAUUUUAGAUCUAUGAACUCUUCAUGCUAGUUGAAUUUGAUGCCUCAAACAACCAUCCCAAGUCAUUUUCAAUAUGUUUAUUUCAAUGAAUCAUGUGUAGAAAAAGUAUACCAUGGAAAAUUAUAAGAGAAAUAUUUUUUUUUCCACUAAUAAAUAUUGAUUUUAGAUUCCACAAAUUUCAAAAUCAUAUUAUUUUUCCAUGUGACAAAAUUAAACGUUGACUUCGCAACUUUAAUUCGAUGAUUUAUCCAUUUUUAAACUACUUAAGAAGGUUCUAAUAAGAAAAAAUCAAGUAAUUUAAUUAAAAUAGUAACUAGAAUCACCAAAAUAGACCUAAUCAAACAUUCAAUUCAACUACCAAUAAAUUCUUAGACCCCCGUCUCUAUCUUCCUCUUACAUGCAAACAGAAAUAUUUGCAUCUUACCCUAAAUUUCGACUUUAUACAUUGAACUUGUACUUUAUUUUUUAUGGAUAUUUUUAUAUUCUAAAAAGUCUAAUAAAAAUUUAUUUAAAAAAAAAUUUAAUUAGAAGUAUAACUUUUUCAAUGUUAUAGGCAGUUUUUCAAGGUCAAGGGCAACUUUUGAGGAUGCAAACUUCAAAAACGAGUCCUCCACUUCCUAAUGUAAUUCAUUUACUCUUGAACUUUAAAAAAUAAAAAUAAAAAUCCUACAUUUUCAAUUUUUAAAAAUAAAUAUAAAAUAUUUAAAAAUAUCAAAACUAUCCAUAUUUUAAAGAAUUUUUAAAAUAUAAUUUAUAAAUAUAAAAUUGAUUUCAUAAUGAAAAUAUUCCGGAGAAUAAAAAAGCUUGUAUUUUUUCUUAAAAAUUAUUUGAGUUAUGUGUGAUUUAAAAAAAAAAAUGAAGGAAAAAUGUAAAAGCAAGUUAAGAAAAAAAACAUUUUAUAUGUUAUUUUUAACUAUUUUGAAUUUUUUUUAAAAUAAUGAGAAAACAUAUAAGGUAAUUAAUUUUAAUUAUAUUUAUUAUUAUUAUUUUUAUAAUUUAAUAAUUUUUUUAUUUUCUUAAUACUUUGGGGAAUUAAAUAUGACCGUAAAAAUAUUUUUAGAAAAUAAUAAAUUGGUUAUUAUUUUUUAAUAAAACAUUUUUAUAGCACCAUUUUUAGAUUUAUUAUUCCAUCUUCUCCUACUUAAUAUUUGUAAUUUCGGAAAAAUUACGUCAUAAAUAACAAAUGAAUUUAUAAAAUAAAUUUCCGAAAAUGUCAAAACAAAUUAGGUGGAUUUAAGGUGACCUACCACCAAUUGACCGGGCCAAAUGACCCCCACCGAUUAUAACCUACAGCUCACACAUAGACGAGAGAACACCAAAAGUCGUAGCCACCGUCCGAUGUGCCCUCAAAUCGCGGAGAUCUGUUCAAAAUCACAUGCCUGGAGCGUGACGUCUUCGACCAUGACCGUAUACGAACAAAACCCGCUGCUGCCGUUCACAACCACAGCCGCCUCUGGCCGACAAGUGUGCGCCGCCUUAGAUGAGCACGUGUCCAAAGCCAUCCCUCUUGUCGUAACACGUGCUGGACGCAGCAGUCACGUAAGUGGAAAUUAGCAGAAAAAACAAUAAAUGGAAUCGAAAAUUGAGGUGGCUUCUAGAGAAAGGUAGAGGGAAUGAGACUAAAGGGACUGAGACCAAGUACAUUGAACAGCUCACACUAAUAGUGAAUUGUCUAAAAUGCCCAUGGGAUGUCGAGGAAACUUCUCAAAGGGGUCUCUGUUUGAUCCUCCAGUGGGGCCCGGUGUAGCUUUUACUGACAUGUGAUUGGCCCGUUUGGUCAAGAAGUCAAACAUCUCGGGACCGAUCACAACCGUCCGAUUCACCCUUAAUAAGAUUUAAAGGAGUUCUCUUUUCAACCGUUAGAAUUCUUGCCUAAGAGGUUUGAUUGCAUUUAAGAGGUGAAAUUUUCAAGGCUUAAAAGAGUAAAUUUAUAAAAUCAUUAAAAUAUAAUAUUAAAUUAAAUAAAUUUAAAAGGAAAUAACCAAUGAUUAAAAAAAUUAAUUACAAUUUAAUUUAUUGGAACGAUUCUAAAUCACUCACACGGUCAUACACAAGCUUCAUAGGCUGACUAUUUCAAAAGUCCAACCAAUACUAAAACGCCAUUGGUCUAGAAUUAACAAAGUCAAAACUAUAGACAAAUCAUGUCCGAUCAAAAGAAUCCUUCACCGUUGAUAUAGUGGACCAAAAUAACUAUUUUGCAUAUGGGUUGAGAUUUUUGUGGGAUUCAGUGGAAUCCUAAUCCUUAAGCAACAAAUUAUUAAGGAUGAAACCAGACAAAUAAAUAAAAAUAUAAAAAGAGGUGGGACCCCAAAUCCACCAACUUGCUGAUAAAGCAAGGGCUUUGAUUACAUCAUGUGGGCACAUGCCACAUGGGUGGGCAUCAAGUCUAGUCUUCCUUCCAUCUAUUAUGAAAUCUAGGCAUAAGUGAAGAUCUUAUGCUUAUCAUUAUUCCAACAACAAGAUAAUAUAUAAUAAUAAAUAUAUUAAUGGAAAGAUAAAUAAAAAUAUUAUAAAAAAUUAGAACCUUUAAAAUAGUAUUUGGAGGUAAAAGUUCUUUGGAUAUCCUCUAUAUGAUUUAUUCAUAUUAUAAUAACAAUAAUAAUAAUAAUAUUAUUAUUAUUAUUAUUAUUAUUAUUUAAAUAUAUUAAUUAUUCUUAUUUUUAGUAAAAAUAUUUUUAAAUAAAAAAUUAAUUAUUCAAUCAAAUAUAGAAGUCAAACACCAUCCCAAACAAAAACUAGUUAUUUUAUAUUUUAUUUUACAAAAGUAAUGUUGCAUUAGAAAGGUAUUUGUAAGAAGAAAAGAAGGAAAGUGAUAAAGAAAAAAGAAAAUUUAAAUCUAAUAUUAUUUUUUCAUAUUUCUUAAAAUCAUAUUUUUUUUUAAAAUAUUUUUAUUAUAGUUGAGUAUUUUUUUUAAUUUUUUAUUUAAUUUUCCUACCAUUUUUCUAAUCCAAAUUGACUCUUACCUUGUUGGUUGAAGCAAUAAUAGGUGGAUGCAAUGUUAUUCCUAGAAAAGAAUAUUGUAUUAAAUAUUUUUUAUUUUUAUGGUAAUAAUGAAAUCUCUAUUUAGUAAAUGAAAAAUAAUUUUAAUAUUUUUAAAAUUCUAAUUAAAUAAAAUUAUUUUUCAUUAUUUUUAUGAAUGUUCGAAUAAUAAUUAUUGAGCUAUUUAGAUCGAUGGCAAUAAAUAUAAAAAAUAAAAAAUAUUUAUACCAUCUACUUUUUAUCAUUAUUUUUAGUAGAAAAAUAUGUUAAUUUUUAGGAGGAAUAUCUGAUUUAUAUAUAAUCUUUGUUAUUACCUUUUAAAGGUAAUCAUUUCCAAAGGUGACAUAGGUGAAAUAUUCCCAUCUAAUGUUAAUACUCCAUAAUUUUCUCGACAAAGUGACGUGGGUUUCAACCAUAAAAACAAAGAGAUUAGAAAAAACUAAGCAAUGAAUACAUAAUCAGAUCAUAAAACCCUAAAAAUAAGAAAAACGGUUUAGAUUAUUCUUAUAAGUUUUGGCUUUUAAACUAAAACCCUAAAAUUAGAUUAUGUCCCAAUUGACAAGAAUAGAGGUGCAUUUUCCGUAGUUACUAGUGGACAUGAGGGCAUUUGCGUCUUUUCAUUGCUCGGAUUCCUGGCCGGUGAAGCAAUAAGAGGAAAGACAGCUUCUGAGGAAAUCGCAGAGGGGACAGAAAGCGAAGCCAAAGAAGAAACCUAAAAUUUCUCUCUCUAGAAUUUCACACUCUAGAUUCAACAAUAGCUCUUUUGACUCUCUUUCGUUGAAAAAUUAGGGUUAGGGGUUUUCUAAUUUUCUUCAAUUUGGGGCUUGAUUUUGACCUGUUUCUGACCAAAUUGUAUAUAUCAUAGUGGUGAUUGUUAGAGUUUUUUUUGAGGGGUUUUGGAUCUGGGUCUUGUGUGUAAUUGCUUGAAAUUCAGAAAUUGAUCUGGGUUUGUUGUGAGGAAGCCAUGGCUGUUCCGACAAUUGCGUUGUACGCGAGUCCACCGAGCAGUGUUUGCUCGGCGUCGCACCCUUGCCAGAUCAACUCACACUCCUCGCACGAUUUCGAGCUGAAUUCGAGAUCUUCGUCGUCGGCGACGGCGUCUCCAUCGCAGAGGCCGGCCAUGGGGGGUCUCUCGUGCCUGUUCUCCUCGCCGGCGGUGAAGCACGCCGGCGGCGAAGAGUUGGGGUCGAUGUGGCACGACAGGGGCGAAGAGCUGAGCAGCUCCUUCUGCUAUUUGGGAUCGUCGUUGAAACGAGAUCGGAGCGAAUCAAGCCCGGUCUCGGUGUUUCAAGGCCCGGUUUCGUGUAGCAGCAGCGUUGGUGGGUCGUCCAGAAGCCCCCCGAUGAGAAUUGCCCGCGAAAGGAGCGGCGGCGAUGGGGUUUCCAGGGUUGGAACCAGUGGGUUGUUCAGUGGAUUUGUUAGAGGGGCUCUGGGUUCCUAUAUCGAUUAUGAUUCGCCCACCUUUGAGAUUGGUGGUGGUGCCCUCAAUGCGGAUUCCUCAUCAGUUCUGGUAGAUGAAUUGACCUUCAAUAUGGAAGAUAAUUUUCCGGACAGUAACUCCGAGCCUCAUGUGAAAGAUUUGCUCUUGGGUGCUCAAUUGAGGCACAAAAUAUUCUCUGAGGAUUUCGUUGUCAAGGCUUUUUACGAGGCCGAGAGGGCGCAUAGAGGGCAGGUAUAAUUUUGGUCGUGAAUUUUGAAAUAGAUUUUCUGGUUUUUUGGAUGUUUGAAUUUAUGAUGAUGGGUAUCCUAUUGCCCUUUUUGUAGAUGCGAGCCAGUGGGGAUCCUUAUUUACAGCAUUGUGUGGAGACUGCCGUCUUGCUGGCGAAAAUUGGUGCGAAUUCAACCGUCGUUGUUUCGGGGCUUCUCCAUGAUACCCUUGACGAUUCUUUUAUGGGUUACGAUGAUAUUUUUGGGACUUUUGGAGCUGGGGUUGCUGAUUUGGUUGAAGGGGUAAGAGGCAUACUUAGAAUCUAAGUAUUUGUGCUUAAAGAUACUGUUUGCUGCUGAAAAUUGAUUGUGGUAUUUUUUUUUGUUAAUGUUCAAAGCCCUUUUUCUAAAGGAAUCUUCUUUGGAGCAUUUACAGACAUGAUUACUGUUGAUGACCUAUUCAAUUGAGAUAUAAAGGAAUCAGAUGUGAACUAGUUAAAAAAGUGCUUAUGAUCUAAGUUUUAUGUUAGAUUUACAUCAAUGCGGAAGUUGGAGUCUGAUAUGAUUAAUAGAUCACUUGGAUUAUGUGUAAAUAGGUUAUAGUUGUAGCUGUUAUAUUACUUAUGUGGUUGGCUUGAAUUAGAAUCACAAAUUCACAGUGCUCCAUCUUCGAGAUAUUCUUAGACUUACAUCAUUUUGUCAUGGAAUAUUUUGCCAUGAGGUGUGAAUUAAUGAUUGUGUUCUAAGAUUAAAAAAUAUUUUUAUAUGUUUAUGUUUUAUUUCAAUGGAAGAUACAAGGUAUAAUGUUUGGUAUAGAUCGUGUGGUUAAGUAGUUAUUGUUUUGUUUUCAUCCUAUCAAUUGCUUCUUGUGGUAAUAAAGAAAUGAUUAAAGCGUAACAUCUAUUAUGGUGUUCUUUUCCACGGCUAGAGACACUUCUAAGUUGGCAUGAUUUUUGUUUGGGAAGAAAACAUGAGAAGGUAUGGGAAGCUGUUUCUGUGUGCAUUUUUUGAAUGAUUUGGAAGGAAAGAAAUCCAAGAGCGAUCAAAAGCUUAAAUGAACAAAGUAACCUUUUAGUAUGGGUUUGGUUCUACAUAAAAGAAAGCAUAAUGCCUUUGAUUUGUAGAUUGGUUGCAAUUGUUCCGUGGGGGAAUGUUGUUUUUUUGUGUUAUCUCUUUUUUUAUAUUGCCAUUUUGUACCCUUUGUUAAGUCUUGUGUACUUAGAUGUCUGUUAUGUCAAUCACUAUUUUUCCAUGUUACUCCUUUUUUUAUUUGUUUUUGCUGGUGGUGGAGGCAGGCAUGGUUUCCAGAUUUUAAGGUUAUAUUAAUGUGGACCUUAUGGUACUGUGUCUCUUAGUGAUUCUACUUUCCUUGUGUUUUCCUUGCUUAACAAACAAUGACAGGGACCACUAACAUGCAUUUUGUACUGAAACUUGAUAAGAUCUCAUGAUUUUUAAAGAGUUCAUACUUUUGUAGUGUAAAUUGGCAAUAUUAUUUAUUGGAUUUUGAAAUUUUUAAACAUUUUCCUCAGUUUGCUUCAUGAUACAAGCAGUUCAUAAGAUAUAGUUUUUGUUCCUAGUAAAAUCAUUGCAUGUUUAUUUUGGUAUAAUAUACUGAUAAAAUAUUCAAUUUUUUAGGCUUCUAAAUACCAUUUGAUGACAUUUGUUAGGUGUCUAAGCUAAGUCAAUUGAGCAAGCUAGCACGUGAUAACAAUACAGCAAGUAAAACGGUUGAGGCAGAUCGAUUGCACACCAUGUUCCUUGCCAUGGCAGAUGCCAGGGCUGUCCUCAUAAAGUUGGCAGAUCGAUUGCAUAAUAUGAUGACACUGGAUGCAUUGCCUUUGGGCAAGCAACAGAGGUUUGCUAAGGAAACUCUGGAGAUAUUUGUGCCAUUGGCCAACCGGCUAGGAAUCUCUACUUGGAAGGAACAACUAGAAAACCUGUGUUUCAAGCAUCUCAAUCCAGAUCAGCAUAAAGAACUAUCCUCCAAGCUUGUGAAGUCCUUCGAUGAGGCUAUGAUUACUUCUGCUAAAGAGAAAUUAGAGCCAGCCCUUAAGGAUGAAGCCAUUUCUUACCAUGUUUUAUCUGGGAGACACAAAAGCUUGUAUAGCAUUUACUGCAAAAUGUUGAAGUAUGUCGUCCGUUUCUCUUCCCGUAUUUGUCAUACUAUAUGUUUUCAUAAAAUUCAGACUUGGAAAGUAAUUGCUUUUGAAUUGUGCAGAAAGAACAUGACCAUGGAUGAGAUACAUGAUAUUCAUGGAUUACGAUUGAUUGUUGAAAAUGAGGAAGACUGUUAUAAAGCACUUGGAGUUGUUCACCGAUUAUGGUCUGAAGUGCCUGGAAGGUUCAAGGACUAUAUAAAGCAUUCCAAGUUUAAUGGGUAAGUUAGGGAUGAAAGUGAUUGUGCAUUAUUUUAUGUGUUUGUUUGUUUCCCCCUUUUUUUUUUAUUUUUUAUUUUAAUUUGUAGGUACCGAUCUCUUCAUACGGUGGUGAGGGGUGAAGGCAUGGUUCCACUUGAAGUUCAAAUCCGAACAAGGGAAAUGCAUUUACAAGCCGAGUAUGGAUUUGCAGCUCAUUGGAGAUACAAGGAAGGUGACUGUACGCACUCUUCAUUUGUGCUUCAGAUGGUUGAGUGGGCUCGAUGGGUGGUCACUUGGCACUGUGAGACGAUGAGCAAAGAUCAAUCACCUGUUGGCUAUGAUAAUUCCAUCAAGCCACCCUGCAAGUUCCCAUCUCAUUCUGAUGGUUGCCCAUUUUCUUAUAAACCGGACUGCAGCCAGGAUGGACCUGUCUUUGUCAUCAUGCUGGAGAAUGAUAAGGUUUGCUUUUGAAAUUUCUAUAUUUAUUUUAGAAAAAAUAUUCCUCUGAUGACCAGGUGGGUCCACUUGAGACGACUUCAUUAUGCCAAUACCAUUUCAAUUCUAUUCCAGUCAAACUUGGUUUGAUUUUGAGGCCUUGAUUUUAUGUAAAUACCUCAUGCUGAUAUUGUAUCAUCCAUCAGUAAACCAUAUCCAUUUCUUCCAUUUUCUCACUCUGGAUCGACCAGUUCAUGAAUACUAAGCAAAACAUUUCUGGGUUUGUGAACGUUGCAGAUGUCGGUCCAAGAAUGCCCUGCAAACUCAACCAUAAUGGAUCUGUUGGAAAGAACCGGGCGGGGAAGCUCAAGAUGGACGCCCUAUGGGUUUCCAAUCAAGGAAGAACUGAGGCCACGGCUGAACCAUGAGGCUGUGAACGACCCCACUUGCAAACUGAAGAUGGGGGAUGUGGUGGAGCUAACUCCAGCCAUACCAGACAAGUCUUUGAUAGUGUACAGGGAAGAGAUCCAGCGGAUGUAUGAGCGGGGCGUGAGCGUAUCGAGCAAAUGGUCUGCAGCUAGUAGCAUGGUUGGCUGGAGAAGUUAACCUUUGGUUUGUCUGUUGGUUUCUACCCUUAUAGAGUGCAUUACCAUUCAAUGAUAAUCAUUCUUGUAUAUACAUGAUAGAUAUUUGUACAGAAGAGCUUUAUGGUUCUGGUAUGAGUGGAAAAUUGACUAACUUAGAUUGACCAAGGACCAAAAGUUUGAUCUCCAGCUAUUGAUUCAUCGAUAUAAUAGAAUUCUACCUUGCCUCAGUCCAAUUUGGUGUUUCCUUUUAUUUUUUUUUAAUUUUAUUUACAUGCAUCUUGAUUGGAGUAUUGCUUUUGAGAAACCUGCUUGAUAUGAUCAUAUUUGGGAAGCGAAGCAAAUUCCUCAUUUUUUUUUUAUUUUUUUAAUUAUUCUUAGUUAUUACUUUAUUUGACCUUUUUAAUCUUUUAUUUCUUUUAAAAUGGUAUAAAAUAAAUUGUAAUAAAAAAUAAUAAAUUUCUAAAGGAAUGCUUUAUCCUUUUUUUUAGUUCUAAUAAAUGAAACUUAAAAUUAAAUAUAAUAAUUAGGACGAUAAAAAAUUUAAAGAUAAAUAUCAAAAUUAAUAUCUAAGAUAAAUUAUAAUAAUUAAUAUAAAAAAUGCUAGAUGAAUUGUAUUUGUAUUAUACAAUUAGUACAAUUUUUUUUAAAUUUUUUUAAACUAAUCCAAGUUUAUUAAUCUGUUUCACAAUGGUGUUUCCACACUUUUAAUAAAAAAGUAUUUAAAAGUAUUUUUUUUUUUUAAAUUAGAUGUCUGACAAAAUUUAAUAAAUAUUUUUAAAAAUAUAAAAAAUCGUAAUGUUUUAUAAAAAAAAUUCUUGAUAAAUAAUUUUCCUAAAAAUACUUUUCAAGAAAAUAAUUCCCAGUGAAAAUAUUGAGAGAUUUCACUAACAAAACGAGACAUGACUGACAUGAUCUUAUUUUCAUCUUUUAAAUGCUAGUUUCUUAAAGGUUAAAAGUCAGAAGCAUGAGAAGCAUAUUCCAUUAAAGACAACAAAUUACACCAAUUAUUGAAUAUUCUUAUGAUUUUGAAAGAAAUAUAGAUCUUUCCACCCAAUUCCUACUACAAUUUAGGGUAACAAUACCUUGAUGAGAAGAAUUCCUAAACAUCGGAUAGAUCUCCUAAACAUCUAACAUAAUAAAUUUUCACCUUGGGCGUUUAGCUCCAAUGGGAAAUGAUACCCUUUGAGGAGUGUGCUGGGGCAAAUCUGUCCUCCCUUCCUGGGAAGCGUGGGAGGGAUCAGCACCUUCUUCGUCUUCUUCUGUUUCUUCCACUGCUUGGGCUGUUCUCUUCUUUGGGAUAGCUAGUUGGUAGUUCGGGCUGAUCAAUGUGUCCUGUUCAGGUGGGAGAGGGAUUCCAGGCCCUGCAAUUGAUUUUGGCAGUGGGAUCUUGUUCCUGUUUCUAGCCAACUCUAGAAGGACCUGAUGAAUGGAACAGUUAGAUUAUAUAUGCUAUAGACAUAUUGAUAUGGAAUAACACUGGUAAUUAACCAAAUACCGGGUCAGAGAAGAGAGGAGAGGAGUCAGGAUUCCCACAGACCUAAGUCUCAGUCUGAAUUGGGUCUCACAGACUGAGAGGAAAUGGGAAUAGGAAAAGUAAAGAAGAAAAUAAAGUGUGAACAUAAUCUCUCUUUCACUCUUCCCCUUGCUUUUCUUUAUAUGUCAAACAGAAAAUGUAGAUUUCCAACACAUAAAUUUCUCCUAGACUUCAUCAUGUUUGUUUCCAUUCCUUUCUAUCACUAAAACUAAACCAUAAAAUAUUGAAAUUCCUUCGAAUUUUUUUCCCUCGCCUUCAUAGACUAAAAGCCUCGCCAAGCAACCAAAAAACAAAAAGAAGAAAAAAUGUUGAGCAGAAUCAUAUUCCUGGAAGAGAUUAUAAGGAUGGGUUAGCGGUAUGAGUGGUAGAAUCCACCAUUUCUUACUAUUAACAAGCCCAUCCAAUGUAAUAUGGGAGAUGAGAUUAAAAAAAGGAGGAAACAGGAAAUUAGGGAAACAAAUACCAGAUUUUGCAUGGUUCAUCAGAUUCCAAUUCUCAUAGGGUACAAACAAACAAAAGCAGUGACAGAAAAAACAUGAUAUUCUUACACUAGGUUGUUACUUAAACCCAAAAUGAAAAAUUAGUUGUCAACAAAUUAGGUGCUUUUUUUAUGACCUUUUUUUUGGUUAAGUGAUUUCUUUUCUAUGAAGAACAAAAAAUUGUUGUUUCCAACCUCAAUACUUUUCCAUUUGAAUCCCAGAAAAAAAUGAGGGAAAGGAAAGAAAACGCUAAAAACAGCAUUGUUUUUCAGCAAUGUAAAGAACAAAUUCUAAAUUAUUUUUUUAGCACUGUUCUCCCCUUCCCACCAUACUAAACAACAUCCAACCCAAGCCUAAACUUGCUCAACUGGCAACAUGCCUAUAAUCAACUUUUGCUUUGUCACUCAACCAGAAUCCCAAUCUCUAAAGCUUGCAUCAUAUCCAAUUAAGCUUUUGUUCAACACCCAAGUUUGAUAGGUACAAUACUCCACAAUUAAACCUGCAUAAACUGAUACAAGUGAACCCCAUUUGUCUAAAGCCUUGACCUUCAAAACAAGAAAUGAUACCCAAUUCAAUUUGUUUUGAGAAUCCAACAAUCAAAAUAAGAUCAAGAACAUUGUAAAUUUAGCAUAACAAGGAAAACUAUUAAAGGCCCAGGCUUCAAAACAAGUUCAAUAUCAAGAACAUGAAAAAUUUAGGAAAAUUACCUCUCUUGCUGGGGGCUGAGAGAAGCUGAAGUUGACUUUAGACUGAAUUGCAAGCUUCACAUCAUCACAGUCAAUUGCAGGCUUACUGGCAUGCUCUGAAUAUACCUGGGCAUCAGUCAAAACAUCCACAACAUACCGAUACCACAGCUCCAGAAACUGGUGUAUAACUCGAGGCUCAUAGUCAUCAACACCCAUUGAUUUCAGCAGUGAUUUCACAAUCUUUGCAUCCCUUGGCAAGUCCUCAUCUCCCUCUGCCAUUCUCUCAACUGCCCCUUUCACACGAAUCAAUAGCCAAUAUUAAAAAAACUCUUUCUUUACACCAAUUAUAUGUGCAGUGAGUGUUUUCACAUGAACCAAUCAUGAACAUUCAGAAUUUUCCUUCGCACCAAACAGAUAAAACUAGCAAAAUAAAAUUCAACACUCAAACGAAAAUACAGAAAAUUUGAAAAUUAACUUUGAAUCAUCAACAGACUUCGGGCAAAUUUCUUGGACGUAAAGAGGCCAAAGCGAAACUAAGAUUUUGGACUGUUAUAGACUAUAUUAAAAAAAUUCUUCCUUUACACGAAUUAUAGGUACAGUAAGUGCUUUCAGAUGAACCAAUCAUCACUAUUCACAAUUUUCCUUCGCACCAAAAAGAUAAAACUAACAAAAUCAAAUUCAAUACUAAAACGAAAAUACAGAAAUUUUGUAAAUUAACUUUGAAUCAUCAAGAGACUCGGGGCAAUGUUCUUGGACGUACAGAGGCCAAAUCGAAACUAAGAUUUUGGAUUUUUCGAAACGCAUCGUUUCAUCUAGGGCUUUACAUCCCAGAUCCAUGGUGAGAGAAAGAGAGAGCUUUGCUUACCGGUAAGGGAUGAUUGGGCGGAAAGUUUUUCCGGAGCAGUACAGGUUCAAAUAAUCGGCGAACUAUGGGGAAAAGGAGAAUCGCCGGCGACGACUUGAGCGGCGAUGACAGUAUUGAAUGGGAGGAGAGUAGGGAUUCGCCCUAAGCAGAAAAGAAAAAUACCAAACGCACCCUCCUCAGGUUUUGGGUAAUAUCAAGGAUACCCCUGUACUUUUCGGGAAAUUUCAUGUUGGGGGAGGCCCAAAUACGAAAAAAAUUUCUCAAUUAAAUACAAAAUUCUCAAUCCUUUUUACAAUAUUUUUUUAAAAAAUUCUCAAUUAUUUUCGUCAAAAAUUCUUGAAAAAUUAUUUUUAAUAAAAAAAUUUACUAAAUAGUUUUUUGAGAUUUAAAAAGUCUUGGAUAUAUUUGAUACGAACGUAAAUGAUAAUAAUCGAAUGUUUUAAAAUAUUUAAUUUAUUGGGUUAAUUUGUUUUUGUGUAAGUCGGUUAAAACUAGAUUAAAGAAUUGAUAUCAAAUUCAAAAGUUAAGCGAUAAAAAAUGAUUUUAAAUUAUUUUAAAAAUAUAAUUUUGUUUGAAAAUUCAAAUAUACAAGUGAAUUGAUUUAUUUUUAUUUUUAUGUUUUGCAAAAACAAAAUUUUUUAAGAAACUCUUUGCUUAAAAUUAAUUUAAGAGAAGUAAAAAUAUAUAUGUAUAUAUUUAAAAAAAAUAAUAUAUGAGUGAGAAAAAUAUUACUUCUUAUAAGCUUUACUUUACUUUACUUUAUUUUCUUAAUUUAGUUUUUCAAUGGGGUUUAGAUUUAUUUUUUAUUUUUUAUUUAUAAUAUGACUCAAAUAUUGUCCAAAUCAUAAUGAAAAAAAAUCAUCAUACAUUGGCCACAAAGAAUCCAUCAAUCCAAACACCAAAUUUCAAUUAUUCCUACAUUCACUACUACAUGAAAACAAACAUUAAAAUCCAUUAUUAAUUCCUCUAUCUCCAAAAGAAUUCUUGAGCAGACUCUUGCCAUGAGAGCACAAGCACAAGCAUCACCAGCACAGCAGCUAGUCCCCAUGAUGAGCUCCCAAUUCUCAGCACCCAUGACGGAUCUGGAGAUGGAACUGCACCCGAAGAAGACGACGAUGAAGAUGAAGAUGAUGAUGUUAUUUUGAUGCCUAUUAUAAGGCCUGCAAGAACCAUAGGAAGAAGAAAAGCACUUGACGAGCUCAAGAACCUUGCCUCAUAAUGUGUAUUGUACAGUGGUGAAAGCACUAUUGAAGAAGCCAAGGCAAGAGCCAUGGCUCGUGCUCUUGUACUAGAAAUGCUGCUGCUUGGGCUUUGGCUUGUGCGAGUAGUGUAGGGAUCCAUCGAUCUCAAUAUGCCAAAACCCCUAGUCGAAGUUGGGGUUUUGUUGCGGACAGGGGGUGGAGGAGAGGAAGAAAUCUAGGUGUAAAGGUCGAGAAUUGAGUGGGGGAAAGGGGGAUGGAGUCCAAAAAGUUAAAAAGAUAAAGGUAAAAUAUGAAUUGAAUAGUGGGAAAAAUGAAGGGGAUCUUGAAAGAAGUAUUGGGAAGCAAGGUAUCUUUAGGUGUGGGAAUGAGUGUGUUCACACCAAAGCCAUUGGUGUUGGUGAGAUAGAUAUAGUCAUUUGCUUUGGAAAAUUGGCAUGCAGCUGUUUGUUUCCAAGUUGGAGGAGGAAAUGUUAAAGGAUCUUUCUAUAAAAAGAAGGUAAGAAAAGUUGAUAGAAAGUGUUUGUUUUAAUAAUUUAGUUUUAUUUCUUUUUUAUAAUUUUAUUAUAUAUAUAUAUUUCUUUCUACUUUAUUUCCUUUCAUUUUUAGUAACUGUACAUAAUUUUAAAGAAUUCAACUUAUCUAUUUAUAAAUUAUAUUUAUUUUAAUAUAAUUAAAAAUAUAAAAUAAUAACUCAAAAUUUUUAAAGAUAACGUGCUCGUAAAGUAUAUACAAGAGAGUUUGUGAGGUGGGAUAGUCAUAUAAAAUAUCUUAAAGUUGGAAUUAGUAACUAUGACUUUUGAUAUGAGGUUUAACUCAUUCAAUUAGUUCGUAAUCUUCUUAAACUCACCUGCUACUCAUUCCUAUUGACAAUGAUGAUGUUACGAGACUUUUUUUUCUUUUCUUCAUUAUGGUAUUUUUUAGAAAAAAAAAAAACCAAAAGACUUUCACAAGAAACCAUAGUUACCUUCCUUUUAUCUUAGGAUUUUCUUUUAAGUUACAAGUUGUUUUAAUAAAAUAACCUAAAUAAAAACUCUUUUUAAUCUACUUUUAAAUCAAUUUUUAAAAAUAAAAGUCUUUUUCUUAGGGAUUAAUCAUUUUUUAUAUCUAUGCGGUACAUUUUAUGAAAAGAACUUAUGAUUCAAAGGCAAAAAAAGAAAACUUAAUAUGAAAUCUAAAAAAACACUUUUUAAUAUUUUGGAUUAAACAAUUUCUUGUAAUAGGAAGGUUUUUUUUUUUUUUUUUUUUUGUGUUUAUAAUAUUAAUAUUAUCUUUUGAAAGUUAUGAUUUUAACUACACUUUUUAACUUUUACCAUAAAAAUCAAAAUUUACAUUUAGAAAACUUGUAAAAAGUAGAUCCAAACAAACCAAUAAAAAAAAAACUAUAUAUAAUAAUGCACAAGUUCCAUCUACUUAGGAAAGUAAAAAGAAAAUCAAAGAAGCACUCAUCCCAAAUCACAGUGUGGUGUGCUUCCUAAGGCAAGCAAAUAUUCCCAUCACAAGGAUUUGUUUUCCCCUUUUGUUUUGAUAUAGUAGUGGGGUAAGUAAGUCAAGCAACCCAUAUGUCCAUUGUUUUCAAUUGUAGGUUGAGUUUUGUUUCUUUCUACCUUCUUUGAAAGUUGUUAAAUGUUGUAUCAUGUGAAGUUAAUUGGUCGAAAGACUUGUACAAUAUAUUUCUCUUUCAAAAUCUUCACAAUCUUCAUGGAAAGAAUUUGUCGGCCAACAUCAUGAACUUUAAGUAUUAUUUUAAUUCAUUUUUGUUGUGUAUCAAUUAAAAGUUUUGAAAAUGUCACACGUCAAUCCAUUGUAAUUAUGAUAUAAAUUUUUUUAACAAACAUCUAACACAUCUUUACACAAAACUACAUAGACAUAGUCCUAUGUGUAUUUACGUGCCCUUUUAGGACUAGGUAGACAAGUUCUAUAAUGGGUUAAUGAUUGACUCCCUACUUCCCUUAUAACCAUUAUUUAUUUUGAGUUUAUCCCGACUUUUGUUUUCUUAAAGAAAAUAUCAAUAAUAUAAAAUAAUUUAUAAUUGAAACAAAACUUUUUUAAAGAACAAUAUCAAUAAGUUUGGUAACGUUUUUUCUCGUGUUUUAUAAAUUAAUGAAAAAAAUAAAUUUAAUUUAAGAAAAGCUUGAUAUAGAAAUUAGGAAAAAUAUCUCUAUUUUUUUUUUUAUUAAGAGAGAAGCGAAUUUUUGUAGCUAUUUGGAACAUGUAUCAUUUUCUCCUAGUGGUGUUUUAAAAAAUUUAAAAUAUUUAUCAUAUGUAUUUUUGUAAUAAGAGAAAAUUAGGGGGCAAAUAAGGCAAAUCAGUUGCAAAAGUUAGUUCUAAUACGAAGCAGAUUUUGAGGUCAGGUGAGGAAUGAAACGCGCAACAUGUCAGAAAAAUCUCAUAGUAUUCCGAAAAUGCCCCUAUGAUCAAGUCCAACUAUAAAAACCACCGCGAAAAAGAGGCUCAACAGACACCACCACCACACUCCAUGGCUUCUCUCCACCUCUGGCGUCUUCUCUCCCUCUACAUCUCCUCCAUUGCCGCCGUCCUUCGCCGUGCCUCCCCCGCUCUUUCCCGCCUCAUCCGCUGUUCAAUCAUCGUCACCCUCAUCGAAUCCUGCCUCUCUCUAUACUUCAUAUUCCUCGGCCUCUCCCCCACCACCGUGGAACUCGAUGACCACACCACCGUCCACUUCUGGACCUCCGCCCACCGCCGCUUCAGCCGCCCCAACCUCGUCCUCGUCCACGGCUUCGGCGGCAACUCGCGGUGGCAGUUCCUCCAGCUGGUGGGUCCUCUCUCCAGGUCCUUCAACCUAUACGUCCCCGACCUGCUCUUCUUCGGGAAAUCACACACUUUCCGCCGGAACCGGAGCGAGGGGUUUCAGGCGAGGUGCGUGGUGGAGGGGCUGAGGGGAUUGGGUGUGGGGAGGUGCAGGGUGUUCGGGAUCAGCUAUGGUGGAUACGUGGCGUAUCGGAUGGCGGAGAUGUGGCCGGAGGUAGUGGAGAGGGUGGCGAUUGCAAGCUGUGGAAUUGGGUAUACGGAGGAGCAGAAGAGGGAACACUUAGGAAAGCUCGGGAGGAGUGUGACGGAGAUUUUCUUGCCGGAGAGUCCAAAGAAUCUCCGGCGACUGCUGAAUCUCUCCAUAUACAAGUUCGAUCCUCUCAAAUGGGCCCCUGACUUUUUUCUUCAACAUUUAAUAGAUGUAAGUUGCACCCAUCUAACCUUACGACCAUCUAUUUCAAAAUUAAUGCAAUUAAAUCAUAGAUAAUGAAAUGGAAAAAAGAAGAUAAGUCUUGAUAAAUAAUUAGGGUUUUAGAUAUAAAUAAUUUAUAUCAAAUUCCUACAAAUAAAUAAAAUAUUGAUAUUAAUGCUUCCAAGUCUUAUGGUGAUGGAUGAAAGAUUGAUUUUUUUUUUUAAUCAAAUUAAUUACUUUAGCCAAAUGGGAAAAAAAAAUACUAAAUCAUUUGUAUUUCUAUGUAGUAACUAAUAAUUUUAUAUAUAUAUAUAUAUAUAUAUAUAUAUUUUAUUUAUUAAAAUGAUAACUUAAUAAAAUUCAAACUAGUGAUUUUCAAGAGAUUAAAAUUGUUAAAGAAUAUGAUAUAACCCAAAUCCUACAAUCUUAAACUUUUAGGAAAAUUGGUUGUUCAAUAUGAUAUCAGAACUUGAUUAAGUUUCUGUAAUUUGCAUGUUUGUUUUUUUAUUUAAUAUAUAUGUUAGAUAUGAAUUCAAUUUAAUUUGUCUCUCCAUGUGCAACCCCGAUCUUAAGAAGUAUGUUUAAGUUCUUAGAAAAAUUAGUUGUUUAAUAUAGUAUUAGAGUAAAAUUGAUUUUUAAUGGAACAGUUGAUUUAUGAUCUCAUUAAAAAGAGUUCAAAAUAAGAAACUCUAAAUUUCAUUCUCUCUUUUUCUCUUUGAGUCUAUUUGGAUUUCACAAAUUUAAGAGUUUCCAUCGAGUAAAAUGUUAUAUCAUAAGUUAUAUGUAUCAAAGUCACGUAUUAAUGAAUAAUUUAAAAUGUUGUUAUCAAAUUAAUAACUUAAUAUGAUGUAAUCGAAGAGUGAUGAUUCUUAAUAGGUUAGUGUUAAGAUCUAAGCUCAAAUUCAGUAAAAUGAUAUUUUUGAUGCAUAUUACAUAUUUUGAUAAAAGGAAAUAAUAUAUAUAUAUAUAUUGAAUUUACACUUUUAGCUCAAUGAUAUCUAAAGUUUUAACCACAUGAAAUCUAAGAUUUAGUUGUGGUUUGGUAAAACUUAAAACUUAUUAUUUAAUGAUUUAAGUUGACUUUAAAUUAAAAUUUUUUUAAAUUAUGAACUUAAAUUUAUUAUUUUAAGUAUUAAAGUUGUUUGGUAAAACUAACUUAAAAGUUAUUUCAAGCUAUUCAAUUAAUAUAUUUACCCCAUUAGUUGUAAUUAAUAUUUAUUAUUAAUUUUUUUAAUUAAUAUUUAUUUUCAUUAAUUUUAAAUAAUAAAAUUGUUUAUUUAACAUUCAUACUUAAUGUACCUUAGAUUUAUGAGAUAAUCUUAAAAUAUUUACUAUAAAAAAUAAGUUAUAGAUUUGAAGUCAUAAUUGUGAAAUAUAUUCUUGUUAGAUAUGAGUAAAUAAGACAAAAAUAAAAUAAAAUUAUGAUUAAAAAUUAGUUAGCUAUUUUAACCUAAUAUUUAAAGUCAUUUUUAAUUUUAAAUUAUGAUAUUAAGUUAUUUUAUCAAACAUGUUUAAUCUACUAAAUAAGUUAAAUUAAAUUAUUAAGUCCUUGGGUUGCAAAAGCCUGAAACAUAUGUUUAAGAGUAUUUAUCCCUAAUAUUUGAAAUGGGUUGUGGCUCAUUAGGCAAUGUUGAAGGAUUACAGAAAGGAGAAGUUAGAGUUGCUUGAGCACUUGCUGGCCCAGAAAGCUGAUCCAGACAUUCCCAUUCCCCCUCAGGUAAGAAAAGUAAAAAAUAAAUAAAUAAAUAAAAAUUCAUAGCAGUUUCAGAAAAUUUCCUCAUUGUUUCAUAUUUAUGAGACUUUAUUCAAAAAAUGAGACUUUAUUCAAAAAUUUCAUAUCAUUAAUUUUCCUUUUUUAGGGUACUUUUUUUUUUUUAUAACCUUGGAUGUCCGGACCAGCUUACGUACAUCUCGACUAAUUUCACGGGACCCUGAAGUUAACGAUCGGGUAAGCCUCAAGUGGCCUUGAGGGGACUAUAACCGGUGAUCAUUGGGAAACAAACCCAAGACAGGACCUUUUUUGGGCACUUUUCAAUUCUUAGAAAAUGGGUUUCCUUUUUCUUGGACUUGGAUUAUAUAUCAAUCCUUAGUUUCCUUUUGUCAUUAGAUGUAUCUUAUGGCUUUUCAAUUCAAUUCCGAAUCAAUAUCAAAGCCUUUAAGGUUACAUUUAUUUUCAAGUACGUUUUAGGUUUGUCCUUAAUUGCAUUAUGCCAUUAGCUGUAUCAUAUGUCUUUUCAAUUCAAUCCAUCCAUGACAAAUCACUAUCAAAACCUUCAAAAUUAAACUUAUUUUGAUGUGGGUGAAGGAAACAAUGCUCAUUUGGGGUGAUAAGGACGAUGUAUUUCCACCCUUGCUGGCUUUCCAACUGCAAAGGUAUCUUCUUCAUUUUAAACCCACUUUGUGAUGUUUUUGUUUUUGUCUUCAGUUUGUAACAUAUGUUGUGGGCGCAGGCACUUUGGUCCAAAGACAAAGCUGGAAAUAAUCAAGGACACAGGCCAUGCUUUAAACAUCGACUCGCCUGCUCGGCUAUAUGAAUUGAUCGAGUCCUUUUCUUUGGGUUGUUCCAAUUCCAAGGAUGAUGAUAUAUGAAAACAAAUUUGUUGAAGUUAUGUCACAAAACUCUUUCGUUGUUCCUAAUGAAAAGGAUAUGACAUCGUUGUUGUUGUUUUACUUUUUGCUCGUGUUUUAGUAUUAUUAUAUUUUUUAUCUUAUUCUUUAUUGAUUAUUAAUAUAAUUAAAUAAAAAAUGAUUUAAUUUAUUUAUAAAAAUAAAUUAUGAAAUUUUAUGAUAUUUAUUCAUUUAUAAAUAACAUUUAUUUUUAAUUUAAUUAAAAAUUUUAAAAUAAAAAAAAUAUUAAAUAAAAUGAAAUAAUUAAGGCUACAACUUGAGUGAGUUGGUUAGAUCGAUGACAAAUCAAGUCCAACUCCAAUUAAGAAAUAAUUAAUCCAAAACUCAAUCCAACCUGAUUUUAACUCGAGGUACUCAAUUCAAACCCAAUCCAACCUUAUUUUUUUAAAUUCGGGUUGUUCAAGUUAGAUUCGAGUUGAUCGGAUUAGACUUGGGUUAGCCUGGUUGCAUAAUUUAAAUUCUAUCUAUGAUAUUAUUUUAUUGUAUUUAUAUGAAAAUUUAAAUAACAAAUAGGACAAAAUUUCUAUAUAGGAAUAAAAGAAUAAAUAUAUAUUUAUAUAUUUUCUAAAAAUAAUGAAAAACAUAUGAUAUAAUUUAAUUUGAUAUUUUUCUUAAAAAUAGAAAAAUAAAAUAAAUAUUAUUAUAUAAGAUAAAAUGCAUUAUAAAUAUUAUAAAAAUAUUAAAUCCAUUUGGAUUAGACUCGAAUUAUCCAAAUCUUAACUUGAAUCCAACUCAAGCGGAGCUUAGAUUGAAAAAAUCUAACCUAAGUCCAAUUCAAGUAUUAAAAAUAAUUGUUUAAACUCAUUCAAACAUUAGGUUGAACAAGUUGAGAUACAUGUGAUUCGUCUUAAACGUGACUAUUAAUGUUGUUUUCUUGGUCAUAUACAAGUUAUGUUUUUUUUUAUAUAUUAAUAUUUAGUCUUUUUUAUUUAUUUAAAUUUAUUUAUUUUUUGUAUUUUGAUAUUAUUUAUUUAUGAUUAAGUAUUUUUUUUAUAUGUAUAUAUCUUUAUAUAAUAAUCUAAAUUUAAUAAUACAUAUUAAGAAAAUUAGAUUAAAAAUUAUUAGUGAAAGAAGCAACUUUCAAAUUUUUUCAAAAGUCAUUUACAAUUUUAAAAUGAGCUUAAGAGUGAAAGCAAGAAAAUGAUGGAUUCUUGAAAAAUAAAUAAUCGUGUGGUGGGGAUGAAAACAACGCAUUUUGUGCACUACGGGCGAUAUUCUUUGAACCACGUCUAGGACGGCUACAAGCAUGAAACGCUGCGUUUUAUGGAAGCUAGGAUGAGAAACGAUGGAUUAAACGACGCCGUUUUCAGAUCCUAUAAAAAAGUCUCAGCUUUAUCCCACUGAACUGCAAAUCCACCACCACUCCUGCCGUCUCCGUCGCAACGCCACCGCCACAUGUCCGCACACGACCAAGCAGCGGCGGCGAUCCUCGCUCAAGUAGCCCUAGCCGCCGACGGAGCCAUCCUCGGCUUAGCCCUAGCCUACGUCGCCGUUCGCAGUUUUAUCAGGCUCUCAUCCACCUCCUCCGCCCUCCGCCAAAUUGAUCAGUCUCCGUCUUUCCGCGUCUCCGAUCUCCGAUCCCUCCUCUCUCCCUCCAGCGACGAUGAAUCCGACCAGUCUACGUCGUCCGAUGGCCUGCUCGUCGUCGUCCGCGGCACCGUCGAGGCGAAAUCGGCCAUUGACGGCAACUGGAAGAGCUUGCGUCCCAAUGUUCUCGUCUCUCACGAAUCAGGCGAGAAAGGUGUCAUCUUGCAGCGAACGCAAACGGUAUGUUUGAAAUUUAGCUACCUUUAUUUCCGUUUGGUUGGCAAGAGAAAGGAGCAAAAGAAAAUGGGAAUUUGAAUUUCUGCGGGGAAAUAUUUGUAAAUUCACCUCCCCUAAGCGGAAAUUGAGCUUGUUUAAAUGAGAUCGUAGUGGUAGUCUUAUAUAAGCGUUAUUUUGUAGCGAAGGUCAACAUUAUGUUUGGAACAAGGAGCUACUUUAGUGCCCAUUUGGUUGUCGAGAAAACUGAGGGAAAGUUGAACGAGAAUUUGACUUCUUUCGAUGAAAUCUAGUGAUAGCACUGUAUGAACUUUUGGUCUUCUUGACAACUAAGAGAGCUGAUGAUUUACUAUCGGUAGCAUGAAAUUAGGGCAUCGGGAUUGAGGGCCUCAAAUUCCAAGAACUUGAUUCAACACUUCAUCCUAGAAGAUCUUUUUAUUCCUAAGGUUUCAAAUAUGGAUUUUUUUCUUUCCUCCCCCCCCCCCCCCCCCCUUUUUAAAAAUUAAAAAUAUAAUUUUUUUUUCUUUUCCCCAAAAAAAAAAAAAAAAAAGGGAUUUUGGUUUUAAAAUUUUUUAAAUGGGGGGGAAAAUCUUUUACUUGUGUUUUUUUAAACUCUUUUAUUUUGGGAACACCAAAUUAACUUUUGUUUUUUUCCCCCCAAAAUUGGGUUUUUACAUGGGGUUUUAUAUUUGUCAAAAAAUAAUUUAAAAAAUCCCCCCCUUUGUUGUCUUUGUUCAGCAUUUGCAAUUUUAAAUUUUUUUAUGUGGCCAAAAGUUUCAUUUAAUUUUGGCUUCCUUUUUAAAAAACCCCCCUUUUUUUUUUUGGGUUGUGUUUUUGGGGGGUGUAUAAAAAGGGUGGGGGGGGUUUUUUUGGAGGNNNNNNNNNNNNNNNNNNNNNNNNNNNNNNNNNNNNNNNNNNNNNNNNNNNNNNNNNNNNNNNNNNNNNNNNNNNNNNNNNNNNNNNNNNNNNNNNNNNNCGGACCACGUCGAGGGGUGGUUCCGCUCGCCGAUGUACUCUUCAUCAGGCGAGUGGGUGGAAAGAGUGUCGACCACCGCCAUGAAGCUGGUGGAUUGGAGGACGCCGGGCAGCGCGGAGAGGUAGUAGCGUUGUGGGUCGUUGAGGAAGUUGGUGUAUUCGGGGUCCGUUGGUUCCGGGAUGAGGCGGCGCAUGAGCGGAGGGCGGUUGGGGACGUAGCCGCCGUAGGGAUAUUGGCCGAAGUUUAGGGCAGCGUGUUGGGCGGAGGCGAGCCAGAUGAGGGUGGUAAGGAUUGAAGCGAGGUCGUCUGGGGUGGAGAGGGAGGGCCACCAGGCGGCGUGGCGGAGAUCAGCAUGGCCAACGUUGACGGCCUCGGAGUACCAGGCUUGAAGCUCCCCCCCCCCCCCUUUUUAAAGAUUCAGAACUAUAAUUUCUUUUCCUUUCCUCAACAAAGAAACAGAGCAAUGUAAUUUGCAUUCUACAAUUCUAUAACUGUGAGGAAAA
rnacentral:lncRNA from 1 species